rnacentral:lncRNA from 1 species
AAGAUAAGAAAAAUAAAUUACAUCAUUCAAAAAUAAAUCCGAUCCUCUACUCAAUGGGUCACGCCCAUAAUUCUCUUUUCUGCAUGCCAUCACCACCGUAAUUAUGUCUGUUUUUUUUUUUUUUUUUAUCUUCUUUUGCUUUGCUGCUUUUGCUUUUCCCACUCCAUUUCCUGCAACUUUCAAAACAUCAAGGUUGGCAGAGCCCAUAUGCAGACUUGCUUUUGCUUUUUCUUGUCACUUUUGUGGGAGUGGUUGAGCUGUCUGAGGGCCUUUCUUUUUCUUUUGUUGGAUAAGUGCGACAAAGCAUCAACAUGCUAGCACAUGUGAAUAUCUGGUAAAGCUAAGUCUUUUGUUGGGAAAAGCUAUUCCCUUUGUCCAAGUGGGUUGUUGAAGAUAACCCAUCACUGUAGCUCUACCACAAGCCUGCAUCUUGGCUUCCAUGCUCGCCAAUAGUACCGUAUGGACUGGAUUCCAGCAUUCAGUUGCAAACUCGCAGCCAUUUGGAUCGUCACCAGGAAGCCUUGAAUUGAAACACACAUCGUUUUACUGAAAACAUCAGAUUUCUCUUCCUCUCCUCAGAAACAACUUAGCACCCAAAACAGAGAAGGAAACAUCCUGCGGACGGCAAGGCCACCGAGAAGCUUGUAACGGAGAGACUCGGCCUGAGCAAUAGCGCACAGCCCUCUGUUGUUAACCUUCUCAGCGUAAAGCUCAACGCUGUUUUCUGGAAACUUAAACCUCUUCUGUACAACAGAGGUUAGCUCCCUGAUCCUCAUCCCCUUCUAUCCGAGAACGUUUUGGGUUCAGGUGGCUCGGAUGAUGAUCUCGGUUCGCAUCAACGUAACCCUAACUUCAACGCCGGAGUAGCCGUCUUCAAUGAGCUCUCUCGUCAGCACCUCGUUCAGCUCGGUGAAGAAAACGCCAUUGGCGACGAACUUUCGCUUCUUGCUCAUUUGGGUCGCAGUCGCCAUGGUUGUAGGUGUGAAAGUUGUAGAGAUGGGAUUUGAAAUGUGGUGGCAGGAGAGGAUUCAAGGCCACCUGGGUAUCUACAACAUUGUUCAACUUGAUGCCAAACUAAAAGUACAGGGCCUCACUAUCUCGUUUGCAAUCAUGAAUGACUUUGGUGAUAUAGAGAGUGCAGGCUUAUAGGCAUUGAUCAACAUCACUCAUCCCUGAAUGGCAUCAACUAGAUAUGUAGCAUCUGGAAAUGCAAGCUGUAUGAUACAGAGAGUUCCAUGACGACAGAGGUCAACUCCCUCACAAUCGAAACCAAUGACAAAUGGCCUUUCAGCUGAAUGCUGGGCUAGGCGAAAGAGGAAUGUGAGUUUGUAAAGGAGGAGGUACAGAGGCCAUGAGAUCGGACCAUCCACGCCAAUCUUUAAUUUUGCCUCCAAACCAACGAAACCCUGAUUCUCUCUUAUUCUUUCUCUUCUCAUAUGCUGAUUGAAUGGGUGUGAUUGUAACUGACAAAUAAUGGUAGAGAGAGAGAGAGUUUGUGGUUGUUUGAAGAGGUGAAAGAGAUCAGAAGCAAGAGCGAGGCAGAGAGAGUUUUGGUUGUCUUUUGGGUUUUGCAGAUCCACGACGAAGGUCAAAAAUUGAGAGAUAACCGACAUAGUUUUUCAUGUCGCUUCCCACAGACGGCUCCAAAUGUUGAUGCACAAAACCUGAAGUCUUGGAACAACGUAAAUCCGACCGUGAAUCUACAAGAAAUGUAAAGAACACAAGAUGUAUCAUGGUUCAUCCCAAUGUUUGGGCUACGUCCACACUGAUAUUGUAUUUCUCUGUUUGGGAGAGGAUUGUGAGGGAGAAAGCCUUUGUAUGUGAGGAUGAGAGCUUUGUGAGGGUGAGAGGGCUUUGUAAUGUGAGAGUGAGGCUUGAGGUUUGUGAGGUGAGGAGGCCCUUUUAUAGAAUAAGGGCUCAUCACUUAUUACAUAUUUGCCCCUCUAUUUAUUACAUAAUUACAUUUGAGUCCCCCGAGUAUUUAUACGAGAUCUAAAUACGGAGGCCCUAAGUAUGGUACAAACAACCAUGUUUCAAUCGUAUAAUCAUAUUGGAAUUUGGAGAAGCAUAUACAUAUGUAUAUCGUGCUAAUAAGUAAAUAUUUUGCAGUGGGAUCCAAACAUGGAUUGAAGUAUAAAAUUUAAAUAAGGCCUUUGUUUUGCAUGUAAUAAGUUUUGGUCGAGCCAUUGGUUAUGCAGGUUUUAUUUACAUGUGCUUGCUUGAUCAAUAAAAGCCAAUUUGAUUAGUCAAAAUAGAUUACCACCAACGGUUCUGAUAAAGGGAUAUAAAGAAAAGUUUGAUUAGUUAAUUCAUUGAUUAACUACGAUUGAAAACCAUGGAAUAUUUCAGAGUUUUGUUUCAAUUUUAAUGCUAAUAUUUGGUUGACCGUGUGCUACUAUUGUAUAAGUUGAAGCCAUGAAGGUUAGGGUUGCUUUUUACACAUCCAGAGACUGCAGCCUACCACCUCAAGGGCUCCAAGGCGAGCUCUAUUAUAUUACACGUGAUAGAACUUCUAUGUUAGGUGCGUCCAAGGUGGACAACGACAACGGCCCAAUACGGGUCAAUACCUAAGGUCACAAGUUCACGUGACAGAACUCGGCAAAAGUAUAGGUUAUGUACAUUUGUAAUCUCAAGUUUUUAUAAGCAUGUGUAUGCAUUUACAUUUGUUCUAACCUUGCAUUGGAGAAUUUCUUGAGAUUCCUCCGUCGAGCAAACCCAAUGGGGAAGGUCAUCGGUAUAUGAGAUCCUGGUAUGAUAUUUUCUUUUGGUCUUCAUGUUCAGUUAUAUACAAUAAUGGUUGUGUUGGAUUCAAGAACCAUUGAUUGAUGAUCUAAGCAAGUACAUGUAAUUUUCAAAAGCCAAUUAUGGAUAUAGAGCUUGCAUUACAUGUGUAAAUUUUAUUAUAACACCAGUAUCCAAAUUGUAUGCAUAAAGAAGGCAUACCGAGAAACAUUGAUAUAUGCAUAGAUUAUCAUACUCGUUUGAGACUGUUUUAUCAAAAUAGUUUGGAUAUUGCAAGAGCAUAUAUGUCGCCUAUGGCUUAGCGUUUGCAAGGUAAAUUGAAUAAAGUUCAACUCCAAUUACCAAAUUAUUACAAUUAAGAGAUGGGCAUGAGAUUUCGAAUGCUGCUUGACAUUUUUCUAAAUGCAGGAGACGGAAUUGGUUCACUUUUAAAUUGUCUCAGUACUAUUGUUGGUACAUAGAUUGUGCCUACAUGUAUGAUUAUGAUAAUAUAUAUUAAAGUUGCGUUUCAGGGAUGCAUAUGCUAAGUUAUUUGCAGAUCAACUUUAUACAUGCUUGUCAGUGAAUUUAAUGUAUUUCUUAUACAUGAAAGUAAGUCAUCCAUAUUUUGGCAAGCAUUUGUUAAGCAAAUGGCGUGUAUAGUGUUACUUGUAUGGCUAUUUUGGUUCAAGCAUGUAUUACUUGUAUGGCUAUUUUGGUUCAAGCAUGUAUGAGAUGAUGCAAUUUUGAACAUUGCCAUGAGCUUGGAAUGUAUUGAAUUAUAGCUUUUUGGUUAAUCAUUUGAUUAUACAUUUGUUUAAUAAAAGGUGGUGAACAUAUGAAGGCAUGAGGUAUGUUAUCCAUUCAAAGUAUGUGACUUAAUUGAUAAGCAUGAAUUUUCAAACAUGUAUUAUCGUUUGUGGUUAUUCCUAUGCCUAAAGAAUUUAAACAAUACUUUGAUUAGUAAAUUUUUAUGUGCCAUAAAGGGAAAAGAAAAUGAUUUUGGUUGUUCCUUUUAUUUAUUUUGGUAUUUACAAAGCUAAUGCAUGAUUUUAAUGCUAUGUUUAGUAGUUUUGUACUACGGAAAGAAAUAUAUAAAAGGAAAGGAACCAAUUUGUUUUGAGUGAUUUAGCUUUUAAUUUAAAGGAAUGUAUUGUUCUCUCACAUUACAUAAGGUAUUUCUAAUUGACUCUAUAAUGAUCAGUAUUGACAUUCUUGUGGUGAAAACUUGUCCUAUAUGUGAUUAAUCUCCUUCAAGUAUGUUGUUAGGUUUUUGAGAUUAAUUUAAUGUCAAAGGGAGUCAUGAAGGAAUUAGUGCCAUUUGUUGGCAAGACUUGAUAGGAGCAUAUUUAUGCGCCUUAGUUAGCUAGUUCUUAUGCAUUUUCGUUAUGUUUUCGUCGUUAAAGUAGUCUGUUGAGCUACUUUCAUGUGUUUUCAGGCUUAAAGGGCAUAUGACAUAAAAGGAUGCAAAUUGGAGCCUUUUGGAGCAAAAUGGAGCUUAGAUUGGAAAGUACAUGCGUGGAGCACAAGGAAUGGACGAGUUUGAAGGGCAAAGGAGCUUAAGAAAUGAAGAAAUGAAUGUGAAGAACAAAGAAUUCAGAAUUAGAAACCAAAGUUUCUAAAAUUGGAAGUUUCUAUUCUUGGAGGUUUCCAUUUUCGAGAGUUUCUAUUCUUGGUUUUGGGCUUUCUAGAAGCCCUAUCUACAAACCCUAACCCUAGCCCACUAAUUUGCCGCACCUAGGCCUUUAAAAUUUCUGAUUUCCUUGCCUUGCAAGGCAUUCUAGAAGCCUAAACCCUAGCCCACUAAACCAGCCGAACCCUAGGCCUUUUCCCUUGCAAAUUCUGAUUGUUUUAACCUAUUUUCUGGUGGAUUGGGUUUCUAGAAACCCUAAUCUGAUUGCUAGGGUUUUUAAGUGCCUAUAUAUACUCUCUUAAACCUCUUGGCCGAAUAUACCAGCCCCCAUAUCAUUCAUUCACGCCAAAAACCCUAGUUCUCUCUUUGCCGCAACCUUCCACCCCCAAACUCCCAUAUUUCUGCCACAAUUCACCCUUGCCGUGCCUUCCCACCACCAUCACCACCUUGUGCAGCCACUAAAGGAGGAGAAAGAAGGAGUGCCGUGCAGUCCAAAGGAAGGAGAAGCCUUGCACAUGCAAUCUGCCAUUAGUGGAGUGUUUGGAGUUCUUUCUUUCUUUGUUUCUGUUUUCAUGUUUAAUUUAACUUGCCUUUCAAUUAUGUUAGACAUGUGGAACUAAUUUCUUUUUAGUUAGAGGUGAAUUUGAAGCCAUGGACAUAUGUGUUAUAUGAUUUGAUUUCUUCCAAUUAUGAUUUCAGAAAUUGUGAAUGAUUUACUUAUCUAUUUGAUUGAUAACUUGUUUAUGUAUGUGGGUUGAGGGUCGACACUUAAUUUGCAUGCUUAAACUUGAUGCUAGGGUAUAAGGGAAUUUCACCUAAUCGUUAUUAACUUGUAUUCAUAAGUAGUGAAAGUCGCUAGUCACGAUUGCGUUAAGUAAAUCCUAGGCAAGAGUAACAUGCGUAUCCCAUAGUUAUGAAUGUCUCGUCAAUGCUUAUGAUUUCCAUUGAACUUAAUGAUCUUUGAUAUGUGUCUCUAUCAUGCGUAUUCCAUAGUUAGGGUCCUUGAUAAGAAUAAUUUGGUUGUAAUGCGUAUUCCAUUCAAUUCAAUGAAUCUAGGGAAAUCUGAGAAUUAAUUGGUGCAAUCUAGUUAAUUUGGGGCAUUGUCAUUCAUGGUUUGUUGAAAGAGUAAUUGAAGAUUGAGUUGUAUGCAUAUGUUCAUGUGUGGAUAAGGAAUCCUCUAACUAGCUUCUCACCAUUCUAUUUAAUCACAAUCUGUUUUGCUUUACCUUUGUUUUUAAAGUUUGAGUUUUAAAGUUUUAAUUUCGUCAAAAUCAUUCCCCCAUUUAUUUUAAAGUGUUAGAUUAGUUAGAAAUCCAUUUAGUUGUGUUUUUAAGUGUUUUGAGUCAAGUCAUAGUCCAAAUUCGUCCAAACUAGUGUUAGGUACUCAAAACUGCCCAGAAAGUGGUUUUAAGGCAGUUUUGAGCCUUUUAGUUGCUGUUUUGAGUUUUUAGUUUGUUUAGGUGUUUUAAACCCUAGUUUUGCAUUAAUUGAGUCUAGUUUAGUGUUCUACAUUAUAUUUUUAUGUUCUUGAGUCAGUUUUACAUUGAUUAGCAUCCCUAGUUAAUCCCCGGUUAGAACGAUCCCUAUUUGCUCAUAUACUACAAUUGUCAUCCAUAGGGUUUAAUUUGUGUGUCAAGUUAAUUUUCACAUCAAGACUUGAAGCUCGAAUCAGGUUAUUAUAAUUUUGUCACUUACAGUUAAUUAAUCCAUGUGACUUUUUGUAUUGUUUCAGGGCGGAGUUGACCAAUGCCUUUUCAACUAAGCAAGACGCAACGGCUUAGUUGACGAUGGGACUGUGUUUUUGAGUUACUUAGGUCAACUUUGCAUCUUAAUUAGAAUAAAAGGGAUAAUCUUCUUGCCCACAGGUGUGGAUUACUUCUUUUAGUUUAAUUAAGAUGGCAUAGUAUAAGUUUUAUUUCACAGAAGUUGUGAAAACCUUCAUCUUGCCUACAGGUGUUGAAGUUUUCAUGAAGGAACUUUGUGACAUAAAAUCUAGUACUAGAAACUAGUUAAUUUUCUUGCCUACAGGUGUAAAUUAAUUUAGUUUUAUGAAGUUUAUUGGGAUAAAGUUCCAUGCCAUUAGUGAAAAAAAUAUUUCCACAAUGAGCCCCAUAAAAGGUUGUGAUUUGAAGGCAUGGAAAUCGGUUGCAUCAUGGUGUAUUUUGUAUCUUUUCAUGAGACUUGUUGGUGCAAAGUAUUGGACCCAUGAAGGUUAAUCAAGGAUUGCUAAGGUACACAUUGUUUAAAUCUUAUACUUGUAAAUCUUUUCAAUUUGAACUAUGAUGUCGGUUUAGAGGAUGAAAUUUGACUACUAAAGUUUCCUUUGGACAUCGAAAUUGAAAUGAUAUGAAAUUGAAUUUGUUAUGGAUACAUAAAUUCAUGAUAGAUGCAUAUAAUUGUUUCUGGCAGAUUACAUGUCUUGAAUUAAAUAGGGUGAAUGACACGUCUAAUGGUCACCAAAUGACCUGAAUUUUGGAUAUAUUCAACAUAUAGAUGUCUACUAUGCAUCUGCUAAUUUUCGUAAUUUUCUGCCAUGUAUGUUAAUUAUGGUGAAUUUACUAGUAACCCAUGCUCGUACAGACAGUUUUUACUGACAGAUUGUGUUGGUCUUUUUGAGACGUCACUUUAGACUACUAUCUUGACCCAAAACGGCUCCGUAUUUUUAUUUUAUUAAGAUUAGUAUGUCUAUUUUGAUCAGUAUGAAUUUAGUAGCAAUCAAGCGUAUAAAUUAAUUAUGAUUAAUUCUAAAGUGAGUGUACCUCGUUACUGAAAUUCUGUUUGACAACUUUGUGUUGGUUGUAAUGUCUGAAAUAUAAAGCAAUUUUAUUUAGGUACAUCUUUGAAAGAGUGUUUGCCCAAGUGGGAGAAUUAGUAAAUUGGGCUUCACACUCAUUAACUUAUUUGCAAGUAUAAACUCUGAAAACUUAGUGGAAGUUAUUCUAAAAUUGUGAGCAUUAAGUGGACUUGCAUGAAUCUAUUAAAGCAUUAUUCUAUCUUCCAUGAAUUUGUGUUACUCGAUUAUCCAUAAUAUGCUUAAGUUGCAUGAAUGGAUACUUGGUAUAUGUGUACAUUUUUCUGUUACUUGCAAUCAUUUGGAUUUCUCGGUUGAUCAUUUGUUUUGGGGCUCAUAAGGACUUAGCGUGAAUGUGGACUUAUUAAUACAUAUAAGAUGGUUGUUGGAUGCAUGUUUUGUGUAACAGUGGUGAAUGUUUUCAUGCUUAGUUGUACCUUUCAUUAAGGUAAUAUGCAUUCAUUGACUGAGUAAGGCUAUUCCCAAAGGCAUAUUUUCAAAAAGUAUGAUUUAUGUAUUGAUUUGCAAAUUAAGUAAUGAUGUUGCAGAUCAGUGGGAGUUUGAGUUUCGUGUUAGUAAUGCCUUACAUUUGCAGAUGACCUAUAAGGUAUGUAUAGAAUCCAUGUAUUCAAUUUAAUCUCCAGUUGGAUUCAUUAAGUCAAAUUUUUCGAGUGCUAGUCAACUAUCUGAUGAAAUAUAUAUCAGAUAUCAAGUUGUUAUCAAAUUGCAUAUUAAAUGGCAUGGCAUGGUUUAUGUACUGCCUCAGUUGUGAGGAUUUCCAUCUUGCCUGCAGGUGUUGGAAAUCACUAUGAAAGUAACUGGUAUGGUGCAUAAAUCAGUGUCAAAAACAUAUUAAUUCAUCUUGCUCACAAGUGCUGAAUUAAUUUGUUUUAUGAAGUUUUUGGGAUAUUUUACUUGGACAUGUGCCUAUUUGGUAUUUUCAGUUGUGUCCGUUGGUUACAAACAUUGUUUGUAUUGUUACUGAUCUAAUGAAGGUGAUGCAUGAUUGUUUUGGAGAUGUAUUCACACCUAUAGGUUAUGGUGGUUUCAUUAGAUGAAGGAUACCUGCAUUGGCAGAUUUAAGGCUUUGAAGAAGCAUAAAGUGUAACUUAUGAGUUGCAAUAAGGUGGACCUAAGAUGAUAUAAAGUAAGACAUUCUGGUUAAUUUAAAGUUUCAUCUCUUGAUCAUAAUUUGUGUUUCAUGUGAAUGAGGAUCUUAGCAUGUGUGAUUAUGAAGGUUCUGGGUUGUGUCAACUCUACAACCUUGUUAGUUCCAUGUUAAGAAAUGCAUUUGACAGAAGCUGCAUUAAGGACGAGAUGUAAUCACUGUUACAUGGCCACUAAAGUGACAUUAGUCUUCAAUCUCAAGUAUAAACGUGAAUAUUACAUUUUGUAGACCAAGUGGGAGAAUGUUGGAUUUAUCCAAUAUAAAUCAACAUUUAAGUGGUCUACUACAUGUAAUAGGAAUGUAAUAUUGGAGAAUAAUGUUAAUUGUGAUUUGGCCUCUUAAAGAUAUCAAUCCUAUAUAAGGUGUCUUAUAUUGGAAAUAGGAUUGAUAGAAUCCUUAAUUGCAUAUGAUUGUGAUACUUGACUUGGAGGCUAAUAAAGUAAGUUUAGGUUUCCUUUAUGGAUGGAAACCCUAGCUUUUAGCCUAAAAGGAAACCCUAGCUUUUAGCCUAUAUAAAAACAUCGGUCCCUAUAAGCCCUAGAACACACAACAUAAUGCUUCCCAUAGAGUAGUUGUAUCCGGUUAGGAGUUUAAAGAAGAUCCUGGUGUUGCCGUGCCCUACUACUUUUGUGUUCGAUUUCCAUGGUCACCGUUGGAAUCAGGUCAGUUACUCAUUCGUUUGUGUUUUAAUUAUAUAACCUCAUAAGGCUAACAAUAAAAGGAUUCUAACUCAUGUAGACUUAUCACCAUCAAGGUUUUAGCGAGGCUACACCUGUGCGCCCAGUCCUCUUUGUACAAAUUCUUAUCCUUUUACAGUUACUUUUACCUACUUUCCCUAGAACUUUAUUUUACUUUUUAUUUUUGAACAAACGAUCUUAUUCAUACUAAAGACGAGGGGCAAUGGUUAAGCCUAGACAGUAAUGCUAAGUGGUUCCUGGAACUCGAUUUUAAUCUCACUCUGCUCUCUGUAACUCAAAAGUUGUAAUUUUAUUCUCUAAAACUCAAAGUUCGUUCUAUUUUACCCUUUAGAACUCAUUUUGUUUCCAUUUGCCUCCUGAAACUGUCGACUCUAUAAAACUUAAAAGUCGUUCUACACUGCUGUAGAUCUGUUAAUUUCUCAUGUGGAUUUGAUUUUGAGUGCGCCAAACUAAUCAUUUUUUUUUUCAUCUCUUCAAUUUCUUUUAAACUUAAUAUUCUCUGAUUGUUGAAUGUUUAAGACAUAAUAGAGAUUAUAAUCAAAUUUAUUAAGGAUGUGGCAUAAUCUAAUUGAAUGUUGGGUCCCGCAUAUAUUUCAGGAGGCGUCCUAGAAGUUUCAGAAAUAAGAGAAUCAAAAUGUUAAAGUGAAACCGUUUUAAGUUUCAAGGAAUAAAGUGUUGACAUUUGAAUUACAGGAGCAAAGUGAAAUCUAAAUGGAGCUCCAACAUGUGUACCUAAAAAUAAGUCUCCUUUCAAUUAAUGAAUUUCAUGUUAUAAAAGUGGAUGACCCACAUGAAGAAAUAGGCAAAGUCCCACCGCUUCCUGUCGCUUACAAUGUUGAAUGUGUGUUGCCUACUUUUACAUUUCUUGGCCUUAGUCGAGAACUAUAUGGUUUCCAAUAUAAAGGCCUAUUAGUUCACAAAUGUUACAAAGAAGAAAACAUACAAUCUCUUGUUUCAUUGCAUUGUAAUUUCAGUUUGAUAAUGAGAGAUAUACUGUUGCUGCCUUGAGGACGUAAGCACACUUGUCAAACCUCGUAGACAUUGUGUGUUAUUUACUUUAUGUUCUACUACACACAUAUUCUCAAUUUCACCACAUUUUGUACUUUUCUCAAGUUAUAAGCUUCACUUUUCGAUUUGUGAGUAGAUGCUUUUCAUCUUCUUUUUCUGUUCACUUGACCUGAGCUGAUGCGAUUGGUUCCAUGUUUUUCCCACUGUUCGAAAAAGGGUCUAGGCAGCCGCCUAGGCGCUGGGCGUCAGGCUGUCGCCGCGAUUAUACAAGAAACAUUCAGUAAAUCGGCAAGGGAAUUAGGCAGUGUCUAGGUGGCCGACUUGGCAGGCUAGACGGCCGACUCAGCGAGUUAGGCAACCUAGACGACAAACUAGGCGGGUUUGUAAAAAAAAACUAUAUACGUCUCGCAGCUUCACUCUUCGCGUAAAAGAGAAUGCGACGACAUAAAAUCUGGAGAAAGAUAGAGUGAUGGAGCAAGAGAGCGUGAGGGAAGAGAGUGAGAGAGACGUUUAGAAGCAAUUAGAAAAACAAAUCUGCAAUUGCAGGAAAAUAAUGAGAAAUUGACAUAGACUGGACACUUGGGAAGUUGGGAUUUCUUCUAUGAGGAAUUCGUUGCCACAACCAGGUUUUGAGAAAUUAUACAGAGGAAGAAGAAGAUAAGGAACUAGGCGGAGCAAUCAAAUAAUGGGAGGAAAAGAAACAGAGAGAAUCCAAAAUAAAGGUCUUCACGGUUUCCAAGAUGUAAAUGACCAUCCUCUCUAUUUGACCGGUUUCCACCACUUUCCCCUUUUAAUUAUCCACUCUCCACUGUUAUAAAUUAUAAUCACCCACUACUCACUUAUAAUUUAUAAUAAAAGAAAAUAAAAAAUAAUUACUCACUCUUCACUAUUAAAUAAAUAUGUUAUAUAAUAUAUUAGGAAUAGUAUUUUAUUAUAUUUGGUAUUUCUAAGACCAUCAUAUUAUUAUACUUAAAACUCCUACAUUACAUAUAUACUUUUAAAAAUAAUGUAUUAUUUAAUGUUUAUGUAUUAUUAUAUUUGGACUUGUUGGAUAUUCUUUUUGCAUUUUAUCAUUCUUUUAUUAUUUUAUCUAUGGAUUUCAUACAAGUAUAAUUUUUUUGUAAGUGUCAAAAUGCACUUAUUUACAAGACAUACAAAAAAUUUCCCUAAAUCCACCUCGUCCACCUAGGCGCCCGCCGCCCGACUAGUGCCUAGCGUUUUUUAGAGCCUUGGUUAUUUCUCGCUUCUCAUAGCUAGCAGCAUGACAUACAUACAAUAAGUAAACUGAAAAUAUGACUUUAGUCCAUAGAAUUCAAUUUUACACAUAAAAAACCCAACAUGACUUUUUUACUCUAGAAAAACCCAGUGACUAGUGACACACCCAGACCUGAGAUGUCUACUAGGACUCCGAAUCGAGUUGUGCUGACCAACACCUGGAAUGUGACAAAGCCAUAAAGUAUGAUGAUGUGGAAAAAAUGUGAAUAAAUUUAAACCUAAGAGUGCCUAAAAAAAACAGAGUGCGCUAGUGAGCGGGAAUGAACCCAUUUCACACAUGACUUUAGAGCAUAAGUAAGUGCAAUAGAGUGGAUUAAGAAUCAUACCCUCGAUAGAAAUCUCCAAUACUAAGAUUUGCCACGAAUCCUCAACAAUAAGAAAGCUCAUCUAAUAAAACCUGAAAGGUGAAAACAAAACAAGGGUGAGUGGCCCUAGAAAUAAAUUUUUUAAUAGAAACCUUCUAAAACGUUAUAACCCCUCGAUGCAUCACAUUGUAUAGUUUCUAGAAAAUCAUAUCACGUAUCAAUGUGAAAUAAAAAAUAUAUCAACAGUAAUUCCAUAAUUAUACCACGACCCAACAACUCAUCAGUAAUAUAAAUAAUCAUGCGCUUAAUAAUCUAUAUUAGCAUGCAAGUUGGAGUCACCUAAUGUGACAUGUACGACUGCACCCAUAUCUCAUCAAUCAACGUUAGCACGUAAGUCAAAGUCACCUAUAGUGACCCAUACGACUUAUCCAUAUCUCAUCAAUCUAGCUCUUAUCAAUCAAUGCUAGCACAUAAGUUGGAGUCACCUAUAGUGACCUGUACAACUUAUCCAUAUCUCAUCAAUCAAUGCUAGCUCAUAAGUCGGAGUCAAGCACUAAUGCCGGGGUGCAGGUUUAUGAGCUCUAAUUACAUCUAUUAUAACAUGUACGACUCAUGGGCAACCUGUACGACAGUGUCGGAGUUGCCUAUCAUUGCAACAUGUACGACAAGGUCGGAUUUGCCUAAAACUUACAUGUAGUCAUGUCAUAACUCCAUCAUUUCAACUAAUACCAUAAACUCACCUGAACUUACCUGGGUGUCCUGUGUUCACCUUUGCACUUCAAAGCGUUCAUAAUAAUUACGAGCAAUUAAUAUACAUAUGGAUAUACCAUGAUGCAAUCUAAUACUCAAUCAUGUCAUAACAUUUACAAUUAUAUACAUACAUACAUAUAUAUAUAUAUAUAUAUAUAUAUAUAUAUAUAUAUAAUAUGACACAAAAUGCAUAAGCUGUAAUGCCCUACUCCCGAACUAUUUAUUUUCAGAAAUAAUUAUCGGUGACAAGCUCAACUAAACACUAAUAUAACUAACUAUCAAUACUUACGAUUCUUUACUUCAAUUUUUGAUCCUUCACACAAUGAUUUAUAACCAACAUCCCAUCACUAAAUCAUAAGGUUAAAUCUCACAUUUUCCACCAAUGUCCCUCACAUUGCACAAUUUCCCAAACAAGGCUAUUGUCUCAAUUAUUUAGUCUCAUUUAUAUUAUGGCUGCAUCUAACGUCUCGUUAGACUGCCUAUGUACCAUAAACAGGGAUCAAGCCAUUCAUAGUUCACAUUUGUACUUCUAAGCAUUCACAGUAAUUAUAUGCAAUAAUCAAUUUAUAACUGUUUGUGGAAUUAUCAAUCAUAUAUAUAUAUAUAUAUAUAUAUAUAUAUAUAUAUAUAUAUAUAUAUAUAUAUAUAUAUAUAUAUAUAUACGAUAGAAAGGAAAAGACCUACUUACUUGAGGUCCGCGUUACGACUCCCUAGCAUGCAUAUCGAGACAUCACAAACCAUUGUCGUCUAGAACAAUUAUCAAAUGACAUCUCAGAGUUCUUACCGAUAAAAUACAUAAUUUACAUAAAACACAUCCCUAUGUAAUUCAAUUCGGAAGAUUUGCAUCACGGAUUUCCGAUCCAUUACUUCCAAGGACCCACAUUAUGUUUCUAGAACAAUGUCCUAAGGUUUCAUUAUGAUCCAACAGUUGGAUCUCCGCCAAUUGCCAAAACCAAGUGGUGGUCAACAUUUUAUUUUAUGAACUUACAAUUCUAAUUCAAGAAGAUCCGUAUAUCGGAUUCUCGAUCCGUAAAUUCCUAUGAUCUUCAAAUAUUAUGUAUUAUAAGAUAUUAAAGUUUGGUGACAAUCCAAUGGUCGGAUUGUCGAUUCAUGUUUUUACCAAGUAACAUAUCAUAAAGAAUUUAGGUUCAAACGAUCAACCAAUGUCAUACUAACAUCAAAACUGAACUCAAGACAUCUAAUUUAGCCUAAAAAUAGUAUCGACGGCCCUCUAGCCAUGCACCGCCGCACGGGCUGCCGUGGGUGGUGGUCGGCAGCCCCGACUCGCCGGAAAAAUCAACUAUUUCUAAAAAUUCUCAAACUUCACAAAAAUGAAGAUCUCAUUGAGUGGAACAACUUUUAUACCUAUGACUAAGGCCAAUUUGGUUGUGAAGAGCUCCAAUUUCACUAAAAUCCACCGGAAACCCUAGAAUGGGUGCUUUUUGAUUCUCCUUUCUCAGUGUUCCAACAUCCCUACAACUGGUUGGGUCUUGUUCUUGGGUCCAAGGGGAGUUGAUUAAGGGUGGUAAUGGGUGGUGAAACUCGCCAGAAAGGAGGAAUCGCAGUCCAGCACCUCCAGUGCUCCGGUGAAGUUCCUUGCGGGUUAGGACCUAAAAACCCUUAAAUAUGGAUGGAGAUGGUAGGGGGAAGGGUGUGGAUGAGGUUGCAGGUGAUGAAUGGGUGAAACCUGCUUGAAAAAUGGCGGAGGAUCGCCAAAAAUCCACCCCGGGUCGAAGCCGGGUUUUCUGCAUAUGUAUGGCUACAGGAAGGGAAGGCUGAGAGCUUCCCUCUCUCCUCUCCUAAUUGGUGGAAAUGUUUUUUUUUUUCUCAUCUAAUUGGUCCUUAUUUUCUAUCCUUGAAGCUGAUUGGCUUCUUUCCUAUAAGAUGGGAGUUCAAUAAUUUAGUAAUCUAAAAUGUAAGUAACCAAUUUCAAACGUCUGUAACUAUACCGUUAUAAUCUGGACUCGCAAACGGCUUUUGCCUAUGCGUUCGUACCAUCGAGUACUACGAAAAUACGCCAAAAGAAUAAGUCAUACGUUCUUCCAGACGAUGGUCAACAUAAAUCAAAAUCCUUGCCUCUAGACAUUUUUGUCAAUUUCCUCGAUUAAAAAUAAAUAAAAACGAAAUUUUAGGGACUGGUUGUCAGACUAGGAUCCACAUAAGCGAUUUCAUUAAUUACAUUCAACUUGCCACAUUUUACAUAUUUCGGAUGCCGAAAAUACCCCUAUUGUAUGUUUGAUGUAUAAAAAUUAAUUACAUGCAAAUUAUAUGGGAGAGUUAAUGACUUUGACAAAUAAUAAAUAAAUAAAUCAAAAGACAUUAAUGUACGAAAUUAUGGAGAUGAAUGCACAAAGAAGCGAAAUUAAUGUGUAUAUAAAUAUAGCCGAAUCAAUGGUGCAUUUAAACUAAUUACAUAUUAAUAUGAAAUAUGGGAAUGAAUGUCCUAAAAACUAUACGAUUUUGAAUUGUUUUAUGUAUUGAAUGACUUUAUUAAUUUCAAUGACUAUUUAAAUGCAAGCAUCUACCCUAUGACAGUUAAUGAGCAAAAAAAAAGGACCUAGUCAAAUGUCAAUUUUUAGGCUACAAAAUUUGAACGUACCUCCAAACUUUGUGGAGUGUGCAUGUAAAUAAUGAGAAGACCAGCAUAAUUUCCGAUGCUAAAACAAAACGAUGAGUUGUGUCUUUUCCCAACCAUUCAAUCACAUGCCAAGAAUAUCACUGCUUCCCUCCACCUCCCUUCCCUUCGCCUCUAUAAGCAGCCUUGGGCAAAGCCAAGUUACUCCACUUCAUCCAUGGCUCCAUCUUUUCUCUCCCCCACGGCCUUGGGUUGCUGCUUUCUUCUCUUCUCCCUCAUUCUCUCUUCGUUUCCAGCUCUCUCAUUCGCCCUAUCCAAUGCCGAAGCCGCUCACAUAGCCCAUCGCCAACUCACUUCUCUCCCUGAGAAUGGCGACCUCCCAGACAACUACGAGGUUCAAGUCGACGCCAAUCUCAAAUUUGAAAACGACAGGCUCAAGAGGGCUUACGUCGCUCUCCAGGCGCAGAAGAGAGCUAUUUUUUCCGACCCUUUUAACUUCACCGCUAACUGGGUAGGGGAGAAUGUUUGUGCCUACAAAGGGGUGUUCUGCGCUCCGGCACUCGACAACCCGAGCUUGAACGUGGUGGCCGGCAUAGAUCUCAACCAUGCAGACAUUGCAGGACAUCUCGUUGUCGAAAUGGGGCUCCUUACCGACCUCGCUCUCUUCCACAUCAACUCCAACAGAUUCUGCGGUAUCAUCCCAGAAAGCUGCAGAAGGUUGACGCUUAUGUAUGAGUUCGACAUCAGCAACAACCGAUUCGUUGGUCGUUUUCCUGGAGUCGUCCUGAGAUGGCCUAAUUGCAAGUACCUUGACCUCAGGUUCAACGGCUUCGAAGGUGAGCUGCCUCCGGAGCUUUUCACCAAGGAGUUUGAUGCCAUUUUCUUGAACCACAACCGAUUCACGUCGGUAAUUCCAGAGACGAUUGGAAACUCCAAGGUUUCUGUUGUUUCAUUUGCAUUUAACAAUUUCAGUGGUUGCAUCCCGCACAGCGUUGGGAACAUGCGCAAUGUGAAUGAGCUGAUCUUCAUGAACAAUCAGCUUGGCGGGUGCUUCCCUCCUGAGAUUGGAAACCUUGGAAAAUUGCAAGUUUUUGAGGUGAGCUACAAUGGAUUUAUAGGUUCUUUACCAAAGAGCUUUGUCGGGCUACAGAGCAUUGAGGAAUUGGAUAUUGGGUACAACAGGUUGACAGGGUUUGUGACUGAUAAGAUUUGUAUGUUGCCUAAGGUGGCCAAUUUCACAUUUUCUUACAAUUAUUUUAGUGGGGAGGCUCAAAAAUGUAUGCCUAAUCCCAAAUCGGAGAUAGUGUUGGAUGAUUCGGGCAACUGCAUGCCAGGAAGGCCCAAGCAAAAAAACACAAAGACUUGUUUCCCUGUGGUAACUAAGCCUGUGGAUUGCAGCAAGCAUUGUGGUGGAUCUUCUACACCCGAAAAGCCUAAGACACCAAAGCCUCAACAACCUCCAACGCCAAAGGUUGAACGACCACCCACACCAAAGUCUGAACCGCCACUCACUCCAAAGUCUGAGCCACCACUAACGUCAAAGGUUGAACCGCCACCUACUUCGAAGGCUGAAGCUCCACCGACGCCUAAGGCCGAGCCGCCACCAACACCAAAGGCUGAGCCGCCACCAACUCCAAAGGUUGAACCACCACCCACACCAAAGGCUGAACCGCCACCUACUCCAAAGGUUGAACCGCCACCCACUCCGAAGGUUGAGCCACCAUCCACGCCAAAGGCUGAGCCCCCACCCACUCCGAAAGUUGAGCCACCACCCACUCCUAAGGCCGAGCCACCAUCUACACCUAAGGCUGAGCCACCACCCACUCCCAAGACUGAGCCACCACCCACUCCCAAGGCAGAGCCACCACCCAUGCCUAAGGCUGAACCACCACCCAAACCAAAGGCUGAGCCACCACCAAUUUCAAAGGUAGAGCCACCACCGACCCCUAAGGCCGAACCACCACAAACUCCAAAGGCAGAGCCACCACCCACUCCAAAGGCUGAGCCACCACCCACUCAAAGGGCUGAGCCACCAUUGACACCUAAGGCUGAGCCACCACCCACUCCAAAGGCAGAGCCACCACCCACACCCAAGGCCGAGCCACCUCCCACACCCAAGGCCGAACCACCACCUGCACCUAAAGUCGAGCCACCACCCGCACCUAAAGUCGAGCCACCACUCACACCAAAGGCUGAGCCACCAUCUACACCAAAGGCCAAGCCACCUUCCACACCCAAGGCUGAGCCACCGCCAACACCAAAGGCCGAACCACCUCCUGUGCCAAAGGCCGAACCACCCCCCUCACCAAAGGCAGAGCCACCUCCCACACCUAAAGUUGAGCCACCUCCAACACCAAAGGCGGAACCACCUCCAACACCAGAGGCUGAGCCACCCCAAACACCAGAGGCCGAGCCACCACAAGCACCUGAGGUCGAACCACCGCAAGCACCUAAGGCCGAGCCACCGCAAGCACCUAAGGUUGAGCCACCUCCUGCACCAAAGGUUGAGCCUCCUCCUGCACCUAAAGUUGAGCCGCCUCCAACACCAAAGGCAGAGCCACCACCGACACCAAAGGCAGAGCCACCAGAAGCACUAGAGAUUGAGACACCACUAUCACCUGCACCUUCACCAAGCCCAAUUGGUCGUAGCCCUAAGGAAGAUCCAUUAUAUCCAAUUCAACCACCACCAACACCAAAGCCUGUGCAAUCUCCUCCGCCACAAUCUCAAACACCAGAACCAACUCCAGAGCCUGUGCAAUCUCCUCCAGAGCCUGUGCAGUCACCUCCACCUCCAGUCCACUCACCACCACCACCUGUUCAAUCUUCUCCACCACCAAUUGAAUCCCCACCACCGCCUGUCCAAUCUCCACCACCACCAGUUGAAUCCCCACCACCGCCUGUCCAAUCUCCACCACCACCAGUUGAAUCUCCACCACCACCGGUUGAAUCUCCACCACCACCAGUUGAAUCCCCACCAUCGCCUGUCCAAUCUCCGCCACCACCAGUUGAAUCUCCACCACCACCAAUUGAAUCCCCACCACCGCCUGUCCAAUCUCCACUACCACCAGUCGAAUCCCCACCACCACCAGUCGAAUCACCUCCUCCCCCAGCUCCAACUCCAUCUCCUCUUUUGCCUCCUCCUGUGCAGUCUCCGCCACCAACCCAACCAGACUUCGUGCUACCACCAAACAUUGGAGCACUAUACUCAUCGCCACCACCGCCAAUGUUCCCAGGCUAUUGAGUAAUAGUUUAUCGUUUCACAUGUUUGCCUUAUUUUGUAUUUUUUUCUCUAGUUCGAAAACACCUUUUACACACUCACUUGUAACUUGAGAAUCUUGCAAAUACAGUGAGACAGGGCCGUCUCUGACAUUUUGGGGGCCCUGUGCGAAUGAAAUAAAAAAAAAUCCUUAUUUUAAAAAAUAUUUUUUGGACAAUAUAUUCAUACAUAAUUCAACAAUCAAUACAAAACACUUAAUUGAAAUCAACAUAUUUCUCUUACUAAUGGAAUGAUUUCUAAUUGCCAUGAAAUUAUGAUUUAAGGUCCAUCCAUGAAAAAGGAGCAUGACUGAAAGAGAUAUACGGAUGUGGUUGUGGAAGAAAGUAAUAUACAAGUUGGUAUUGUAUCCCUAGAGGAAAUUGGAAGAAAGUAAUACAAAAGUUUUCUUAUUGUUUGAGAAAGGUGAAAGAGAGUAAUAGACAAGUUUUCUUAUUGUUUGAGAAAAGUGAAAAUUAAGAUAUUAAGUAUAGGCUCCACUUAAUCAAUUGUAAUGUAGAUAAAAUCUUAUGUUGAUGAUUUUUCUUUUCAGUCAAAACUUUUUUAUUAGAAAAUUAUACUCAUAUGUAAUAUGUAGUAGGAUGAAAAUUUUUGGGGGCCCUUAGAAGUUUAGCGUCUUGUGCCACUGUGCCUUUUUACACAUCCCUAACGCCGCCUCUGCAGUGAGAUUUGUAAUUUCAACUACCUUCUAUUGCAACUUACAUUGGCUCUCUCUUUUGCUAAACUUAAUAUGUGUUAUCGUGGAUUUAUUGCUAAAGAAGUAAAAUAAAAAUAAAAAAAUAAAAAAAUAAAAAAGAGAGAAAAUGAUUCAAAGUGGUGGCUGAUCAUGAACGAAAUUAAUUUUAUUAUGAUUAAAUUACACUGUUAGUAAAGGUUUGUUUGGAAAACUGAAUAUAAGUGUUUUGAUUGUAUUUCUUUUCAUUAUAAGCACAUCAUCAUUUAUUUUUUUAAAUUCAAGUCUUUAUGAAGCAAGCAAUAAGCACAUAUCAUUCUACGAAAAUUUCACUAAAAACUGCAGACUAAGAAAAUACGUUUAACUAUAUUUGCCAAAACGUUAUCAAAAGUGUAUUUAGGUAUGUGCACUAUUAUAGCAGAGAGAGAGGACUUGUUUCCUAAUGAAGCCCAUAAGUAAUCACCACCCAUCAAUGUAAUAAAAUAGGAAACCAAUUCUCAUAAUUUGACAAUAGGAUUGCUUCCAAAACAAUAUCCAAUAAACCGAAUAUAUCACGCAUAGACUAUGUCAUGUGGGCCCACACGACAUAGUCUAUGUGUGAUACGUGUCAUAUGUCAUAUUCUUACAUUCUUCCAUUUGGCCCACACAACACAUAUGACACAUAUGUGAUAUGCCUUAUGGUUUAAUAAAUAAGCAUUAGGUGCGCAUUAUAUUUGAAAGCACCCUCACUAUAAAUACUGAUUUUAAGUAAUUCACUAAUGCAAGUCAAGGAUGUUUUAAAUCUACAUGCGAUAUAAUUCCUUCGAUGUACCACAACAUUAAUAAAUUACUCAAAAUGGUCAAUUAGUGAGAAGUAAUACAGAGUUCCUAUAAUGUGUUUGUCAGAGACUGUUCCUAUUAUAAUAUAUCCAAUCUCAAACAUGUAUACAUCUAUUGGAAAACAAGCAAUAUCAUAAACAUAACCAAUUAUUGAGCUCAGAGUGUCAACUUAAAGAAUUAAACAUCAUACGACACACCUAAUCAUUAGUAUUGUCAUGAUUAUUACCACAAUUUUUUCGACAUUUUUCAUUUUUGCCUUCAACCAUUGUGGUAGCAAAUUUUUGCCAUCUUUAGACUUGACGAAAUUGUACUAUGGGACCAUGAUUUUUUAGGGCAAGAGUAAGGUUAAUCUGAAUACAGUUACCUCAAAAGUCCGAUCAUGGACUCACCAGCUCCAGGUGAAGCUGUAUCAAAUGGAGCAGUGGUGUAACCAUCACCCUGUUCUGGGGUAAUAGACGAAGUCCAAGCGACUUCGUUGGAUGACCAUGCUUGUUCCCCAAGACAUACGAUCUGAUCCAGAUAUGGACAAUUUCAGAUUUUAUAAGUUUUAGAGUUCAUAAGAGGAUGUAAUAUCUAUUUCUAGAUAUUCUCUAGGAUUCUCCCAGCUUAGAACGAUGAUUCCAUCCCAAAAAGUCUCUCUCCCAAAGUAUAUAUACACUCGUCUAGGGUUAAUAUCUGGUAACACAAUCUAAACACUUGAAUUCUCUUUCCCACUGAUUGAGUCUAAAAUCAUUCACUAACUUAACCAUCGGAUAACCUUUGGCAGACACACCCCUCCCACUCCGCGUCUUAGGAUUGGUCACAAUUGUUUACUAUUUUGUAGGUUGCUAGAGUUUGUGCACAACCACCAUUCACAGUGCGCGGAUUUGCUUGUAACAAUUGGUGCUUUCAUUGAGAGUGAACUCGUAUUCCUCUCGUCCAAAUUACUUUACCACCUAACAUGUCUGAAAGCUAGGUUAACAACAACAACUUUGCGGCCAUCCAAGGUAAUACCCAUAAAAAAUACGAUGGGGUCAUCACCAUAGACAAGAUUUGGGAGGACGUCAUGGAAAUCUGUCUGUCUCUGGAAAAUGUUCGGCAAGCCCGCUAGAUUUGCUAACAUAAAGGCGUGCAUCAAAGACUUAAAGGAAGUUGUUUCCCGUUUCAAAGAAUUGGCCACUCAAAAGACAGUAGUAAUAAAUCUGAUCUCCGAAGAAUCGCCUCAAUGUACCCUUAAGAACAUUGCAGGAAAUCCAAAAGGCUUCUGGGUCUCUACCAUAUCCAGCGCUAAAGGAAAGAAACAUUUUCUCAAGUAAAUUGCAUAUACAGGGAGCAAUAAUACCUGGGAAACACUCAGACAUAAAUAAAGGUGACUUGCAAGAAACCAAGAAUGAUGGCUUUCAUCACCAAACCAUUAGCCAUCGAUUCCAAUAUCUUGAUGUUCUUAGAUAUGGAUCUAGAAGAUGUCCACUCGCCCCAUGAUGAUGCCUUCGUCAUCAAAAUACAAAUCUCCAAUGCCCUAGUAAAUAUCAUUCUGGUCGACAACAGCUCAGGAGUUAGUUUAUUCUUCGAUGACACCGUUGAAAAGAUGGAGAUUCUUGACAGUGUCAACAAGGGGAAGACGACCAUCUACACCUUCAACGGAACCCUAGUCUAGUUUUUGGGAACAAUAAAACUGGCGGUCCAAGCAGAAACAAAUAAAAAAAAUUCUCAAACAAAAGACUCAAAGGGAAAAACAAAAAUUGUAUACACUCAGUACAAAGGGCUACCAACGCCACACACUAAAGCUCCAAAAUUUUAUGACCAAUGUUUCCUAAAAGCAAAAACCGAAUCAAAUUAGACAACCACACGCAAGAUUGAAGCACACAGACAUAACCCCCAAAAUCAUAAGAAAAAAAAUUCAAACACAAAUCCACCUACAAAUCGAAAACCACAAAAAAGAAAUUAAGUUAGGCACACUGAAAAAAGACCUAAAAAUCAUCAGAAGACGCGAGAUCACGUGAGGAAAAAAAUGAAUUUUGAUGAAAUCGAAAAUGGCAAAAACUUGUAGCCAGUUAAGGGUUUUGAACCAAAGAAAUUCGUAGGAGUAGAAGACUAUUCCAGCAACAAAAAUGGUGGCAAAUGAUCACUGAGACAAAGACGGAAACUAUAAACAGCAAGAAAAUAGGCAGUGCGAGAGAGGAAGAAACCCAGGUCCGAAUCGAAGCAAAAUGCUAUGAGAGAGUGAAAGAAACAUGAAAGAAAAAGUGGAGAAGAAGUCAAAGGCAGCGAUGAUAGAUGUGUGGCCAACAGAGGCAAAAAUGACUUUCCACUACAGAAAAAAAGGAAACAGCACGGGAAGCACAGAGAAACCGAUGGCAUUUCCGCCCGCACACUAUUAAUAAACAAUGUCGUCCCCCAACUGGGUUUUAGUAUAUAUAAUUUUUUUUUUUUAACAAACGAUAUUUCUGCCCGCACACUAUUAAUGAACAAUGUUGUCCCCUAACUGGGUUUUAGUAUAUAUACUUUUUUUUAUAACAAACGAUAUUAUCUACACUAGGAGGAGGGGUGGUUUUAGCCUCAAAAUGGACUAGCAAUAAUGUGGUUUGAAUUCGCUUUUAGCGAUAAUCAAACAUAAGACAUUUCACUUACAAGUGAAGAUGAAUACUACUAUACCGUAAUCAUAAGUGACUCUAUUAGUAUUAAUUAAAUUAACUAAUCCAAUAUAUAUAUAUAUAUAUUGUCACAUCCCGGCCCGGGGCGGAUCACUUCCCGGGCCCGCUCUAACACCUUUAGCAUUCCCUUAGGACCUAGAACAAAGCCCAAAGCGGACAAUAUCGCCGAUCCUAGAAUCAAGGCGUGCUGGCCGUCAUGAGAGCGUGACGGCCAGCACGCCUUGAUUCUAGGAUCGGGGUGUCAUAUAUUGUAUCCUAAAAAUCUAAUGUUGGUUUGAAACAACUUGAUCUUAGAUGCAGAGACAACUAAUCCAUUGGACUUAAUUAUUCUAGUGAACAAAUGCAAAUGUUUCCAAUGUUCGUCUAUUGACUUUGAAUAAAUAAGAACAUCAUCAAUAUAAACAAUUGAAAGAUGGCUAUAUUGAUUAAAAAUCUCAUUCAUUAUAUUUUGAAAUUCACCUGGAGCAUUCUUGAGGCUGAAAGGCAUUACAUUCCAUUCAUAAUGUCCGAGAAAGUCUCUUUAUCAAAUCUCUUUUGUUGGGGAUUGGAUACCGAAUCCAUUCCAAAACUUCAUUCAAAGGUUUGUAGUUAAUAACUAAUCGAGGAGUUCCUCUUUCUAAUUUUGCAUUCUUCUGAACAUAAAAUGCAAAGCAUGACCAUGGAGAUUUACUUUUCCUAAUGAUACCUUUAUUAAGCAGUUCAUGGAUUUCUGUCUUACAGAAUUCUAAAACUUCUUGACUCAUUUGAAUUGGUCUGGCCUUAGUUGGAAUUUUUGAUUUGUUAAAAUCCUUUAUAUAAGGAAGUUUAACAAUGUGUUGUUUUCGAUGCCAAAAGGCAUUGGGAAUAUCGGAACAGAUGUCAUUGACAAGGUUUUUUUGAAAAUUAUCAAUAGUUUCUAACAAAGAUUUAUUUGUUAGUUGUUCGUCAAUUCGUUUGUGAUUAAUUUCUUCCUUUAAAAAAUUAAGUUGUAUAGAUUUAUGAUUGAUUAAGUUGAUGGAUCACGAUAUGCUAUCCUUUUGGAGAUGUCUUAAUUUUUUUAGAUUAGUUUCCCUACAGAACUCAAACGUGACUUUCUGUCCUAAAAUUUUUUUGGUAAUCCUAUUGUGAUGAACCUUAAAAGGAUAUAUGAGGGCUAGAAAUGGAAGACCCAAGAUAACUGGUCGGAAAUAUUUUUGAUUAAAACAAAUGGAGUUUUGAAACAAACAUCAUUUUGACAAACAUGUGCCUUUGAGUAUUUCAUAUUUUAAUUGCAUUGGUGACUGGUUAGUAGCCCUAAGUAUUUCUGAUGACUUAUGAAAAUACUUAGUAGGGAUUAACCCUUCUUGAAUAUAAUUCAAAUUUGCACCAGAGUCAAUCAAAGCAAUUGAUUCAAAAUGAAAAUCAUCAAUUAUUAUUUUAAUUUUAGAAUACCAUUUAUGGAUUCUUAUCUUGUCUAAAAGACUUAAAAUUAAAUUUCCUGUGGAUGAUUGGUCAUCGAAGUUGUGAUCCGAAGAAGAACUACUUUGUUCUUCAUCAUUGUUAUUGACAAGUGUUUGGGUUCGGACUUUACUAAUGUGUGUACGAAUUUCUAGGUUCUCAGAUUUUAAAACCCUAAUUUCUUCUUUGAUUUUAUUAACUUCAUGUUGUAGAUCUUUAAUUGUGAUUUAUUUCUUAGUCUUAUUGAACCUUUCUAAGGUUUUGCUAAGAGAAAUUCUUGGGGUUAAUUGGGUUUGGCUAGUGCUAGGUUCUUCCGAAGAAACUAAUUUCUUUAGUUUCUUAGGAUAGAAAGAUUUAAGUUCAGGGUCAUCGACUUUACUUAUUAAUUCAAUAAGAAGAUCUUUUUGUUCUUCUUGUUUAUUAAGGACUGAGAUUUUUUCACAACAAGCAUAGGUACAUCCUAUCUUGAUGUCAAGAGAUGAAGAAUCACUUGAAGGGUUAUUAUCUGAAGAGGAUAAUUCUAAAUCAUUUUCAGAUUAACUAUGGUCGGUGUUCCUAAGUUCUACGACUUGAAUUAACUGAAGUUUCUCUUCCUCAGAGAUCUUCAAUUGGUUGAUUGUUUUCUUAACUCGGCAUUUAUUGGCAUAAUGGCCAAAUUUACCACAUUUGUAGCACUUUCCUUUUUGUUCUUGAUUUUUGGAGUGGAUUUUUUUACAGGGUUUCCUCCUCCACUUGUUGGACACUACUACAAAAUGGUCUUAUAGUGUCAGUAGGUGGUGUUGGUUUAAUUUAAUACAGUGGCGGAUAAGAUAGUUGCAACACUAACUGAACAUGACGUCGGAUUUAUUAUCGCUUAUAAGUGUCAUAAAGUACUAGUGUCGCUUUUAAACCGACGUAAACAUACAUUUUAAUAUUUUUAAAUAAUGGUGUCGCUUUUAAACCAACGUAAACAUACAUUUUAAUAUUUUUAAAUACUGGUGUUGCUUUUAAGCGACAUAAAGUAGGAGAGCUUUUCAAUCAGUGUUGCAAAAGCUUCCUUAUUUCGACGCACAUUAGGCUCACGUCAAUUUAAACCGACGCAAACUUGGCCUAUUUCGAGGUCGCUUGCUACGACUGUCAAGACUGUCAGGGACAUGUCGGUUUUAACCGACGCAAACUUGUCCUUAUUUCGACGCCACACAAACUUAUCCUUAUUUUUUAAAAUAUUUUAAAGCUUGCGUCGGUCCUGAGCGACAUAGAUUUUAGUUUUUUUAAAUAUUUUAAAAUCCGGUGUCGGUUGUAAGCGACAGAAUAAUUGUCUUUAUAUACUUUCCCCUGUGUUGUCUUCCUCCUCUCUUGCAUUUUUCUUAUUCGUUCUUCCAACUUCAAACCCUCCCGUGUUCUCUCUUGUACCUUUCUUAUUUGUUCUUCCAACUUCAUUUGUUCCUUCUUCACAACAGUAAGUUUUUCUUGCUUCUAAUAUUUUUAUUUUCUCCACUUAUGUUUAAUUUUUAAUUUCAAUUUCUUUUUGUAGGGAAUUUAUUUGAGUUGGUUGAGUACAUAAAGAUUUGAUCGACGACGGAAUUCUUCCAUAAUUCAAGUUUCUAUCACUAAAUUCUUUAAUUUUUAUAUUGUAUAAUACACAAGUUUAUUUAUUUAAAAGUUCUAAUUUAAGUACUUAGAUAAAUUUAUACUAUUUUUGUUAAAUUAAUAAAUAUUUAGUCGAAUUAAUUAAUUUUGUCACUUGAAUUGUUAUGAGAAAAAGGAAAUGAAUAAUAUUUAUAAGCAUUUAUGUGAAAUUGACAUAUUAAAUUAACAUAAACUUAUAAUAUUUAGUAAUAUAAGAAUAUAUUAUGUUAAAUUAAUUUGUUUUGCACUCUAAUUGUUAUUUUAAUUUGUUUUUGUUGUUAUUUUGAUAACUUUGAUAACUUUUGGUUGUUAUUUACUAGAAUGGAUUAGAUGAGCAUAAUUUUGAUAACUUUUUGUUGUUAUUUUAAUUUGUUUUUACUAUAACAAGUGUUGAAAAUUAAAAGAUUGCAAUCGUGAUAGAGUUUGAGGGUUGAAAGAUAGAAAUUGAAAAUUCUAAUAGUUAUGCCUACAUGAUAGGGAUUGAAAGAUUGUAGGCAUCAUAGUGUCAACGUAAUAUUUUGCCCUCGUAAAGCGGUAAAACAUGGAUAGGAGUUGGUUGACGAUAGCUCGAAAUUUGGAAGCUUAUACAACUGGAAUUAAUUUGUUUUUGGACCAAGCAGUUGCAAAUGGUGUUUGCCCUGAUACGUUUAGAUGUCCUUGCAAAAGAUCUUGUAAUUGAUAUAAUUUUGUUAGGAACACUGUUGUUGAACAUCUCAUAUUGUUUGAUAUGGAUAAAGAUUAUAAAAACGCUUGGUGGCGACAUCAUGGUGAGAAAAACAUUGGAGAGCAAAAUGUGGCAAUCGGAGAAGAAGAAAUAGGAGAUGAGGUGGCUGGUAUGCAUGAUUUUCUUAAUGAUGUAUUUGUCCAACCAUUUAUAGAAGAAGGUGUUGGGCCGUCUACUGAACCCCCUAUUGGGGAAAGGCGUCCAGAAGAGGUGGAGACUUUUUUUAGAUUGCUUGAAGAGGCAGAUCAAGAUUUGUGGCCAUGAUUUAAAGAGUUUAAUAAAUUGGAAGCAGUUGUAAGACUGUAUCAAAUCAAGUGUUUAGCGGGAAUGCCAGACGAGAUGUUCACCGCUUUACUAUAGUUAAUUAAAAGAAUGUUGCCUAAAGGGGAUUGUUUGUCUGAAUCCUGUUAUAAAGCAAAAAAAACUGAUAAAUGACUUGGGUCUGAAGUAUGUGAAAAUUGAUGCAUGUCCCAAUGAUUGCAUGAUCUAUUAGAAAGAUACUUCGGAGUUGACCGUGUGCUUGGUUUGUGGUGAAUCAAGAUAUAAAAUUACCAAUGCAGAUGAUAGCUUAAGAAAAAAGAUCGCAGCUAAGGUUAUGUGGUAUUUUCCUUUAAAACCACGAUUGCAACGAUUUUUUAUGUCGAAGCAUACUGCUGAAUAUAUAAGGUGGCACGCAACUGAAUGUCCUAAGGAUGAGUUUAUGAGGCAUCCUUCAGAUUCUCUAGCAUGGAAGCAUUUGGAUAAUUUAUAACCAGAUUUUGCGUCAGAAAUUUGAAAUGUCAGAUUAAGGUUGGCCAGUGAUGGAUUUAAUCCUUUUGGGAAAAUGAGGCAUGACCAUAGCACAUGGCCUGUGGUGCUUUCUGUUUACAAUUUGUUGCCUUGGAUGUGCAUAAAGCAACCAAAUUUGUUGUUGUCUCUAUUAAUACUAGGACCGCGCAGUCCUGGUAAAGAGAUUGAUGUAUACAUGCAUCCACUAAUUGACAAGUUGAAUGAGUUGUGGGAGGUGGGCACUCCCACUUAUGAUGCAUAUUCCAACCAAAGUUUUACAAUGAAGGAUGUCGUCUUAUGGACUAUAAAUGAUUUUCCAGCUUAUGAAAUGUUGUCAGGAUGGAGUACACAUGGCUAUAAAGCCUGUUCACAUUGCAUGCAUGAUAAAGAAUCUAUAUACUUGCCGGUGAGUCGUAAGAUUUGUUAUAUGGGGCAUCGAUGUUUUCUUGAAGAUAAUCAUAGGUUUCGAAGGCAAACCAUAAAUUUUAAUGGUCAUCGAGAGCAUCGUAGUGCACCAAGGUAGUGGACUGGUUUAUAGUGUCUGAAGAACUUUCUAUUACUUUUGGAAAACCAAAGAAAGAUGCUUCUGUUGGGCAAUGCAGAAAAAGAACUUCGGGCAGUACAAGUAGUAAUAGUCAGUGGAAGAAAAAAUCUAUUUUUUAUGAACUACCUUAUUUGAGGCAUCUGUUGAUUAGACACAAUCUCGAUGUUGUGCAUAUCGAGAAGAAUAUAUGUGAAGUGUGGUGGGAACAUUGCUAGAUAUAGAAAAGUCUAAAGAUGGAUUAGUUGCACGUGCAGAUCUUGAAGUCUUGAACAUAAGGCGUAGUCAACACCCACAUAGAGAAGGAAAUAGAACAUUUCUACCUCCAGCAUUGUUCACGUUGAAAAGAGUAGAAAAAACUGCGUUUUGCAAAGUGUUGUCUACCAUUCGGGUCCUCGAUGGAUAUUCUUCAAAUUUAUCGAGAUGUGUGCACGUGAAUGAACGAAAAAUAUAUGGGUUGAAAAGUCACGAUUGUCAUGUUUUAAUGCAGCAGUUACUCCCGCUUGCAAUAUGCCCGGUUUUGCCUAAAGCUGUUCCUAUGGUAUUAUUAGAGUUGAGUGCAAUUUUCAGACAGUUGUGUAGUAAGAAUGAGUUUAAUGAAGGAUUCAAGCAACUGAAUUCAAGAAUUGCCUACUUGAAAAAAUAUUCCCUCCUGCAUUUUUUGAUAUAAUAGUGCACCUUCCAGUUCACUUGGCAGAUGAAGCAGCUCUUGCAGGGCCUAUUGAAUAUAGAUGGAUGUAUCCAAUUGAACAGUAAUUAAUAAAUUUUUAUAAAUUUUUUACAAUUGUAGUCAUAGCUUUAAUUUAUAAUUAUAAUAAUUUGUGAUUCGUUUAUAAUUGUAGGUAUUUGCAAAUGUUGAAGCACUAUGUUCGUAAUAAGGGUCGUCCUGAAGGUUCUAUUGCUGAAGCAUAUUUGGUGGAUGAAUGCUUGUCCUUCUGUUCCAUGUAUCUUAGAGAUGUUGAGUCUCGUCGCACCCGUAAAGGCCGAAAUGAAGAUGGUAUUGGACGUGGAGUGUUUGGUGGGUUAUCAAUUUUUGACUCCAAAGGAUGUUAUAUGGGUUCAGGAGAAAAUGUGAUGCUCGAUCUAAAUGUUCUUGAUCGGUGCCAUAGAUACAUUCUAAAUAAUUGUGAUGAAGUUCACCCAUUUAGAAGGUAAGAACGUUUAAUCUUAUGUCUUAAUGUUUUAUUGGUUUUCUUAACUUUGAAAAAUUAAUUAUCUAAAUUUGGACAUAAAUGCCCAGGCAACAUGAGAAAUUCUUGAAAAUGAAACAUCAUCGAGAAAGGUUAACUAUGCGACAAAUUCAGGAGCUAAGCAAGAAAGAAUUUCGAGAAUGGUUCAAGCAACAUGUGAGUUGAUAGAACAAUCACAUUAUUAAUUUAUAUUUUUACAUUUUAAUUAUAACAUGAUUUUAGUUAUCAUGUCAACUUUUAUCAUCAUUUUAUUACAGAUGAAUUCAAUAUGUCAUCCUAAUGACACGUUGAUAUCUCAAGACUUGCGUUGACUAGCUAAUUAUCCUAGCAGGGUUGUGAGUAGAUAUAAAAGUCACAUUGUUCAUAGGUUCAGAUUUCGUAUAAAAUCUGUGGAUGACAAGCAUAAGAAUCAAAAUUGUGGUGUCUUUGUACUUGCAAAUGUUCCUGGUGCAAUUGGGCAAGUGAAUUGUUAUGGCAGAGUUGUAGAUAUGUUCGAGGUUAAAUAUUAUGGUCAUGCUGAGCCAGGAGAUAGGGGUCAAGUUGUGAUGUUAUUUAAGUGCGAAUGGGUUAAUAGUGAAAGUCCACGAGGAAUGAAGACUGAUCAAUAUGGAUUCACUAUGGUGAACUUCAAUCGACUAGGAUUUAAAGAGGAUCCUUUCAUAUUAGCAUUACAAGCAUUUUACGUCGAGGACACAGUUGAAAAAGAUUGGCACGUAGUUGUUUGAACACAGCCAAGGGAUUUGUUUGACAUAUUAGAGCAUAGUGAUACAAUUGAAGAUUAUGUGGUACCAAAUUUGGAUGAUUAGAUACUUGACCAUGAAAAUUUCCAUACAAGGAUUGGCGUGGAAGAGACUUCUUUUCAUGAAUCAUUACCGUUGCCUACCCAGUUCGCUAGUAAUGCCAAUGCUGACGACGACACGACAUAUGAUGACAUGGAAUAAAUAUAUUAACUGUUUUUUGUGUUUUAAGUAUUAAUUAGACAAUAUUUUUGUUUUCUAUUACGUAUAUGGUUUAAGUUCAAUUUUAUUUAUUAAAAUCUUAAAAUGUUAUAUGAGAUAACCAAAAAAAAAAAAAAACUCGAUAUUUAUUUUUAUGGGCUAAACAUUUUUUUUAAAACUAUUUUGCUGUCGCUUUAGGCGACGGCAUGGAUGAGGUAGUGUCGGCUAAAACCGACAUGAAGUGGACUUGGGAAGACCAUUUUCAAUUAGUCACUUCGUAUGUAAAGUGGGUCAUAAAGUGGUUGUAUGAUUUAAUGCGGCAGUAAAGUGUGUCAAUGGUAGUGUCAGUUUAAACCGACACUAAAUAUAACUAAACCGACGCAACAGCCACAUCAUUAAAGCUUGUCAGACAAUAGUGUCGGUUUAAGCGACAUCCAGAUUAACUAAAGCGACGCCAUGUAAAUUUCAAAUAACUAUGUCAGAAAGUUGUUGUCUUAUUAGAUGCAGCAGUAAAUGUGUCUGUGAUGGUGUCGGUUUAAACCGACACGAAGUUUAGUUAAAGCGAUGCUGGUUUAUUAACUUUUGUCAAAAGUGUGUGGAAGGUAGUAAAUGUGUCAGUAAUGGUGUCAGUUUAAACCAACACCAAGUUAAGCUAAAGUGACGCCGUCGCUGGUUCAUUAAAUUUUGUCAGAAGUCUAUGGAUUUAAUAAUAGCAGUAAAUGUGUCAGUGAUGGUGUCGGAUUGAACUGACACCAAGUGUAGCUAAACUGACGCAACAUUUGGUUCAUUAAAUUUUGUCAGAAAGUAGGUGGGUUUAAUUUUAUCAGUAAAUGUCAGUGGUAUUGUCGGUUUAAACCGACACUAUUACUCAGUUAUUUCGACGCUAGUAGGUUUUAAAGCGAUGUCAGUGGUUUAAUGUCGGUUUUAACCGACGCCAAGUUAGCAUCCAUAUUUAAUUCCCUUAUUCCCCCCCCCCCCAUUUCGCCCGCGCUUUCUUUUCUUCCCAAAAUUCAGUAUGUCCAUCUCCUUCCCAAUUUCUUCCGUUUUCCACUUCUUCUCUCAUUUCACUUUUUAGUUUUUUACUUCUUGCAAAUUGUUUUGUUAUGGAUCAUUUUGAAGAUGAACUUGCUGACCAACCCCAUUUCGAAGAGGAAGAAGUCGAAGGUUGUUCAUUUUUAAUUUAUUAUGGUUUUUAGUUUUAGUUUUUUUGUUUUGGUCCAUGGUUUUUAAUUGUUUUUUCUUUGUUUAUAAGGAACAACUCAACGAGGACAGGGACCCUUGAUUCCUAACUGGAAGGAACAAGUUUGUUGUUUUGAUGCAUCGGGAAAAUGCAUUAGUGAAAAUUCCAAUGCAUUUUCAAAACAUGUAGCGGCAGAGGUAAGAGAUUCUAGACAUAUGCCGUUGGUGAGUGAUUGGCGUCAAAUAAAGGAAGAUCGCAGAGAAGCUUUUUGGAUAAGAAUAAAGGUAGAAUUAUUUUUUUUGUUACUAGAAGAGAGUAUAAUUAGUCAAUGUUUGUAGUAAUAAUUAAUUUGCUUGAUUUUUUUUUAUGCGUACAGGAAACUAUUAUUUUUCAAGAAGAGGAUAUGGCGAAAAUGCCAAUGAUCCGGCACAUGACACUUCAUAUUGCGGAGCAUGCGCAUAAGGAGUAUAGAAAUAAAUUGAAAAAAAAAAUUAUACUGAUAAACCAGUCGAGGAGUACCAGAAAACUCCUCCUAAUGUGGAUCCUCAACUGUGGGCUGAAUUGAUCUCCUACUGGAACAAAGAAAAAACGAAGGUAAACUUUUUAUUAUUUAUUUUAUUAAAGUUUGUAACGUUUUUAAUAAAUUAUUUUUUUCUAGGAGAUUGCUGCAAAAAAUAAGUAUAAUCGGCAGUUGAAAACGAUGAACCACACAACUGGUGCAAAGUCUUUUGCAAGAGUUAAGGCAUAACUUGUAAGGGUUGUUCAUUUUCAAGAAUUGUAGAUAUUUUUAAAUUUAAUAUAUUAUUGGUAGAAAUUUAUUUAUAAUUUGAUGGUUGGUGAAAAUUGUUUUUUUUUUGUUUUGUUGUUGACUUAUAAUUAUAGCGGAAAAAGCAUGAGGAGGCAGAUCCUGUUUCGUUUUUUCGUCACUGUCAUACUCGAAAGGAUCGCACUUAGAUUGAUGAAACGUCGGAGCGCACUGGGGUAAUUGAUUUUUUCUUUGUAGCAUAUCAUUGUUAUUAAAUUUUAUUAUCUAUAGUUGAAUUCUUAUUUUUAAAAAUUUUAUUGCAAGGCAACUAUGGAGGGGAAUAUUCAAACUAUGAUUGAGUCUGGGCAUGAAGAUGGUGAUGAGCUUAGGACCCAGGUUUAUGUGGAGACGAUGGGUCCUGAGCGUCAUAAUAGAGUACGAGGGUAUGGACAUGGGGUGACUCCGGAUAUGGUGUCGUAUGCAUCUUCCUCAACUUCUUCUAAUUCUUCCAGAAGAUCAUCCAAGAGUUCAGUGGUAGUUUUGUUGGCCGAGAACAAUGAAUUGAAAAGGAAGGAAGAAGCUCAUGCUAAACGAAUGGCAGAUCUAGAAUUUUUGCUUGCAGAAACACGCAGCCAGCAGCAGGAACAGAAUCAGCUAUUUAAGUUGUUACUGCAAAAAAUUCAGAUAAUAUCACCGUAUAGCCCAAGAACCAAACAAUCAGGCCAGGGUCAGCCGCCUCCUCCAUAUCCAUACCCACAAGGAACCCAACAGUCACCCCAAAAUCAGCCUCCUGGUGCACCUGUAUAUCCGUAUACAGGCUAUAAUCAGCAACCUCUAUAUCUGAUGUAUCCGACACAUCUCAUGGCAUACAUGCAGCAGCCACCCAUGGCUUGCAUGCAGUAGUAGCCACCCAUGUCAUACAUGCAGCAGCCGCCAUAUCAAAUGCCUGUAUAUCGACCAGAGAUGGCUUCUCAUGAUAGGAUUUACCUGGAUGUUCCAAUUGAAGGUUUUUCUGGAAUGCUUGCAGGUGGUCCAUUAGAUGUGGACAUGACAAGGUUUAUUGGAUCACAAGGAGGAUCUCAACAAGCAUCUCAAGAAGGAACUCGAGAAGCAUCUCGAAAAGGACAGGGUCACAUUUGGGCUCUGGUUCUGCUAAAUAGUGUGGUUCGCUUUCUUGUUGACUAUGUAUGACACUUCUGCUGGCGUUUAUAGUUUCUAUUUCUGUUUUUUGUAUGUUGUAUUUGUAAUGUCGGAUUUGGUGUUUGUUAUGACAGAUGAGUUUUUGUAUGUUAUUUGAAAUAUAAAAUAUUUGUUAUGAGUUUUUGUUCAUGGUUGACUAAGACUUGGCCUAUAAAUGAUAUAUUGGUUGGAACUAUUUUCAUAUAAAUUUUUGUAAUUGUUAUUAAUUAAAAACUGAUGUGAAGACUUGAAAAAAUAUAUUAAAAUAUAACAAUUACAAUCUGACGUGAGGAUUUGUAAAAUUUUUUAUUUUUAAUAUGUGUAGUGUCGAUUGUAAGCGACGUUAACUUGCGUAUUUUAUUAUUUUAGCUCAAUUGAUGUCGGUUGGAAGCAACACCAAGUGUGAUAUUUUAAUUAUUUAUUUACUACUUAAUGUGGGUUUGAAUCAACAUCUUGUCGCGUUUCUACGUCGCUUAUAAGCGACGUCAAUGGUAAUGUCGCUUUUAAGCGACGCCUUUGUUCCUUUUUAUUUUAUAUUACUUUGCUUCAUGGUGUCAGUUUAAGGUGCCUAAGUGACGUCAAUACCCUUUUUGUGACGGUAGCGUUGGUGUCGGUUCCUAUAUCUGACAUUGCACGAUUUAAUGUCGGAUUUUGCCUAAUAAUCCGACAGUAAGUGGUAUUUCCUGUCGUUUUUAAUCCGACAGUAAUAUCCCCAUUUGUAGUAGUGGGAUUUAGGUUUUUCAUAAAAUUUAUUGGUUUCAAAAUGUUUAUUUUUAGUUUUAUAUUUAUUGUAUUUAAGGUAUUGUCUACCUGAGUACUUGUUGAAGUACUUUUGAUAGACUUGUGAUUUUUUCUUCUUAUUAGAAGGAGCAAUUGGAGGUAAUCUGUAUUGUUCACAGAACGUGCCUAAUUCGUAUUUAGCGAUGGUUUUAUCUUUGUUAACUUGUUUUGAAAUUUUCAUAUUGAUACACAUUUUCAAGCCUUCUUUUUGGAUAAUAUUAAUUAUAUUUCCAUAAGUAAGGUUAUGAUAUGGUAUGAUACCAUCUUCAUUUACUAAGACAUUUCUAAUUUUGUGUGCAAAAAGAUUUGGUAAUCCAUUUAUAAAUUUUUCUUUCCAAAAUGGUUGAUUACUGUCUUCUCUAAGCAUGACUUUAGACAUGAACACAUCUUUGUACCAUCUAAAGUCGCUUAGAGUUGGACAUCUCAGAUUGCUGAGUUGAUCAUGAAUUCUAGAAGUAACAUUACUAGGUGUUCCUAUGAAGUGUUCUAUAAUUGUGAAGGGUAAUGUAUUUACUGCGUCUGGGACCCCUUGUCCAAUGUGCUCAUCAAAAAUAGGUAUUCCUUCUUCAUCCUUCUUAACAGCAUUUUUUAUCCUGUUUCUGGAUUGUUCAGUGAGAUGUUUCUCCCACCAGGAAUGGAGCAUUCCCGUAAAUCCAGUGAUCAAAAGGUCGACAACAUGAGGUUCGCUAAGAUUAUGAUUGGUAAUAUAGCUAUUAGCAACCAUAAAGAUGUGUUGGAGCUUAUUAAGAAGCUCUUGUUCUAACAAACCAUCUAUAUUCCAUUCAUAGAAUUUAUCAGAAGAGACAGAGAAUUGGUUUUGGAUAUUUCGUUCUUCAAAUUGAAUGUCGAGAGGUGAUGGUCUGGGAUACCAAUUCUUGGUAAGAGAUGUUGAAUUGACUCAUCUGUUGGUAAUUCUUUUAAGUUCAAGAUUUUGAAAAGCGUGUUCAACUUUUCGAAUAGAAUUUGAAGCAUUGGUUGACUCCGAGGAUGUUGAAGAUAUUUCAUAAGAGGAUUCUUCUGGAUGGUUUAAAACAUGAAAUGUUUUUUCCUUUUUUUAAUUCUAAUAACAUUUGUUCUAUUUUUUGAGUUAUGGAGGUUGUUUUUAAGGCUACUACCUUUGAAGAAGAGUAUGGGAAGUUAACCAGGGGUUUUUCCCUGAUUUCAGACUUUGCCUGGGAAAGCCUAUCGAUUUUUGUUUCUAUUUUAUCUAAUUGUUUACCAAUGGUAUGAAGACUCUGAUUAGUGAAGUUAUUUUGUUCAAUGACUGGUUUUACUCCCGCAUCUUCCUUAGGAAGCUUAAAAGGAGUAGCUGGAAUUUGCGUAUUGGCAGUUUUGAUAAGAAUGGUUUCUUGUGGAGGAUGACUAGAAGAGACAAUAGUUUUGUCUUUUUUAAGCCAAUUUUCUUUAGUUAUUACUUCUAAUUUUUUGUCAGACUCGUAGUACUUUUCGACAUAAUCGAAGAAAAAUACUUCAACUUUGUGGGAUUUCAUAAAACCGGUCCAUUCUUUGUAAAUUUCCAAUUUCUGUUCUUUUGUAUAUUUGUUUCUAAAGAUAUUUCUUCUGGGAAUAUUUUCAAUAGAUUCAAUAUCAGCACUAAUCUUUUUCCUAUCCCAUUUAAAAGGUUCAGUUUUUGAAGGUUUAUUUAAAACUAGAAGUUGAUGAUUAAUCUGACUUUCUUCAAAAUCGAAUUCUGUAGGAGAAGUCUGUUCUCCUUGAUCUUGGGUAUGAGGUUGAUAUCUUGGGUGUGUAACCUGAGAUGUGGUUUCUACUGACUUUAACUUGAUGUUAAUCAAGUCAUUGAUUAAUUCUUGCUGAGUAACAGAAGAACUUGUUUCUACAUUUUUUAAUUGCCUAUUGGCUAAUGAAUUGAUUAAUUCUUGAUCUUGACCCAUCCUAUCGGUUGGUAUGGAUCCUGAAAAAGAAUUUCUGCUAGGAGCAAAUGAUUUAUGUGAAUGAAUUGACUCACAAGAUCUUCUUGCUGGUCGGUCAAAAUUAAUUUUAACAGUUCCGUUGAAAUAUUGUUCUAUGUUAUCUAGAUUAACUAGACUGUUUUGGAUUGCUACAGGUUUGCUUUCAUUAAUCAAACACCAAUCUGAAGGUAGACUGAUAUCUGACCACCUAAUGGUUAUGGGAACUUUAAUGUUUGCAUUUUCUUGAUUUGUUUGGAUUAAAAGUGUAUGGUCUCUAGGACUUUUGGUUAAAGCUUGAAAAUUCAUGUUUGUGCCAGUGACUUUGUAAUAGACUCGGUAUAUUAGUGCCAAGGGUUGUGUUCCUUCAAGGACUUGGUAUCCUAAAGUUUUGAUAUUUAGGGUGAGUGCUUUCAGCAUAUGGGGGUCUGAAAGACUUAUGGUAAGGUCUGGAAAGCAAUCAAAAUGGAUAGGUCCGUUGUAAAGAUUGGAUUCAAUCAGUCUAAGUAUACUAUCACUAAAAUCAGUGAAUCUAGCAUCUCGGAGAUAUAACAAAAUAACGGUGUUAAGGCCUCUACGGGUUAGAGGUUUUACGGCUAUUUGAACUAAGCUGAUAUGAAUAUAAUUAUGACCAUCCUUCCUAUGGGAUUUAAUUUGUUAUGGAGAAAAUAAUUGACAAGUUUCAUGUUCUUUAUUAAGAGCAUAAGCUUUUUCUACAGUUUUAACAUGAUGUUCACUUCUGAAUAAGGCUACUGACCAUUUCUUUUUGUAAAUAUUUUUACUUGAAAUCUUGGGGAUAUUCCAAUCUCCAAAAUCGACACUAUCAUCAGUUUGAAAAUCAAGUUUUUGUUCUUCAUUAACAAUGUCUGGAAUAACACCUAACUUGAUCUAGAGCUAGUGUUGGCCAUUGAAUUAGAUCUAAAUAGUCUACUCAUAAAGUUCACAAAUCAAACAAGCAAAAUACAGAAAACUUAUACUGAUUCACCUUCCUCGUGCGUUAGCUAAACUUCUUCCAUGCUCAUGCGAUCCACUCAUGCCUCUCCUGGGACUUAUUGUUUGGAACACGUUUUACUGUUUGGUGGGAGAAUUGAACAAACGACUAUGAGGACUGACAAAUAAGAUAGACUGUAAAUUGAAGGGUUGAAAAUGAACCUUACUUGUAAAAUACAAAGAAGCAAUACAAUUACCACCAACUUGGCUCUAAUACCAAUGGGUGCGGAAGCUAUAUCUACUGACGAUGAUAGAAAUUAUGGGGACAACAGUCAAGACUACAGUCAUUAUGAUCAUUGGGUUUGGAGGUAUCCUCAAGCAGUCAACUUCUUCCAACUCUCAUGAACAAAUUGUUCGUUUCCAUUCAGGACUAUGAAAUUCUGCACAGAGUUAUUAUAGUACUAUUAAGAAAGAAAUAUUAUCUAUUGUAUUAUGCAUUAGCAAAUUUCAAGAUGAUCUAUUAAAUCAAAAAAAUUUAGUCAGUGUCGAUUGCAAAUCCGCAAAACAUGUUUUACAAAAAGAUGUUCAAAACAUUACAUCAAAACAGAUUUUUGCACGAUGGCAAGCCAUAUUAAGUAUUUUUUAUUUUGAUAUUGAAUACAUUAAAGGCAGCCAAAAUUGCAUCCCCGAUUUCCUAACCAGAGAAUUUUUGCAAGGGAAGAAUGUCAACCAACAAAAGCAAUAGCCAGAGGAGGCUUCCGGCCACUGUACCACCACCACCACCACCAGUAAAACAGAAAUAUAUUCCUGGUUCCUCAUCAGCCCUAGCCAUUACCAACCGUUUCACACCAUUAGGAUCCACGGUUGGCAGCUUUCGACCAAAUUACCAAACACCUAGACCAAAUUAUCAAACGGCAUUAGCCAGCCCUUAUGAUCCAUAUUCAUCUCCAACUUAUCCCACUUCAUCCCAGUCUACCAGUUAUACCAAAACAUCCCCAUAUGUUAAUAAAAAUCCAAUGUAAUACCUUUUUAAUAUCCCUUUCAAUAUCAACCAAGAACAAGCCCCCGAGAAAAUAGCCAAAACAGUGUUUCCACCAAACUUCCAUUACCAACCCACAGAAUCAUAUAAAACACUCAAAUAUUACCAAGCCAUUCUCAUGGAGACAAAAUUCAUCUCUAUCAAACUAAUAUUUAGUAAAACCCAUGAAAAUAAAAUCAUUUACCAUUCCCUUCACAUUGGAAAAUUCCUCACUAAAACAGAAUGAGGACUCCCCCUUUACCAGCUAAAACCCCUUCAUUCUCAAAAUACAUCACUACCCAAUAACACUUAUAAUUAUUUUGAUUAUAUCCAAGCAUAGACUAAUAUUUUUCUUCACCAGACAGCAGACUUUAGUCAUUCAUGGUUCAUAACUUUUGACAGAAAUUUCAAAUUGAAUUUUCCAGCAUGGUUUCCCAAAUGGUGGUCAGUUCACGGUCUAACAGCUAGUUUGCUACCCGAAGAAUUAAUGCCAGUUCUUUCAAAUGGUUUCCAACGAAAAUUUGAUCGUAGCAUAUUCAACUAUAGGAUUACACUACUCCUAUUAUUCAUGGCCAAGUACAAGAUCCCGUGGAUAAUGAAGUGGAAUUAUGAAGUUGAAACUGGCAGUCAAAUGGUGGGACAAAUUCAACCUCUAAAAGAUCAUCAGUUUGGUCCAAUCAGAAUUUCCUCCCAUUUCAGUUCAAGCAGCCAUUCUGGCACAACCAAUCCAAGUUAUUCCAGCACAAUCAAAGAAGGCAUUGCCAAAUAUUCCAGAACAAUCUUUAUCAAACAUUAGUCCGUCAUCAUCUCUUAAAGGCAUUACCAAAUCGUCCAAAUCUACAAGUUCAAAAAAAGAAAGAAAAAUCCUCUCAACUUAAAGAUUUGGCUCAACAGCUAAUGGCAGAAGCAGCUCUACUUCACAAUAAAGAAGAAGACUCAGAUUCAAAUUCAUCAGAUGUAUCAUCACAACAUCCAAUCAAUCCAGCCAGCCAGAAGACCCCUAUGGGCAGAUUAUCAAGAUUCUCAAAACCCCUUUGAUGUGUAAUCGACAUGUGAACGCAUGUGAAUAAACAGUUUUACCAUGUAAUAAUUGCUAAUAGACGACACCAAAAGGCAGUAGUCAUCAUCAACAAUGAUUCCAGACAGUUUACUAUUCUUGAAUAGUAAAAUCACUUUUUUCACUAUUCAUUAGCAGUAGCCAUCAUUUCAUUUCAGAAAAGAAGACGCGUGAUUCCACAGUGUUCUGACAACAUUAUCAGUCUUUGGCACCUUUCCAACCCACAACACAUGUAGAGUGGGAUUCUCACUUCAAUCUUCAAUGAUGACAUCUCAAGGCCUCUCGGCUAUAUCUUUCAAGCUCAUUUCCCUUUCUCAAGAGGCUGAAACUUCUGCGUAUUCUCUAGAACCAGAACAAAAGCCAUACUCAAUUGAGAAUUAUCCAGUCCAAAUUUGUAAACACUUUUAUUUUCAAAACAUAUCAAGGAUGCCUGCGAGCACCAUUUCAUUUUCCAUUCUCAACAAUUGUCAUUAGACAAAAAUUGCAGGUCUACAUUUGAUUUUCAAUAAAUCUAUCUUCAAUAUCUAUCUGCAUCAGUAUUUUUAAUUCAUUAUUUUCAUUAUGAAGAAUAUUUUCAUAACUACUGAUUUUGAAUGGCAUAAGAUUUUAACUCCAGAUCAAUUCAUUGAGCACCUCAAAUUCAAGGUAAAUACCUAUCAAGCUUAUAUAUAUAAAGCCAAUGGAAAAGGUGAAUAGUGAUUUUGGUGUCACCAAGCUUCAACAAAAAUACCCCCAAGACAAAAAACUUCAAAGCAUCCCAAAAUAAUGCAUCAAAUAAUGCAUGGGCAUUUUUGUCAUUUUAACAUUAUUUUUUUAAUAAUUAAUUUUUUGUGGUUUUUAUUUAUUUAUUUUUAAGUAGUACCUCAUAAUAGGCUAGCAAUAAUGCGAUUCAAUUUCUAUAUUUUUAAACACGUUCAAAACAUCUUAAGAGACGUGGAAUGUUAGUUAUAAAAAGGUCAUUCGCACACGGAUAAUAAUAUGAUUAAAUUAGUUGUAAAAUGAUUGUUUUUUUUUUAACAAACGAUAUUAUCUAUACUAAGGGGCAUGGGGUGAGCUUAGCCUCACAAUUGGCUAACAAUAAUGUGAUUCAAUUAGUUAUUUAUUAAAUAUUAUUUUCUCUAUUUUAAACACUUUCAAAACAUCUUAAGAGGUGUGACAACCCGUCCCAAAAUUUUAGUAUUUUAUAAAUCAUAGAAGGUGAAAUUUACGAGAAUACCCUAAAGGCAAGGGUAUUGAUUUUCGUUGGUCGUUAGUUCAUGACGCGUAUGAACUAUUACCUUACUGUAUUCCAAAAAUACGUUGGUAAAGAUUGUUAUUUAUUAUCUUAGUCAUUUCUUAUUAUUAAUUUUUCUUUUAUGUAAUGGGUUGAUGGAGAUUUAAUAAAAGAGGAAGAAAAAAGAAGAAAAUGAGGGCUGCUUGAUGGCAGCGAAGGAGAGGGAGAGGAAGGAGAUGGGCACUACCCAAUCAAAAAAGAGGACAGAGGGAGAGUGACGAAUGGGAGAGAAGAAUCAAGAGGGAAAGGAGAGAAGAAGAAAAUGAGGGAACCCAAAACGGGUCCUCCUUGACCCGUGUGACCCGGCCGGUGGGAACCAUGGAAAAAGAUGGUUUCCAGGCCAAAUUCCGAUGAAUUAAGCCGAACCAUCACCUGGAAACACCUCCCUAGCCUUCUCUCUACCAUUUCUACCCCUAAAUUCAUACAAUUUGGCCUUUUAUUCAAGAGAAAUGCACCGAUGGUGCGUGUGAGUGUUCGACGGCAAUCCACAAAUCAUGAAGCUAACUCAGUCAAUUGUCACUACCAAUAGGCUCCCCUCAACCACAGGAACAAAGCCCAAAUGAUGGUAGAGGCGUCAGAGUGAGUAUGAAGGUCGAAUUGAAGCACGCCAUUUUCUAGGGUUCCGGCGGGUUUGAGCAAAAUUUGGGCUUUUCCAGGCCAAAUUGAACUUGACCACAGGUAUAAAGUUUGCUCCACUCUUUGAGAUCUUCAUUUCUGUAAUUUUUUAGAAUUUUUGGAAAUAGUUGGAUUUUUCGGCGAGUCGAGGCGGCCGACCGCCACCCGCGGCGACGCGUGGCCAGGGGACCGUCAAUGUUAUCCUUAGGCUAAAUUAGAUGUCUUGAAUUUAGUUUUGGUAAUUGUAUAUCAUAGGUUGAUCGUUUGGACCUAAACUCAUUAGGAUACGUUACUUGGUAAAGAUAUGAAUCGACGAUCCGACCGUUAGAUCGUCACCAAACUUUAAUACAUUAAAGUACAUAAUAUUUAAGGAUCAUAGGAAUUAUGGAUCGGGAAUCUGAAGUAAGGAUCUUCCCGAAUUGGAUUUUGUAAGUUCGUAAAAUAAAUGUUAACCGCCACUUGAUUUUGGGCAAUUGGCGGAGAUCCGACCGUUGGAUUGUGAUGAAAUUUUAGUAUGUUAUUCUAGAAGUAUAAUGUGUAUCUUUGGAGGUUUCAUAUUAGAAAUCUAAGAUGCGGAUCUUCCGGAUCAAGUUUUGCAGGGUUGAUCGACAGUUGACUUGUGGUCAAUGGAUCUCAAACUAUUUUAGAACGUCCUUGAGAAUGUGCUUUAUGUUAAUUAAGUAUUCUAUUGAUAAGAGUUCUAAGAUAUGAUUCUAUAAUUGGCCACAUGCGCCAAUCAUUUGGGACUUUUUGAUGUGCGUGCUAGAGAAUCAUAGCGUGGACUCCAGGUGAGUGGAUCUUUUCCCCUUAUCAUAUGUAUAUAAUUGAUAGUUCCAAAAACGUUUCUAAAGUGAUUUAUAUAUGUACUUACAAAUAAUUAUAGUGAACUACGAACGGCUUGAUCCCUGUUUAGGGUACGUAGGCAGUCUAAUAAGACGUUAGAUGCAACCAUAUAAUAAAUGAGACUAAAUAAUUGAGACAAAAGCUUUGUUUGGGGAAUUGAACAAUGUGAAGAAGGUUGGUGGAAAAAGCUAGGUUUAACCUUAUGAAUUUGAUGGUUAAAUGUUGAUUAUAAAUCGAUAUGUAAGAAAUUUAGUGAUUGAAGUAAAGAAUCGUAAGUAGUGAUAAUUAAUUUAAACUAGUGUUUUGCUGGGCUUGUCACUAAUAAUUAUUCCCAAAAGUAAAUUGUUCGAGAGUGGGGCGUUACAGUUAUUGUAUUUUAGGCCAAUUGUUAAUAUGUUUAUAUAUUUGGAAAUAUUAUGACAUGGUUGAAAUUCAGAUUUACAUCCUGGUACAUCCAUAUGUAUAUCCCUUGCACGUAAUUAUUGUGAACGCUCUGGAGUGCAAGAAUGAACGCAGGACACACAGGUAAGUUCAGGUAAGUAUACGGUAUUAGUUGAACUGAUGGGGUUAUGGUAUAACUAUAGUUAUGUUUUAAGCAACUCUAACACAGUCGUACAGGUUGCAAUAGUAAGCAGCAUUGUCAUACAGGUUGCUUAUGAGUCGUACAUGUGGUAUUACACUACAAAAUAAAUGGUUGUUUGCGAGGGUCAAAUGUCGUUGGAAAAGGUAUUUUGCCGUCACAAAUACUUAUUUACGAUGGGAAAAGCCCUUGCUGGGCGUCGCAAAUUGAUUCAUUGGAAAUACUUUUUUUUUCGACCAAAUGUCAUAAAUGAAGCAUUUUCGACGGUUGUGGCUUGUCGUUACUAGUUAUCUUUUAGUCGGAAUUGAUUUUUCAAAAUGAAAAAUUAUUUUAUUUUCGACAUGUCUAUGUGGUCGCAAAUACUUGUAUGGUCGUCGAAUAUACUUUCCAAACAACAUCUAUUUUUUGCGAUGAUUUUCUUACGACCAAAACAUUAUGUCAAAAAAUGAUUUUCCAACAGUAAAAUGUUGUUUACAAGAGUGCACAAUCGUUGCAAUUACGAUUGCCAACAAUUGAGAAUUGUCGAAAAUACGCACAAAAACAUAUUUGUGAGGGUCAAGAGUCGUUGGAAUUAUACAUUUCCGUUGAUCCUACUUCGUCAGCAAAAAUAAAAGGAUACAAAUACAAUUUUUUUAAUUUAAUAAUAUUUUCAAUGCCAAUUUUUAUUGAAAGAAUUGUUUAAUAUUAAUAAUCAUAUAUUCAACUACAUAUACAAAAAAAAAUAAAUGUAAAAUUUUUACAUGUACUUGUUACAAUCCUAUGAUAUGUCUUAUAACACUAGUUUUUUCAUGUCCACUUUAACCAACUGUCAAGGAGUUCGAAUGUAGUGCUAUGAACAUUGAUCCACAAUUAUUAUCUUUAUUCUACAAGAAAAAAAAAACUUAUAUCAAGCACAAUAUAAUUGUCAAUUGGUAAGAAACCCAAACAAUGAAAAUCUGAAAAUAAACAUAAGCUGUAAUGAAGAGCCUUGCAUAAUUUUAGCUCAAGGUGUGAACAUAGCAACCACCAAUCUAUACCAUAAAUAAUGCAAGUGAGUGGUUAAAGUGAAAAUUAAACACACCUCCAAUACAUUCUUUAAUUUUUCUCGUACCACCCUAUGAUCAAAGGAUGCUAUAAAUCCAAAGAAUCUAAAAAUAUAAGGAAAGUAAAACUAUAUGCACAGUUUAACAAUUAUAAUGUUAAACUAUAUGCAUAGUUGAACACCUCCAAAGAAAGGAUUUUGAGAGUGAAAUACUGCACCUAAUGCUUGAGCCUCAGCAAUUGUUGUCUCUCUAUCUGCAUAAACAUAAGCAUCUGCAUAGUCUCCAACAGUCCACACAUGAAGCCAAAAAUUAACCAUUGAAGACUUGCACAGAUAUACAAAAUUAACUCCAACAAGAGCAUAUAGUGCAAAAUUAGCAUUGCAUAUGCAGAGAAUGGAGUAAAUGCAGCCAAGAACUUACUUACAAUCAUCAAGUUUCUAGAUAUUCUUCUCAACCGCACUACCUCUAAAACUAGCGUUUUAUGUACAGUUUCUGCCUCUAAACCUUCUACGCAUGUAUUCCUUUGCAAUUGAACUCUUGACAAAUUAUAUUAAGGACAACACUUUAAAAAAAGAUAAGCACAUGAUUAGAUUAUGAACCUACUGAAUACAUAUAUUUUUGCAAAUAUAAAUUAACCAAACCAAUGCGAUAAACCAAAUCAAUCAUUAGCCCAAAAAUUAAUAUCAAAUGUUUACCAUGUCUGCAAGUCCUUUGCUCAAAUAUAACUAGAAACUGCAAAGCUUAAGAAUGAAACAUCACUCAAAAUUUAUAUUAAAAUUGUCAAACAUCAGUAUUUCAUCUCACGGUGUUUCCUAAAAGAAAAAUCGACAUGUCCAGCGUUGAAUCCAGAGAUCUCCUAUGGGGAUUUAGUACUUGAAACAAUGUAGAGAAUUGAAACAUCUCAUCACAAAACCAUUGAGCUUGGCCAAAGACAAUCAUGCAUACAUACAUACCAUAUUUGGCAGGGAUUUCCACCCACCAAUGGUUAGAUUAAAAUCCCAGUUGAAAUUACUCUUAGUAAAUUGAUUAGUCAAUUAACUGGAACCCAUUUGAUUCUUCCUAGCUAAUGAAACAGUAAAAAAGGGUUGUAAAACAAACAAAACAACUAGUAAUUACUACUGAACCUGCUGAAAGAAAAAACCAGAAUUUUAAUCAUCAUACAUAACUAAAUGUUAUUCUUUAUACCAAUUUAUAAAAUCACCGACCAAUUUCUAGAACAGAAACAUUAUGAAUAAAUCAAUACGAUAAUUAGGAAAAUAUCAAACAAAAGAAUCUAGGUUGGAUGAAUCCUCUUUCCGCCAUCACUGGUGGACAUUCGCCCCCCAUAAUUCAAUCGAUCUUGGAGAUCGAUUCCCAUUUCGACUGGCAAUGGCAAUUAUGCCAAAACCGCCACCGCCUCUGAAAUCUCAUCCACCGAGACAUACGCUGGUGAGAUCUCAUGGUUGGAGAAGAAGACGAAGAUCCAGUAUUGGGAGUACCUGAGAUGCCCAAAGAAAUAGAAAAAUUAGGGUUCACAUAGUGUAAGCAAACAAGGCAAAGAAAAAUGUACAGGGAGUGAGAUUUUGGAGAGGAUGCCAUGGAUUGCGACUGAGCGAUGGAGAGAGAGAAGUUGCGAUAGACUUUGAGAAAUGAAGGAUGGAGGCUAGGGUUUUGUUUCUGAAAGAGGAAAGGCAAAGAAGUCGUAAGAAAGAAAUGAAAAUGAGGAGAGCGCUAAAUGGCGUUCUCUUUGGAAAUAUAGUUUAGUUUUUGGGCGCCAUGCCAAAAUUUUGGCAGCCCGCCAAAAACACUUUUAUGAUUUAAUUGCUAGAUUAAAUUCAACGGUAAGGAUUUAAUCUCACAUAUGUAAGAUUAAAUCUUAUGGUUAUUAUUGUAGUUAAGAUUUUAAUAGUUUUUAAUUAAUGUAGAAGUACAAAAAAAAUAUACAAACACUCGUAAUAUCAAGCUUGACAACUUUUGAGAAGAGGUCAAUUCCGAAAUUUGUCACUAUAAUCUCAUAAACCAUAGAAUAAAAUUUAACCGUUGUUGAAGAAGUGCAAAAAAUGUAAAUAUAUAUAAUCGCUCGUAAUAUCAAACUCGACCCUAUAAGAGUACGAUGAAUCAAUUCGAUCUUCAAUUUAAAAAUUUUGCACUAAUGGAUACCACACAAUAUUAUGUUCUACCUAAUGGAAGUAUAAAAUAAACUCCAAGUGUUUGUUGAAUCUAUCGUUUUGAAGGAAUACACAUUUUACAAAACUAGUUUCAACAAUCCAACCGUCAAACUGUUUUGUAUAUGCUCCAAGAUCGCAUACAUAAAAAUCACAAAAAACUGACAUUCAAAUAUUAAGUAACAGGACAAAACUUUUCAACGGUUAUAAAAAAAAACUCACAAUUUAGUUGUGGAAGUGAUGUGGUUAUACUUUGUUUAGUGUCCAGGAUAAAUGUUACGAGUUAACAAAGACAUGCAAAUUAUUUCUUUCUCAUAUAAUACUAUGUUAAAUUAUAUGCCUUUUUGCUCAACGAUUUUAUUUUAAUUUUAUGGUCCAAUAUUCUCCAUAUGUAUUCUAAGUUAUAUGAUCUAUUUAUUGUAGAAUUUAAAUUAAGCAUCAAACUUAUUUCAAGAAUAUUCCAACGACACAUGUGACCAUUGGUAAAUAAUUGAUUCCAACAAAAUCAUAUGCCUUAAAAAUUUAUUCUGACAAAGAAAAAAUUUUGUAGGAAAAAAUAUGUUUACUUCGACAACAACUAAUCACCCUCGAAAAUAUAAAAGUAUUACUGGGAUGACCAUUUUUCCCUCAAAAAUAUAAAAACAUUACCGAGAGGACUUCUUUUCCCUCAAAAAUACUAAAUCAAUUUCGUCAACAUAAGUAAACCUUUGGAAAUAACCAUUCUAUUUCCGAUAAGAACUUUACUCGUCAUUAAUACAAUUGGCGCCAAUUCUUCCCGCCAAACAAAAGUGCAUUUCCGACGAAACUUGAGACUUUUUCCAAGGACAUUAUGUACGUUGGUAAUAAAAAUUUGUUUCAUGUCAUGUUACCGACGACCCAUAUUUUAUGGUCGCAAAAUGUGUUGUUUACGACGGUUUUUUGGGGCCCUCAGAAAAUAUUCGUCAGUAAUGACUACUUUUUUUGUAGUGUUAGAUGCAUUUAAAGCUCAUAAACCUGCACCCCGGUGUUAGUGCUCCCGCCCGUGGCCAGGGCACAGUCCUUCACAUAAUGUUCACCUCCCGCACCAUACACUCACCUUGAAUUCAAGGUAAGUGCACAGGCCUGUCGUACAUACCACUAUAGGUGGUUCCGACUCGUAGGUGACUCUUCACUUGAUCGUAGUACUUGAGCAUAUUCAUUUUCACCCAGUCCUGUCGUACAGACCACUACAGUGGUUCCGACUCGUGUGCAAGCAUAGUGUCGUAUAGGUUACUAGAAAUGACUUCAGCCAAAUUGAGAUAUGAGCUAUGGACUUAGUUGUACAGGCCACAAUAGGUGAAUCCAGCUGACAUAUUAAUUGCAUAUGCGAUGAGAUAUGAAUAUGUCGUACAGGUCACUACCGGUGACUCCGACUUAUGAGAUGCUAGCAUAUAGGAUGAGAUAUGUUAUGAGCUAGCAUAUAUGAUGAGAUGCUAGCAUAUAUUUAUAAUGAGAUAUGUGAUGAGAUGCUAACAUAUAUAUUUAUGAUGAGAUGCUAGCAUAUAUGUGAUGAUAUAUGAUGAAAUGCUGGUAUAUAUUUAUGAUGAGAUAUGUGAUGAGAUGCUAGCAUAUAUGGGAUGAGAUAUUGAUUCAACCGUACAUGAUGGGUGGAUCUGGCUAACAUGCCAUUUCCUAUUGGUUUAUUUCACCUGGGUUACUCAUUCCUGUUAAGAUAUUUGAUGUAGCAUAACGGUAAGACUAUCAUUUUGGUUAUGGUUUUGAUUUAUAGUCACACCUGUUAUUUUCUAGGAAAUUAAACAGGUAUUACGGUGAGGGGCUACUAUCUUUGGUAGUUGGAAUUGGUUUGAAGAGUUUUAUUUCACUCACUCACAUUUUCUGUUUUUUGUACCCCUCCAGGUUCUAGCAGUAGAGUUCCGUAUUGACGAAGAUUCGUGGCACUUUUCAGCACAGAUGUAUCUUAUGAUGGUAUAAUCAUUAUCUCACCUUAUUGUACUAUACAUAUGCUCUGUAUCGCGCGUGAAGUGGGUUCCUUCCCGCUCACCAGCGCACUCUGGUAUUUAGGCACUCUUAAGUUUAAAUUUAUUCAUAUUUUUCCACAUCAUCGCACUUUAUGGCUUCGUCACCUUCCAGGUGUCGGCCAGCGCAGCUCGAUUCGAAGUCUUAGUGGACAUUCCGGGUCGGGGUGUGUCAAUAGGCAUGUAAUGCCGGUUAUAAAAAAAGUCUUUCGCACACGGAUAAUAAUGUGAUUAAAUUCGUUGUCAAAUGAUUGUUUUUCUUUUUUAGCAAAUGAUAUUAUCUACACUAAAGGAGAAUGGGUGAGCUUAGGGUGAGCUUAGCCUCACAAUAGGCUAGCAAUAAUGUGAUUCAAUCAGUUAAUUAUUAAACAUUAUUUUCUCUAUUUUUAAACACGUUCAAAACAUCUUAAGAGGCGUGUAAUGCCGGCUAUAAAAAAAAGUUUUUCGCACACGGAUAAUAAUGUGAUUAAAUUACAUUAAAUUAGUUGUCAAAUGAUUUUUUUUUAACAAACAAUAUUAUCUACACUAAGGGGGAGGGGGUGGGCUUAGCCUCACAAUAGGCUACCAAUAAUGUGAUUCAAUAAGUUGUUUUCGUCAUUUUAACAGUAUUUUUAUAUUUAUUUUUUGUGGUUUGUUUGUUUUUUUUUUAAUUAGUGUCUCACAAUAGGCUAGCAAUAAUGGAUUCAAUUUCUCUAUUUUUAAACACUUUUAAAACAUCUUAAGAGACGUUUAAAACAUCUUAGCCUCACAAUGGGCUAGCAAUAAUGUGAUUCAAUCAAUUGUUUAUUAAAUAUUAUUUUCUCUAUUUUUAAACACGUUCAAAACAUCUUAAGAGGCGUGUAAUGCCGGUUAUGAAAAAGAUCUUUUGCACGCAAAUAAUAAUGUGAUUAAAUUACAUUAAAUUAGUUAUCAAAUUAUUGUUUUUUUAAUAAACAAUAUUAUUUACACUAAAGAGGAGGGGGUGGGCUUAGCCUCACAAUAAGCUAGCAAUAAUGUGAUUCAAUCAGUUGUUUAUUAAAUAUUAUUUUCUCUAUUUUUAAACACGUUCAAAACAUCUUAAGAGGCGUGUAAUGCCGGUUAUAAAAAUGUCUUUCACAACCAGAUAAUAAUGUGAUUAAAUUAGUUGUCAAAUGAUUGUUUUUUUUAACAAACGAUAUUAUCUACACUAAGGGAAAGGGGGUGGGCUUAGCCUCACAAUGGGCUAGCAAUAAUGUGAUUCAAUCAAUAGUUUAUUAAAUAUUAUUUUCUCUAUUCUUAAUGUAAAUUCUAUAUAGACCGAUUUUAUUAUGUGAAUUCAGCUGCUUUAAUUGAUUUAUGAGGGAUUUCUUCUAGCAUGAUGUAAGAUUAUUCAUUUACUUCAAAUAUUUGACUUUCCUUUUGUCAAUUUACUCAUAUAAAUACAUUUAAAAUGUUUAAGUCAUGCGUAACACGCCAUAAUUAAAAAAAUGAUAUUUUGGAUGCGAUCCCUAAUCAUUAACAUUCUUUGAUUAAAACCUUAAUUGUAUUCAAAGUUUGAUCAAGGUCCCUUGACUUUGUACACCUCAUUAUAUUACUAUUAAUAUUUUUAUUUUUAUAGUUUUGACAUUAAUUGUUUGAUAUUUUAUGAUAUUUAUAAUCCUAUAAAUUUAAAUUCUCUCAUUAUAAUACUAUUAGAAACGGUAACAAUAAAAAAAUUCAAACAUUUUGAUUGAAUAAAUGGAUAAAAACUAUGUAAAAAUAAGAAAUAAUAAAUGGCAAAAGAAUGUAUCCAUAGUGUUAAAAAAAUUGGUACAUUUCACAUAUAACAAAGUGGUAUAUUAAUAAAGAAGAAUGGGUACAUUAUAAAUAAAUUAGGGUACAGAUAAAAGAUUAAAAAUUAUGAUUACAAAUGAAUUUUAAAAAAAUAUAGGCGCUAAAAGAAAUUAAUACAUGGGUACAAAAUAAAACUAAAAAGAAAAUACUACAAAUUUAAAAAAAAAUGUUGCAAAUUAAAAGUGGGUACAAACUCAAAAUAUAAAUAUAGGAUACAAGUUUAGGCAUAAAAUAUAAGUAUACCAUAUGUAAUUUUUCUAUCAUUGAUUAAAUAUACAAUGUCACGUGACAGUAUACACAUGGGUACAAACACAAAUAAAACUUUAAAAAAUAUGGGAACAAAAAGAAACUAAUAUAUGGGUACAAAUUAAAAAUGAAAAGAAAAUUGGUACAAAUUAAAAAAUAUUUGCAAAUUAAAAAUAGGUACAAACUAAAAACUAAAAAUAUAUGAUAAAAAAAUUUAGCCAUAAAUAUAAAUAUACUAAUUGUAACAUUUUUGACACUAAAGGAAUAUAUUUAAAAAUAAAAAAUAUUUUAUUAUUCAAAUAAUUAAUGAUGUUCUUAAUAUCCAAGGACCUUGAUCAAAAAUUAAAAAUGAAUAAGAUUUUAAUCAAUGGAAUAAUAAAAAGAAUGAUGUAAAUCUAAUUUUCCCUUUAAAAAAUGUCUUGUGCUUGAAUAAAGCAAUUCAGCAGUACUAGAUGGCUAAGGUUCUCCCGUUUUGGUAGACCAGGGUAUUUUGGUAGUGCCAAACGGAUGUCGUAUUCUCAAAACCACCAAAAACGACGUCGUGUGACGUCGUGUACCUGCUGGAUUCCCUUCGAAAGUUCGAAAGCACGCCGAUGAAGGAGAUGGCGAGGUAAGGUUUCAUUUCGAUCAAUCUUUCAAACUUCCAUUCUCCCGAAAGCGCGUGGAUUCAAUCGGCAAUGGAGGAAGAAGACAAACAGCCGCUCAAGGAGGACAAGGGUCCUCAACAGGAAGAGAAAGAAGAACCAAAGGGAGGAGCAGCUGAAGCACAAGUGUCGCCGGCGAAAAGUGGCGGAGGAUGGGGAGGUUGGGGGUUUUCGUCCGUCUUCUCAGAUCUCCAGAAAGCCGCCGAAGAGAUCUCCCGCAAUGUAAGUGUCUCCAGCGUUUCAUAAAUGUAUUUACAUCGGCAUUUGUAGUGUAAGUUUACCUGAUUUGGUGUGUUUUGGAAAAUUAGGGUUUAUAAGUUUGGGAAAUGUUGAUUAGUGGAUAUACUUUCUGGCGGGUUUAGAUGAUAUCGGAGUUAAUUAACUGUUUCGACUGCGAAUCUGAAAGUAGGUUUAAGCUAUUAAGAGUUUAGUGACGUUAUCCAAUUGAAAGUUAUAAAAUAUGCAGAGAUUUAUGUAUGUAGUUAAAAUGGAAGAAUUUAGGGUUGCUGCAUUUUGUGGUUCGGUUUGUGAAGUGGCGGUUUUUGGAUGCAGGCGGCUGCGGCUGCUCAGACGGCAGCGAAGAGCCUUGCCGACAUGCAAGCUGCUGAGGACUCAGAAGAAUCUUCCAAGGAGGAAGAAGGGGAUACUGAAAAGGAAACCCAAGAUGACACUGAGAGCCAAGAUGAGCAUGAAAAGCAAAGAAAGGCUGCUCUUGAUAAAUUGGAGAAAGCUAGUGAGGAUUCGCUUUUCGGUCAGGCAAGUUGUAAAUUUAUGGAGUUGAAAUCUCUUUUUUAUAUCUGCAAGUCUUUUGUGUUAAUGCAUUCACGCCAAUCAUAUAUUCAUGAAGUUUGUUAUGCUGAGUUUGUUUAUGUUUUUAUUCCGUUUGUUUCUUAUGUUGUACUUAUUGAAUCACAUCUAGCUAUCGCUAGGGUAAUGCAAAUUUUACAAGAACCACAUCUAUUUCUAUACAUGUCUCAAAUUGAUUUAGGAUAAUUUAACACCAACUUCUGUUUCACUAGAUUGGAGGUGUUUGUAUCUUAAAUUUUGCUUCAAUCCUCUAAAGCUGAUGCCUUCCAUUUGUUCUCCACUUAACAUGCUAAUUUUCGUUACUUUCAGGGUUUGAAAGUGCUUGAUAGUUCCGUGGAGAAUUUUGCUACAGGAGCGUGGCAAGCAUUAGGAAGUGCAUUGAAAGGGGGUACCGACCUAGUGCACAAGUAUGUUACAAGUAUUUUUGCGGAUUUUCUCUGGACCAAAAUUUAGUAAUUAGCAGAUGGCUACAGUCCACAUGAUUUCUCUUGUUUCUCAGGAAACUAACGAAUUAGUAAUCUGAUAGUGGAAUAUUGGGCUCAAGAUUCUAAGUUCCAACUUCUAACAUAGAUUAUGCAGUUGAUAUAUUUGUGCAAAGUGUGAAAUCCAAAUUAGAAACACAAACUUGACCUGACUUUCAACUUCUUGUUCUUUAGGAUUGAGAAUUCUGCUGUGAACCUUGCGGGAUCUAUCCAGCAAGGUGGAGGUGCUGGUUCUACCGCGCCAUCCUUAUUAGAGGUUUGCGUUCCCUUGCUACUUUUUUGGUUAACUAAUGGUACAUCAUUGCUUAUCUUGGUUUCGUGUACAGACUGGAAAAGCUUUUACAUCAAAGGGAAUGCAAGUGCUUGAGCUUGUAGGAAAGGAAACUUUGGAUCUACUGAUCACAGAGACUGGUAUAGAAGUUGAUAAGGAUUCUACACUUUCUGAAAAGGAAACUGAAGAGGAUCAGUUAUAUGAGGAAGUGGGAUUUGAUCGGUGUUUCUACAUAUAUGGAGGUCCAGAACAGUUGGAGGUCAGUUAUUUAAUUUUGAGGUUAAAUAUUGUUAUCGUAGGGAAUAAAAUGUAUUAAAGUUGUUCCUUUGUAACACUGUCAGGAACUGGAGGCUUUGUCCAGCCAUUAUGCGCUAUUAUUUAAUCGGAGAAAAGGAAAGUUGUCAUCAGAACAGAAGUCUAUUUAUGAUGGAAAGCUUAAACAGGUGCAACAGAUUUUCAGUCUGAAUACUGAGUUGGAUGGAAGUGGUGCAGAGUUGGACAAAGGCAAAAAGAAAAAGACCGGAGAUGAUGGAAAUAGCAAUGAGAUGAAGAGUUUGCAUGAUUCAAGCGUCAGCAAGGCUGCUGAUAUGGCGGCUGGGUACUAUAUUUUGUUCAAUUUCUAUUUUUAUUGUCUUGUCUUUUUCUUUUUAUAGAUUAUUUGCUUCCAUGAAUGGCUGUUUAGUUCUAUUGAUUUAUUGACUUUCAUCUGAUUUUCGUAAAUACUAUAUACUGAUCUUCAAGCUUGUAUAAAUCUACUGGCCAAUCAAUAUUCUUUUAUUGCCAUACCUUUGUUGCUCCAUUACCCUCUGUUUAUCCACUCAAUUUACAAACAAACAACUACGUGUACACUAAAGCCAACAUCAUCUGAUUUCAGCAAUUGUAAAACUUGCCGCAUCCGUCUUGAGUUACACUGAGACAACAUUUUGCCAAGCCACUGUUGAUGAUGUGUCCUUUCCCCGCCCACUGUCCUUGUCAAUCUGAAUUGAUUGGAGAUCUGAGGCUUCGCGCUAAAUGAUUUCAAAAUUAAUUUCUUUAUAAUCGUGUGCUUAUAGAGAUGUGUGCAUGUGCAUAUAGAUCAUAUCGCUCCCAACAUUGCAUCAGACUUGACAUGCAUGAUGCUCUCAGAAAAUAAAUAUCUUUUAAAGGUGAGACUGGUAGCAGGGGAGUCCUAUGAAAAGUUAUUGCUGGGUGCUGAUAUGUCCAAUUUCAAAACUGGAUUGCAUUUUAAUCAGCCUUCUCACUGUACAUAUUUUUUUUAGCAAUUUCAACAGCGUCCAAUUAAAAGAAAUGGAGUCGUUUGUUCCUCGUGAUUUUGUGAUCUUGUCUGACAUAUUGCUGUAAAAACAUGCGUGGUCUUCUAUGCUUCCUUAGUUUUGUUUAUUUUUACACCAUGCAUUGUUACUAUGACUUUUAAACUUUUCUUCUUAUGUUCUUUUUAGGUUCACAAGUGCCUUAGCAGGACAAGCUGUUAACGAUAUAAUUCAAAGAACAACUGGUAGAUUGGAGAGUCUUCACUCAGAGGGGGUUCAUGUACGUUUCUGUUACUGUAUUAUUCCAUGGCAUUCUUAUUGACAUGGGUUCAUUAGUUCUGAAGUAAUCAUAUUUUUGCAGAGGCUGUCAGAAUUGUGCUGUUCAGCAGUAUCUCAACUGUUGAUGCUUGGUAAAUCCAUCAUAUCUAGUGCAAACAAAACUCAGGCAGAAGAUGUGGAUGCCGAUCUGGAGAAUAUCGAUUGGCCUGAAGAUUCUGUUGAGAAAGCAAAGAUAAUCAGAUCAAAAACACAAACAAUGACAGGAUAUGUGGAGGCAGUGUCUAGCAGUUUCGUCACAGGUUAAUUUCCUUGAACUUUGUUUAGUGCUGCUUAUGCUCAUAAUUGACUACCCUUUCCUAGUUGAAAAUAUGCCAUUACAAUUAAUGUACUCUCAGAUCUAGUCACUUAUUGUUACUUAAUUGCUCAAUGGUAGAAUGGUUAGGAUUUUUUUUUUUUUUUUUCUUUUUUCUUCUUCGUGUCAAGAAGAGUGGUUAGCUAUUAGGUGACUAGUUUGUUGUACAAUUGGGAAGAUAAUCCACAUAGAUACAGCAACAUUUGAACCCGAAUAUAUUAUUGUUUGGGGGCCUAAUUCCUAAGUUCCCCAACUCCUAAAGCUUCAUGUCUUUUCUCUGUGCUUUUACACUGACUUCUUAAUUAUUCCGUUUCAUAGUGUAUUAAUUAAACCUAUCAAUAACCUGCACUCCUGAGGCCUUCAAUGUCUUUUUAUGUAGCAAAUAUAUUUUUGUUGACAGUUUGAGUUUUGAUGAACUUUUCAGGUAUAUCUGAUGUUGCAGAAGCUUAUCUAGCAGCCAUAAAGGGCGCUUCUGAGGACUCCCACGAAGUGCUCCCACGUACAUCGAUCCAAGAAAAAGCAAGUUCUUUCUCUAAACACCUUCGUGAUGACCAGACCACAGCUUUGAGCAAAAUCCAGGAUGGGCUACACUACUUGUCGUACGUUGUCAUUUCAACCUCUAUGCCUGCAGCGUGAGAAACCUCAAAUCUUUAAGCUCUCUGUUUAGUUUUGUAAAUAGUCGGCAUUUAGAGUGAGUUUAAGUUUUCACAUCGUUUCAAGUGUUAUACGAAAUUGAAGUUCUUAGAACUGUAAAACAAUCAGCAACUUGUGACAAUAAGGUAGAAAUUAUACGUUUGCAGUAAUUAAAGUUUUGUUGCUUUAAUUUCUAGUAAGAAUCUAUCAAUCAUGAAAGAGAUUUUGUUAACUCGCCGGAUACAAGAAAGUCCAAAUUAGUUUGGUUUGCUUGUGAUGGCAAGAGUUUGUAGUAAUGGAAAGCUUGAUGAAGAUGAUUGCAAAAACCGUGGUUAUAUCACCACAUGAUGUUCCAUGCCAUUGAUACAAAGACAUGUAAAAAAAAAAUUUAUACGUUUUUAUUUCAUUGACACGGUAUGUCAGAAUAGUGGUGCAUCCGUGCCAUGUAAGUCAUUAUGCUCUCUCAUUGAAUUUGUAAUCGAUAUUUGGCCAAAUAAACUUGAAUGCCUAAAAUGAUCUUUUCACUAAUGUAAACGACAAACCAUUUGGUAUAAUUUUGAUUUUUCUACACGACAUUAUUGAAUUUGGCAUAUGACCCCACUACGAGGAUGCUUGGUGCAAUUUGACAUGACGUUAGAAGAAAUAAUAAGACCAGUUGCACAAGCGCUUAGGUAAUUUUUAGAUUUUGAUAAGUAUGUAGGUUCACAAUGCAUCGAUAUUCGCACGUGUCCACUAGUAUCCUCCACACUCCUCCUCUUCUUACUUUUACUCAGAUUAAUCUGUCAAUUAUUAGUACAUCCCAUCAUUCAUAUAAGUUGAACAUAAAAUCUUACUUACAAAGUAAAGAGGAAGAUCAGCAUACGUGGUACUGGUUCCUAUUACCUUGCAAACUAUGCACUCCUAUUUAGCUACGGAAAGGGUCGGAUCCCUUCCUUCUAAUCCACUAAAUCAGGGAAUUCGUCCCAUUAAAAUUUAAUCCAACGACUGAGUUUAUUAUAACUUUUAAAGUAGUUCCCUAUUUGUAGUCAUUUGAUCAAAUUUCAAUAAUACGAAUUCUCUAAUUUGAUGGAUUAAGAAGAAGGGAUUCAGAGAUGAUCUUUUUCCAUUUAGCUACCAAUAUUGUCCAAUAAGGCAAUAAUUAUGAUUUAGACAUUAUAUAAAAAAAGCCCAAUCGGAUCCUCUCCGAAUUCUUUAUGUAAGGAUUCUGGAAAUUCAUAAAUUGUGUUCGUUUAUCGUACAUCAUGUGAUCAGUUUUUGUCUUGUAUUAUUUGCAUUUAAUUUUACAAAUAUAUAUAUAUAUAUAUAUAUAUAUAUAUUUAAAAUGACUUCUGAUAAUGUACGAUGAACGAAUAUGAUUUAUCGAGAUCCUCACAAGAUGAUCCAACCAGAAUCCGAAUUCAAAAAGAACCACAUGUUACCAGGAAUACCUGUCAAUUCAGCAGCACCUACCCACUAUACUGUCUCCAUUAUUUCCCUCUCAAGAAACGUCUAGGUUCAUUGUACAACAACAAAAUCAUGCCAAGAACACCACCACCACUUUCUCCCACCCAAAAUUUCACUAAACUCCACCAUCAUCUCUCCUUGAACCUCAGGUUUACCCAUGGGAGAGGUUGAUCCGGCCUUCAUCCAAGCCAUCGACAGGAGGCCGAAUCCCAAGCCCAAAAACUCAUCACUUGUUGAUGAAAUCCCCACAAUUGACCUCUCAGCUCUACGCACCGGUCCCGAGGAUGACAUACGCGAAACAGGUUCAUCGCCAAGUGACGUCUCGGGCCAUGCUAAACUGGUUUCAGAAAUAGGCCAUGCAUGCAAAAACUGGGGGUUUUUCCAAGUUGUGAAUCAUGGGGUUCCACUGGAACUGGGCAGGAAGAUUGAGGAUGUGGCCAAGAAAUUCUUUGAGCUACCAGGUGAGGAGAAGAGGAAGGUGAAGAGGGACAUGGUGAAUGCUUUGGGGUACCAUGAUGGUGAGCACACUAAGAAUGUUAGAGAUUGGAAGGAAGUGUUUGAUUUCUUGGUGGAAGAUCAGACGGCUGUCGCAGCUUCACAUGAGCCAGGUGAUGAGGAGCUGAGGGUGUUGACGAAUCAGUGGCCUCAGUACCCUCCUGAGUUCAGGUAAUUUAUUUGUUUUCGUUUAUUUUAGGGCCCGUUUGAUAAUCAUUUCCGUUUUUUUCAGUUUUUAGUAUCACCUUCUAUAGAAUGAUUUGCGUAAAGUUGGCUGAUUAUGGAUUUGCUUUGGUUCGAAGAUUUAGAAAUAUAGCCACUCGAAGAGUGCUUGAACACCACUCCAUAAUGCUCGAGUCCCCUCGAGCGGUUCAAGUUCUACAAGUCUGAACUUGAUUCACAAGUGUUACAAGUUCGGAUUCAUGAAGAUUAAACUAUUUGCGAUUAGAAAUUGGCAUGUGAUGCCUGUCUAGUACCAACUCCACCAAAUUUUAGCAUAUCUUGUUGUGGUUUAUGUACAGUUUACUCCAUUAUGCUAAUUGUUUUUCUUCACCUUGGCAUGUGGUUUAUGUACUCGAAUUGACUGCCUUGAGCAGAGAGGUCUGCCAAGAGUAUGCUCGAGCGGUCGAAAAACUAGCAUACAAGUUGCUAGGACUAAUUGCUCUGAGCUUAGGCCAGCCCAAAAACAGGUUCGAUGACUACUUCAAAGACCACCAAACGAGCUUGGUCAGACUCAAUCACUAUCCUCCAUGCCCUUCCCCUCACCUAGCUCUAGGUGUUGGCCCGCACAAGGAUGCUGGCGCCUUAACCAUCCUUGCCCAAGAUGACGUUGGAGGACUAGAAGUUAGGCGGAAAUCAGAUGGAGAGUGGAGUCCAGUCACGCCCACCCCAAAUGCCUACAUCAUCAAUGUUGGUGACAUUGUUCAGGUACCACUCAUGAACCAUGUAGUUUCGGUGAAAUGACAACUUUAAUAUGUAUCUAUGGAGCUGUAAUUACGAAUGAGAUUGUUCUUGAAAAUCACCAUUUUGAACUACAAAGUUAAAGUUCUCGAUGUGUGAAACAACUGUUUCAAUGAAAUGAAAUCAUCCCGCUAUGUCUUAAUCAUGAAUGAUGUUCUUGUAAAAUACCCUUUUGCACAACAAAAGAAAUGAAGAAAAAGUUUUGAACUUUUAAGCGUAUGAAAUACUCCUAUAUUCUCCCAUUCCUUUCUUAGUUGGACCAACCAGAUUUUCGACAAGCAUUUCUGUUGGCACAAGAAGAAGAACUGUAAGUGAAUUUUAAUCAUUACAAUUAUUCGAGAUGUAAUAUGUAUGUUCACUCUGUGAAUUGCAGGUUUGGAGCAACGACAAAUAUGAGAGCGUGGAGCACCGUGUGGUGGUGAAUUCUGAGAAAGAGAGAUUUUCAAUUCCAUUCUUCUUCUUCCCAGCCCAUCAUGUGAUGGUGAAGCCCUUGGAGGAGCUACUGAGUGAUGGAAAUCCUGCCAAAUACAGGGAAUACAACUGGGGAAAGUUUUACGCUACCAGAAACCGCAGUGAUUUCAAGAAACAGGAGGUGGAGAACAUCCAAAUUCAUCAUUUCAAGUUACCGGAGUAGAUACUAGAUGGUAUAGCAUGAACGUUUAAUCACCGGUAGCAACUGGCAACGCAAAGUUCUUUUCGCUUCUUGUGAUUACCGUGCUAUGUAACCGGAUUGGAGGCUUUGGAAUCUGCUUCAGUAACUGCUAAUAAGUGAGUUGCAUGUAAAAUCGCCUACUUUUACUUAAAGCUUCUAUAUCUCUCUGCAAGUCUGGGGCAGAUAUCUAAGUGCAAUCUUCAAGGAAAAUCAAACCUUGAAGUAAAUAUACUAUAGCAAUCACCAAUUUUCUUUUAAUACAAGCGAUACUAAGGAGUAUGAACCGAAUACAUGACCUGAGGUGUAGAGGUAAACUUGCUUAACAAUUUGAACUGCAAGCCUUUCGCAUUGUAAUGAUCACUGUUAAGUUCAUGCUAAACGUGAUUAAAAACUCUCCGUUUCCGACCCCAAAGCCAUCGAAAGGCUUAUCGCACAAAUAGGCAAUGCAUGUAAGGACUGGGGUUUCUUCCAAGUGAUCAACCACAGGGUUCUGUUGGAGAAGCGCCAGAGGAUCGAGGCUGCUGCUCGGAAGUUCUUUGCGCUGCCCUUGGAGGAGAAGAGGAAGAUUAGAAGGGAUGAAAAGAGUAUGUUCGAGAGGUCGAAAAGCUAGGUCUAUAGUUGAUUGGAUAGAUUGCAUUGAGCCUAGGUUUGCCAGAAGUGACCAGUUUUAUCAGACUCAAACCACUAUUCGCCUUGUCCUUCCAAAUCAAAAUCGCCAUCCAUGGGAGAGAUUAAUCCAGCUUUCAUCCAAGAUCCCGAGCACCGACCAAAACUGUCAAUCAUCGAAGCUGAUGGCAUACCAUUGAUUGACCUGUCUCCCGUAAACUCCCCAGACAACUCUUCUGACCCGAAAGCCAUUGAAAAACUUGUUAGAGAGAUCGGCAAGCAUGCAAAGACAGGGGGUUCUUCCAAGUGAUAACCAUGGAGUACAACUGGAUACGCUCGGAAAGACUGAGGCUGCUGCUCGGAAGUUUUUUUGAUCUGCCUUCGGAGGAGAAAAGGCGAAUUUGGAGGGAUGAAAAAACUGUGUUGGGUUACUACGAUACUGAGCAUACCAAGAACGUACGAGACUGGAAGGAGGUGUUCGAUUUCACAGUGGAGAAACCUAUGUUAAUGCCUGUUUCAGCCGAUCCUGAGGACAACGAACCAAUGGCCUGAGCAACUUCCAGAACCACGGUAACUCAAUGAUUAGUUGAUUACUAAGAGGAGAGUGAACAUAAUUACUUUAGACACAAAUUUGGAAUUGGACUCGUAAGAUCUAAUACCAGGGUGCUGUGUGAUGAAUACGCUCGAGAAGUAGAAAAACUAGCUCUCAAGUUGUUGGGACUUAUUGCCUUGAGCCUAGGCUUGCCAGAAAACAGGUUCAACAGCUACUUCGAAGACCGGACAAGCUUUAUCAGGCUCAAUCACUAUCCACCUUGCCCUUCCCCUCAGUUAGCUAUUGGUGUUGGUCGCCACAAGGACAGCGGUGCUCUAACCGUGCUGUCUCAGGAUGAUGUCGGAGGACUGGAGGUGAUGAGAAAAGCAGACGGAGAGUGGAUAACCCCAAAUGCCUAUAUCAUCAAUGUUGGUGACAUUCUUCAGGAUCCUCAUCCAAGCAAUACAAACCAAAACCUAAAAGCUACUUUCUAGGUUUUGAUGUUUUCCAAAUGGAUCCUUUUCUAAUAGAUGGCUACCAUGGUAGAACUCAAUCAAACAUGUUGAAUUAGCUAAAGCUGUUAUGUCCAAGAAAUUGAUCGAACUGAUCGCUCGUGUGUCAGUCUUCCAAGAAAGAUGAAAAAUUACAUAUUAUAUAUAUAAUUUAUUUAAAUAUAAACAAACCAAAUCCUAUUUCGAUCAGAUCAAAGAUGAUGUACAACCUUUGUGAUCAGAGGGGGCGAUUAAUCAGCCAAAACACAAAGAAAAAAACUAAAGAAUAUCUGUAAGACAACUAAAUAAGGUCCUCAACUGAAAACGACACAACAGAAAGUCCUCGAUAUUUUUGGUUCUGUGCACCCAAGACCUUUUGCAAAGGGUGUAAUGAUGCGUAAAAGUGUAUGGUAUCAGCUUCCACGCGCUCUAGAACCCUAAACCCUCCUCAACUAGAAACGGCACUACAGAACGCCUUCAAUAUUUUUGGUCUUUGCAAUCCAGAUCCUUUUGAAAAAUGGAACUUUAAUGAAAAGCUCCCGGUACUGUUCAUUUUAACGAAAAACCAUAUUUUUACACUAAAAAUUCAAUUAUGAUACUAAUCAUUUUACCUUUUAUUUUGUCCUUAUCGUUAAAAUUCAAAAUUCAAAAUUUUCAAACCCUUUUCAUUGGUUUUCCUUUUGAGAAUGAUCUGCAAGGUAUAAGCUUCUUUGCUCUCAUGGACCCUAAACUCUAACCCUUACUAGGCCCUUAACUAGAAACAGCACAACAGAACGUCUUCAAUCUUCUUAAUUGCAGUUCACAAAAGUCUCAAAUAUAAAUAAUAUAACAUAGAUCAUCAAUUUUAUUGUAAAACUGGAAAAGCUUUGGAGUAAUAUUACCUGCAAGGCUAUUCAUGGUAAAUGAAAACGAUAACACAAGUUAUAUUAUACGCAAUCAAACAAACGUGACACAGAACAUGUGCAUCUAUUGAGCAUGAACCUUAAACGGUAAUUAGAAUCCACAAAAACAUCUGCCCAUUUAUAAAUUGACAGCCCAGUUUCCCUCAUUCCUCCCCACAAUCUAAUUUAGUAAAUUGAACAUGUGAUUAUAUUCUAGAAGUCUGAUACAAAAAAGUUGGAACACUGAAGAGAAUGGAUUGCAAAAAGUCUACCAUGCAUCUUCAAACUGCAUUAUGAUACUCAUCAAUUGUUUCUUUCAUUCGAUCCAAUUGUGACAUGACAUACUCGAGCUUCUUGCAACAGAUCUCAUUAGCUAUUCUUGAACUGUAAUCACACUUCUCAAAUGGACGGUAAUCGCAUGCACUUUUAAUUUCAUCCCGUAGUGCCACUUGAAUAUCCUGAUGCACAAAAGAAAAAUAAUCCAAAAUCCUCAUCCUCGAUUCACAAAACAGUUGAGCCAAAAUAAGAAAGUGCAAGUACAUAAUCCACUCUUGCAACCAACCUACUCAACCAGACCUAAAAUUUCUCACUUUUUGCACCAAAAAACUAUUCCCAUACCAAAAUAAAAUUAGGCAUUUUUGUUGAUUCUUCCACAAAGUUUCUGAAUUCUUUAGAUACUACUCUUAUUGACUAGAUUCCGAUUAUUCAUCCAAAAUUCAAAAAGCAUUUCAAGCAACUCGAUCAAAGAGUACCUAAUUCAAUUCAUAGUAUAAAAACCAGAACCUUCUAGACCCCAAAAACUCUAGUCCCAAAAUUUCCCCCUCCUAACAUUUGUAAGUUCCAAAUUUGCAAUCUACUUCGUGGCAGGAUUUAAUUCAUGGGUCCAAUUAAAGUUCCCAAAUCCCAAAUUCCAUGAAAACUCCAUGCUUACACAAAUUUUAAGUUAUAUAUAAACAUAUAUGUAUAUACACACACAGAAGCAGUCGAUACCCCUAGCUGCUGCUACUCUGAGCUUGUAAAAAACAGACCUUGAUCAAUUGCAUGAACUCGCGGCAAUGGUUGUUGAUGUACUCCUUUCUGGGACCGCUAGGGUUUGCAAGCUCAUCCAUGACGCCUCCUGCUAGCUCCAAAACCUUAACGAUUCUCUGUGCAACCAACCAAAAAUUAAAUAAAAAUUCAAAUUCUCGUCGGUAUCAAACUCCUAUGUGGAAUUGGAAUUGAGUAGUUGACUGCUUACAUUCUCCACGUUUUGGAGUCUCUGCAACGAGGUGUUCUGGGUCUGCGAAUCCAUGGAGUUUGUUUGAAUUUUUGCUUUAGAGAGUGUUUUUUUCAGAUGAGAAAAGGAGAGAAAGGAGAUAGUGUGAUAGGUUUUAGUGGGCUUUGGGCUCUAUAAUUUUACACUCAAGAGGCCUGCUUCAUAUGCCACUUUGUCGCUCCACUGAUCUUGAGAAUUGGUAUCUAGAUUUCACCUGGAGAAUGAGAACCUACUCAAAAAUGAAUUUCAAAUAUUUUUAAUUUUCUCCAUCUUAACACAACUCUUGGAACAAAGUCGAAUAGUUAGAGAUCAUAUAUUACACUUUCUUCCUAUUCUUCGUUGUUUCGUAAUGUGUUAUACAUCAAAAUGUCACACAAUCUUUUUAGCAAAAAAAAGUCACAUAAUUGUUGCUUACCUCCAUACAAUUCACAUGUCUCACAUAAUUGUUGCUUACCUCCAUACAUGUCUCAACUCUCAGACUCAUAAUGUUAUAGCAUACAUAGUAUUCUUCUUCUUCUUCUUUGUCAUAAAAUGCCAAAAGCACUUGCAUUAAUCAAAUCAAUACUUAUAUGAAAAACAACAUGCCAACAAAAAUUAAGUUUGAAAAAACCCUGCUGUCAUAUGUUUUAUUAUUUUGCGGAUGUGUUGUGCUCAAAAUAAAUGGUUAGAUUGGCCCAAGUGUUAGGUUUUUCAUGUAUAUUGAUAAUGUUUGCGGCGGUGUCAUCAUCUCUUCGUGUAUAUACCAGAUAAGCAAACAAAUCAACAAAAACCCAGAAAAGCAACUCACAAAUGUAAUUAUAUGAAUGCAAGAGGACUCGGCAUCAUACUUGAUAAAUAUCAGACUUGUGUCUAUGAUCACGAUGAUCUCUUUAGGAUACAAAAAAUCACUCUUUUUUCUUUAUAUACAACUCAGGCCAGGAAACACUAAAACACAACCCCUAAAUCCAACUAAAUAAGAUGUAAAACAAAUUCGAAUAUAGUUUUCUAAAUUCAGAUUAAAAAGAAUUUACUUGUUUGGAGUAGAUGAAAUUGCAAUCCCCAGGAGCACGUCUUAGUAAAUGCAAAAUUUCAUCAAAACGAUGCUAUCCAGAUUGCUCAACAUUGCUCAAAUAAAAUGCCAUCAAAAGAAGAAUUUUUCAAAACCCAGAAAUUUAAACGUGUAAUUCGACAAAACCAUGAAAAUUUUACUAAAACCCAAUUAUAUUAAAUCACAAAUUUGAAGAAGAUUUUGACAUGAAUAGGUCUAGAAAGUACUUGAGAUGAUGAGGAAUUGUUUGAGACCAACCUCGAUGCAGGGCGCCGCCGUAGUCGUCAGAUUCAGGUUGGAAACUUUUUUUUGAGAUUUUGAGAUUCAGGUUGGAACGAUGUCGAGUGUGAUCAGGAAGGAUGAAGUGAGGGAGGAACUGGAACAAUUUGAGUAAGAAGUGAAGUCCUCCUGAAAUUUGGAGCAAGAGAUUUUGAUUCCAGUCGAAGCCAACCGGGAAGGAAGAAGUGAGGAGUGUGAUCCCAUGUGUCAAAGGAAGGCGGCAGAAUUGUAAUAAUACAGAUUUGGCAGUGUCAAAAACGGAAGAACAUUGUUCAAACAGUGUUUUAGGCUAUUUUGAGCUUUAGUUAUAUAUAACAAGCAACUUAGCCCAUGCAAUGCUGCAGGUUUAAAAUCUGUGUUAAAUGUAUGAAAUAUAAUCAAGUAUAUUUACAUCUAUAUCAAAAUCUAUUUACAUCUUUAUGAUCAAUAAGAAACAAGGAUUUGUGUUUGUACAACAUAUUACAAUACUCUAAGGCUCAUGCCUUUAGUUCUCGUGCAUUCAUAGAUUCUCAGCAUAUCAACCAUUUGUUCUUUAUCAAUGUUCAAGGCAUGUUAUGGAGAAGGAAAAUAGAGGAUAAAAAUUAACUGGGUCAGCAACAUGUAACUUAAAUGUAGUUAAGUAUAUUUAAUUUAAAACAAAGAAAUUAGAAGAUAUCUAAAUGAUGUUGAAAGUAAAAAUAAUAAUAAUACAUUAAACGAACCACAUGAACUGAACUGGAAAACUUAAGUUUACAGAAAAUUUCAACUCAAUGGUUUUAACAUAAUAAACCGGCCUACAGAACAUCAGCUUUUGUAUUUCUGUGGACUUAUAUGAAGAAGAACCAACAUAUGCCAUUGCUAUAUGCUUAUUUGAAAGAUGAAAUUGAAACAUUCGAGCUCACUAACUCUACUUAGUCUCAUGAUGCAAUUGCUAUAUACUUACAUGAAGAAGAACCAAAGUGAGUAAAAACAAAUUUUUAGUUGUUGGAGGUUUGAAAUGAUUUGUUAACACUAUUUAUUGAACUAUCUACCAAGUUAAGCAAAACCCUUUUUGGGUGCAUCAUAUAAUGCUUCUUCUGGGAACCACACAAACCAAACAACACAUACUAUCCUAGCUCUCUCAAACAAUAGAUCAGCUUCAGUUUGAAUGAACAAAGAAAGUUACGCACAUUCAAUUGGGACUCGCCCAAUUGAAUAACAAUAUUGCUAGUAGUCUACAUUAACCUCGCAACUAAACUUACUUCGAUAUUCCUGACAGUGAAUUUCCACUUCCUGAGUAAUUAAAGAUUACACUUAAUCAAAAGUAGUUCAAUGUCAUAUUUAACUAAGCCUUGCAAUUCUUGUGAUCUCAUUUAAAUUCGUGUAUUGUUUACAUCUGAAGACCAAUCUGUCAGGUUGAAUGAGAAUCCACAUAAUUUCAUUAGUUUACACUUUCUGAUGUCAUUUAUCAAAUCACUUCCUAGGCUACACGUCAAAGUUGUCAAGCACAUGACUUUGUACAUGUAUGGUCUUUCCCCUAUAACUGCAACAACCUACUGAUUCACUGGUUAUUGAUAAAUGUACUUCAUCCAUUCCAAACUGGGGUUGUCAAUAUUAACAGACAUUGUUCCACGAAAAAAUGUAUGCUGAACAUACCACUUCAAGUAUAAAUGACACUUAAUGACUCACCAAAUAUGAACCAUAAGAUUCAGAGACUACUUACUACUUCAAGUAUAGUUAGCAUGCAAUGUGAUCAAACCACAUAUAAAACCAAUUUCAACUCCCCAUCUUGUCUCAGACCUAAGACUCCAAGUUUAACCAAGCACCAUCCUGUCUCAAAUAUUUCAAACUCUGAUGGGCAGUGUUAUACUAAAAAGCACGGGCGCACCCCAAAAUUGCAAUUACAUUCGAUUCUUUUUACAAAAUUCCUACAUGCAGAGCUUUCCACACCAUCAAAUGACCAAACGCAUCAUUUUUAACACAAUUCUGGCAUAAUGUCAUAUGAAAUAAACCCAACUGGAAUGCAGAAAUGACCACAACUACGCAGAUAGCCAAAUAUCGCCUAAAAUGUAAUCAUUUCAAUUCCACAUUCUAAACAAAACCCUUAAAAUGCAUUAUUUUCCACACCACCAAAAGAUCAAGCACAAAAACUAUGCACACGAAUCCUUUUGAGCAGUUAUGUAGUAAACAUUAUGAGAAAACUGCAACUUUUCACUUUCAACAACUUUUCACUUUUCCCAGGAUUUCAGUAGAGAGGUUGAUGGAAAACAACUGAUAAAAUCAAAACCAAUUACCAAAUUCAAUCAACUGCACACAAAAUAAAAACAAAAACCCACUACCAAAUUCAGAAAUUUAAUCGACAAACUGUACAAAGCCUACAAAAGUUACUAAAUUCCAGAGAAAAUCACACAAAAAAAACCCAGAAUUUUAACGAAUAAUUCUCCGAAACCUAGAAACUCAAACAAAAAAAUCUACAAAAUGAUGAAAAAUUUACUAAAACCCAAUUAUAUUUAAUCACAAAUUUGAAUCAGAUAUUUAUACGCAAUAGGUCAAGAAGGUACCUGAGGUUCUGAGCAAUCAUUUGAGACCAACCUCGACGCCGGCCUUCUCUAGAAUCCAAGCAAAAACGUCGGAAAAAUUUAAGUAGUUAUAGAGAUACAACAAAUCAAAUGGUACAUGCAAGGCAUAAAUCUUGACCUAGAGAGUGAGACUGAGCUUGGACUUCAGUUUGUGAGGUCGAAAGGAUGAGAUGGUGGGGGCUUUGGGUGUUUCCGGGUUCUUGGGUGUGUGGGGCGUCUGAAUCGUGAUGUCGAGAGAAAGAGAGGAAGAACGACGCUAAGCAACGAGAGUAGAGAAGAAGAUAAAAAUGGAAGAGAGCGUUUUCAGGUUUUAGAGAGAGCGGCGGCAGGAGGAGAACCGAAGAGGCAAUGCAUAGGCGUAAUAACAUAAUCUAAGAACGUACAAAUUAGGAUGACAUCUUGAUAAAAAAUUUGAUGGGGAUUUUAACUCGGUCGAAGGGAAAAAGAGUGUCCCGCUCAAGCAAGAAAACUAUCAUCCAAAAAUACAAUUACAAGUUUGACAAAAAAAAUACAUUUACAAGAACACCAGGCCUCGAUAAAAACCUUAUCAGACAUUUCACAUGAACUUGUCUCUGAAUUUAAAUACGUUAUGGUAAUCCAAAACUAAAAAUAAAACUUUGUGACCAGUUGUCAGCUAAAAACAUUAAGAAAUGUCAUUGGUUUUGAAAAAGGAAAUAAUACUUAUACACCCAUGUUUAAUCAUGUCGAUUUUUUUUUUUUAAUGUAUUCAUCUAAUGUUUACGAAUAAAAAGGAAUGCAUGUGAGGUUAAAAAUAGUUUGAAAAUCAACUCUUUUUUAUAAUAUCAAAAUAGUGAUUUUGUGCUAAUUUAUUCUGCUAACCUAGAUGAUAGAACCCAAGGAUGAAACAGUAAUAAACUAAGACAUUUGAUUUUCAUUCAUACCUUUCCCAAAUGGUGAAAGGAAGCUUAUAUACAACCCUAGAGGGGGAAAUGUUCACGAUUGGAACACAUCUCUACUUACCCAACCGUUGGAUGAAACCAACUCUACAAGGAAAAGACAAAAUACCAUAAAGGAGGGACCACCAGCUGUCCAAUAUUCUAAUAUCCUAACACUAUUGCCCCCUAAGAAAAAGCUUGUCCUCAAGCGUUGAAGUCAAGAAAUCAUUCGAGAAUGGUGUCGACAUCCUCCCAAGUGGCAUCAUGUUUCGGUAAGGCCAUCCAUUUGAUCAGCCACCGCAUGACAGCAUGGUUCCCCCGCUUGAAUAUGCCUCGUUGCAAUAUUGUUUCCAGGAUCCGGGUCACAAGUCCCUUAUCAGACAUAGGUGGAAGCGUAAAGGAAGCAACCACAUUAGAGUCAAGCUUUGGCUUGAGGAGUGAAACAUGGAAGGUGGGGUGAAGAGAAAGUCGGAAGGCAAGUCCAAGGUGUAGCCAGCCUUCCCAACACGAGCAAGAAUCUUGUAAGGACCGUAGAACCAGGGUGCCAAUUUGGGGCAGUUAUUAUGAUUGACUGAAGGUUGGUGAUAAGGUUUUAGGCGGUAGAAGAUCUAAUCUCCCACUGUGAACUUGCGCUCUGAGCGAUUUUUGUUAGCAUAGUGGCGCAUUCCAUCUUGAGCAAGCUACAGAUUUUUCAGAAUGAGGCGAAGUAAGGCAUCUCGGUCACAAAGGGUUGUAUCCACUAGAUGGACUGGUGAAGAACCUAACAAGUAUGAGGAAACUCGCAGAGGGGGAUAACCAUAGACGGUUUUAAAGGGGACCAUUUUAGUGGCCGAAUGAAAGGUGGUAUUAUACCACUAUUCUGCCCAUGGUAGCCAAUCAACCCAAGAACUCGGUUUGUCACCCACGAAGCUACGCAAGUAGUGUUCAAAACCUCUAUUUAGUGAUCCGACUAGGGGUGGUAAGCUGAGCUACAGCAAAACUGAGAGCCGUGGAGUUUGAAGAAUGAUUCCCAGAAGUGGCUGAUGAAAAUAGGGUCUCAAUCACUGACGAUUGUUGCGAGCAUGCCAUGAAGGCGGAACACCUCACGAAGGAAAAUAUCAACCACUUUAGCUAUCAAAUAUGGGUGUUUGAUGGUGAGAAGGUGUGCAUACUUGGAGAGGCGAUCAAUGACCACCAAGAUGGCAUUGUGGAUGGCAGAAGCCUCCGAAUCAUGGGUGUAUUCAGCUUAGAUCUUUGAGAUGCUAUCGAAGAUAGGUUGGGAAAGACCUAUAAGGGCCAAGCAUUCAUGUUGCUGAGACAAGGCAUCAACAGCUGUGUACGUGGAACCUGAGCGAUAUUCAAGUGUAUAUUUAUAGCCAACAAGUUAAGGAGCCAUUUCUAUUGAAAGGGUGUGGUGAUCCGCUGGUUGAGAAAGUAUUUCAAGGUUUGGUGGUCUGUCAUAAUUUUGAAUGGAUGCCCAAGCAAAUAAGAGCGCCACUUUGUACUGCGAACACAAUGGCCAUCAUCUCCUUAUCAUAGACAAACAAGGCUUUGUUUCUCCAUCAUAGACUUACUAAGAAAAGUAAUGAGGUGUUGGUUUUUUAAGAAGACAGCCCAAAUGCCGGCGUCGAACGCGUCACAUUUGAUUGUGAAGGGCUUGGUGAAGUCAGGGAGAGCCAACACAGGGAUGGAGAACAAGGCACGCUUAAGAGUGGAAAAAGCAUCAGUUGCUGUGGAGGACCACUUAAAAUUAUCUUUCUUCAAUAGCUUUGUAAGUGGGUGGGCGAGUAAACCGAAGUGACGUACACAUUUGCGGUAGUAGCUCGCAAGGCCUAAAAAUCCCCUUAAUCCUUUGAGGUUGCGAGGUUGAGGCUAAUCUACAAUACACUACACCUUUUAAGAAUCGACCGCUACUCAUUCGGCCAAGAUGAUGUGUCCCAUAUAGGCUACUGUGGUUUGACCAAAAUAGCAUUUCGAAGCCUUGAGUUUCAAGCUGUGAACAUGCAUGACCUCAAACACCGAAACCAAAUGUGUGAGGUGGGUCUACAAGGUCAAACUGAAGACGAGAAUAUCAUCGAAGAAAAUCAGGACAAACUUCCGGAGAAAAGGCUUAAAGAUAGAGUUCAUUAAGGCCUAAAAAGUGAAAAGUGCGUUGCAAAGCCCAAAUGGCAUCACCAAAAAUUCGAAGUGUCCAUCGUGUGUUCGAAACACUAUUUUGAGAAAGUCGGGCUCAUACAUUUAGAUUUGGUGAAAACUCAAGUAGGGUUCCAAGUUGGGUUGGAGAAUACUAUAAUGCCCUGGAGUUCAUAUAACAGUUUGUCAAUUAUUAGGACGGGAAUAGGAACUUGACAAUAACCUAAUUGAGUCUGCAGUAGUCCACAUAAAAUUGCCAAGAUCCAUCAGCCUUGUGGACCAAAAAAGCAAGUGAAGAAAAGGGACUCGAGCUGUGGCGAAUGACGCCUACAGCCUGCUUGUCUUCGAUCUGAUGUUCAAUCUCCAUUUUUUCUAAGCAUAAGCAUAGCGAUACAGACGAAUAUUCACUGGAUGGGUGUCAGGCAAUAAGGUGAUGCGAUGGUCAAUUGUCUGUGUGGGAGGGAGACUCGUAAGAGGGUCGAAAAGGUCCAAAUAAGUACGUAUAAUCGACUUGAUAGGUAGUGGGGUAGUAGGGGUGCCUUCAAGAGGGGAAAAGUGUGCAUCAGGGAGGCUACCAAGGGACUCAAGUCCACCCGUGAAGAUAUUGAGGGGGGCGAGGUAUCUGUGGUACGCAGGCCCACCAGUCGAAAGUUUGUGCCAUUGAUUUGGACUUCCAUGAUCUUGUUCUUGAAGUACCAGCCAAUAUACCUUAAAGUUUCCAACCAUUCAGCCCCCAGAACCAAGCCGCACCCCACAACGGACAAUAGUCGUAUAUCCGAAGAAAAAACAUAGUUCUGCAACAGGACCGAGACAUUGUGAGAGGUGUCGAUGUGAAGGCCAAGGUGAAGCCUUACGAAGGGGUUGAGAAAGUUGAGAUCAACCCCGGAGUUCACAAAAACCCGAACAGUCAAAGUCCCAAUGUGACCCACUAGGCGUAGCCCGACCACAAGUGCGUUUAGGAGAAGCCAACGCGUUAAGGGUGAUGUGGAUGGGGUCCUCCGUCAGAACUUCAUCAAGCAUCGAUAAAAGUUCUUCAGGAGGUGACUCGGCAGCGACCUCGGAGACUGUGGCAGUGUCUAUAAGUAGCAGGUAGGGAGUGGCCUGGGUAAUAUUUAUCUAGAUAAUAAAGGCAUUGGCCGUAGGCACGGUGUUCACGAACUUCCACAGAGGAGAUGCGUAGUGGUGACCGGCCGUAGAGGGCGGAGCUGGUUUGGGAGAUGGGGUAGAUGAGAUGACGAUGAAGCAUGUGUGGUAAAGGAUGACCUGGUGAGGAAUGGGCAGAAAUGACCCCUACGACGUUGUUGUUUGUUGUCGUAAAUACGGGCCAGGUCAAUGGCACAUGCUAAAGAGGAAAGAGCCUGGGCUAAGAUAUCAUCCUGAAGUUCAAAUUUCAGCCAACUAAGAAAAACCCCUAGUAGUUGGGAAUCGGACCAACCUUGGGCCUUACACAACAAACAGAUGAAAUCAUUUAUGUAGGCCUCUAGUGAGCAUUUAUAAGAUACAUGGGAAAAUGACAUGUUGAAGUCAAGAUGGUCGCCAGGCCCAAAUCGUUGGAGAAAUGAUUCGAAAAAUGUGGCCCAAAGCCUAGACCCAAUAUGUAACUUGUACCAUUUGAACCAAACGGCAGCAUCACUAAUGAAAUGGAGGCUCGUGAUUAUGACUCAAUUGGCGGCGUCAACCCCGUGGUAAUCCAUAUACUCCUCUGUUAAGGCUAACCAAUUCUACAGGUCAUCAUCGGAGAAUCGAGAAAGCUCAAUCUUCAUGUGUUUCGGGCCGUUGAAGGUAAGUGGUGGCCCUUGAUAGAAGGGCAACUGUUGGGGAAGGUGAAACGAAGAGGAUGGAAGGUGGGGAUGGAGGGUAGUGGUAGAGGUUGAAUGGAUAGGGGACGAUUGUGGGUAACCGGUGCCCGGGGUAUGAGAGAGAGAGGGGAAGCGGGAGUAAUAUGUGCCCUAUGUUGGAGGAGAAGCAGUGAAAGUGGGUUGGGAUGGUGGGGGCAUCAGAGUGGAUGUCGAACCCAGAGGAAUGUGAAGGGAACCGAUCGAGAUCUAGGAAAGAGUGGUGGAUGGGGGCGGUUGUUGCUUGGAGGCACGGAUCUCCUCCAUUAAGUGGUUCUGGACUAGGCUAAUGUUAGCCAAUAAAGCCUGAAUGUCCGUCAGAUUUGACUGGAAUGAUUCUUGGCGAGUGGCUAACAAGGACACCUAGUCGUGAAACCUUUUAAGCUACUCCAAGAUUUGGUGUUGUUGGUACUUCAGUUCGAGGUCGGCCUUCAUGCCAUCGGCCACCACCAGGAGGCUUUGCUUUUACUCAUGGAUGGUAGCAACUUAUCGCUGAUACCAAAUGAUAAAACCCAGGGAUGAAACAAUGCAGAGAGUAUGAAGAAAAAAGGAAAAUGAAUAAACUAAGACAUUUGAUUUUCAUUCAUACAUUUCCCAAAUGGUGAAAGAAAGCUUAUAUACAACCCUAGAUGGGGAAAUGCUCAUGAUUGGAACACAUCUCCAUUUACCCUACCGUUAGAUGAAACCAACUCCUACAAGGAAAAGACAAAAUACCAUAAAGGAGGGACCAACAGCUGUCCAAUAUUCCAAUAUCCUAACACUAAGCUUAAAAAUGGGUUCGGUUUUUGACGAAUUGAGUUCCCUUGUGCUGGACUCUUUUCUCCCUAAAAAAAAUGAAAUUGUGGGUUGUUUGAUCAUGACGAAAUUCUAUUGCAGGAUAGAGCAUCACUAGUCCAAGCAAUGGUAUCCAAUGAGGCAAAGGUCUUCCGCCAACAGUUUGGAAAUUGCAUAUUAAGGUCUGGUUCCAGAAUAGAAGCUAAACCAAAGUUGGAUCUUGAAAUGCAAGUUCAUGGUUUUGAUUUUUAACAUUUUGGGUAAUGGUAGGGAGAUCAAACUCUUAAAUCAAAUGGAGUGGAUGUUAAUGAAUGGAUUAUUACUUAAGUAUUGAUUACCAUGCGUAUUUUCCAUUGGAUGGUGACACAUCAUUUGGUUUGCAAAUUUGGUUUCCUUAACAUUAUCCGUAGGUUCUUAAUCAGUUGGAAAUACAUAUUAUAAUGUUCUAGAUUUUGAUUGCAUGGGGUUCGGUUUCCGUAUUUGCGCUAAGUUAGUUGUUCAAAAAUCUUAAUGACAUUGCAUUUAAUUUGUUUCUUGAGAAAGGAAAUUAAUGUUUGUGGCUUGGUUUUUACAUGAGGUAUGAUAUCCACACUAUUUUUUACUUCUCACAUAUUUUCUAAUUUUUGGUUAUCGGAUUGGAUGAAUUAAAGAAGAUCAAAUAACAGAAAUUAACAAGGGAUGUGUGAGACCCUUUUUACAUAUGUAUAGACAACUAGAGGGAAAAGGGUUAGGGAGAAAUGCCUAAAAUUGUUAAUGGUUUAUUUGAAGUUGAGUUUGAAAAAUAAAAUAUCUAACAUAAAUAAAUAAAUAAUAUAUAUAUAUAUAUAUAUUUAAUUAAUUUGAUUCUAUAUAGUUUUCUAACCACUGAAACUGAACCAAAAGAUUUCGGUUUUGUUUGAUUUUUUUUUUAAUUCAGUUUGAUUUUUUUUUUUUGGUUCGAUUUUUUCAUCUUCGGCUCAGUUUUCGAUUUUCGGUUUUCAAACCCACUCCUACCUAGGCUUGGCCAAAUUGGUUAAAGUAGUGUGCUCUCUUUUAGUAUAAAAAUGUAUCAAAGGGAGAAUAUGAAGAGAAUCCUUAGGGAAAGCAUUUUGUUUCCACCUAGCAAAAACAGUGUCUAUAAGGAGGCUCGCACUACGGACUAUUACAUCAGUAUCAUCUAUAAAGAAUAAUACUCUCAUCCCUCUCUAUGGGGGAAUAAACAUAUCUCAACUUCUGACGAAUAAUGUAUAUUCAACAUAUAAAUAUCAUAUCGGAACAAUGAAUAUGCCCGCACGAAGCUCCUUGUAUAACCCAAACUCUCUUUACUUUUCAAACUCAAUAGUAUAAAUAUACAAACAAUGAAUACGCUUUCCAAUCAAAUUGGUGGUGAUAAAACCAGAAACACAAACACAUAUGGAUCAAAGAAAUCAAAAUUUGAUCACAUCAGUCUCUACUUUCCUUAUCGUUCUUCUUCUCUGUGUAGCAAAUGAAAUCGAGUCUGCCUACCAACCUUAGCAAGAAGCACUUUAUGUUGGUUCAUGGCUCAUGCUUUGGUGCUUGGUCUUGGUACAAGAUUGUAACCCUAAUUAGGUGAUCUGGUCACAAUGUCACUAUUCUAGACCCAACAGCUACUAAGGUCGAUCCCCAACAGCUACUGGGAUCUGCGAUCAAUUUCUAACUACUUUAAGCUCGUGAGGGAUUUCAUAGAAGCUAUUGAUGGAAAGGUGAUCCUUGUUAGUCAUAGUCUUGGUGAGUUGGCCAUUCUUAAGCCAUGAAAGAUUUCUGAAGGCCUCGUUUGGUUUGUUAGGCUGUACUGACUAUUUCAAUCGUAUACAUUAAUCUGUACCUCAGAUAUCAUAUAGUACUGUUUUUUGUCCAAAAAUAAAUAAAAGAUAUCAGCAGGGCCAUGCUUGAGUAUUUAGGUGCCCUGUGUAAAACUUAGAUGGCGGCCCUUCAUUUUUUUAUUGUUAUAUUUCUUUAUUAUUUUUUGUUCUUCAAUUUUAUUAUAUAUGACAUUAAAAUAUUACAAGUUACGGCAACAAAAAUAAGUUGUUUGAUUGCCUAGGUUUUUUUCCUUACCUUCAAAGGUCUUGAGUUCGAUACAUGUUGGUUGUGUUUUUUGUUAUCUCCUUUUUAAGUUUAUAAAUAGCAAAGCAAUAUCAUAGAGAUUCGAACCCAGCCCAGGGGCUGUACGGUAGAAGAGCUAAACCUCUAACACUAGAACCACAAAUAAUAUUGUCUUUCGCAUCUGACCUAUUUUAUAUGCAUGUAAUGAAAAUUUGGGGCCCCUUCCGAAUUCCAGCAUCAAAUCCCAACCUCCCAUACGAAUCCGCAUCGAUUCACCAACCAAAACAAUACUACUAAUUAAAUUGAAGAUACAAAUUGAAGAAAAGAAGACACGACUGGGAGAGAAACAUAAGUUUGGGGUUUAGUGAUAGUCUUAUCUACUUAUAAGUAUGAGAUCUUUUAAUCAAAUUCCAUAAAUGGUGACUUCAAACUAAAUUCUUAAUGCAGAAUCAUUGUGUGACUAAACCCAAAUCUCUAACCCGUUAUUAUAGGUAGGCCUUUUUUUAUUAGCAUCCCAGAUAAUGUUGAAUACACCCCACAUUAAAAUUUAAUAUUAAAUGACUUAUAUACUCUAAUUAAUACAUAAUGACAUUUUUGACCUUAUAAAGUUUUAAAAUAAAAUUCUCAAAUACGCCCCAAAUCACUCACCCUUCAACUCUCAAAAUCACUCACCCUUCAACUCUCAAAAUCACUCACCCUUCAUUGUAGACAAAACCCUAACCAAUAAAACUAUAAGCACGUAGAUUGAUAAAAAUUAUUUUUAACACAUAAAACAUAAAAUCAACGUUUCGGAAGAUUCACAUAAAGUAAGACUUCAUAUUUUUCGUUCUUUUAAUUAUUUCAACGACAUCAACAUCAGCAGUUCCUUUCAAUUAUUGGUUUUAUUAUACUCAAUUAUUUAAUUGUAGUUCCUUUCAGUUGAUCUAAUUAUUCAAAACCCAGCACCAUCCUCUUUUGAGUAAAAAUCAUAUUCCUCAUCUACUAACGUCGAACACCCGUAGCACUCCACCUCUUUCCAUGGAGCAAAUAGGAUCAAACAAUUGAAUGGAUAGAGAAAUAUGAAGGGAUAAACACAUGCAAAUAGGAUCAAACAAUUGCUGGCAUCACAUUGUUAAUGUAGGAUGAUAGUAUUUAGGACAAUAUGAAAGGAUAGAGAAAUGGAAGAGAUCCGGACUCACUCCGGUCUUGGCAUCCAUCAGACCAAAGGUGUAUUGGAAUAUCACCAAUAGAGAAAUUAGAAAAAUUUUGAAAAUACACCGGCUUCAGCUGCACAUCGGAAGUACCUAGAAUGACAUUAUGUAUUUGCACAUAAGAUGUGAAAAGCGUGGGUGUAGGUAGAAAAUGUAAAGUGUAUGGUGAGAGUUGAGGUGUGGUAUUAUGAGAAAGUAUAUGGGAUAUAUUAAAAUAUUUUUUUAUUAAAAAAUCAAAUGUAAGGUAUAUUUAAUAAUAUUUGAGAUUUAAUAUAACAAGCCUUAUACAUCUAUCGUUAUAUUUAAUAAAUAAAAAAUGGAUUGCCAACAAAUGUUUACUUAGUUGGAGUUGGAGAAACAACGAAUGGUUAUUGACACACCCCGACCGAGAUUGAAGCAUGUUGGCCGUCACAUGAGGGUGACGUAGCCAUGUGCACAGUGCAGAAGCAAUAAAGAUAAGAAAUAUACGAAUAAAUAAAAACUGAAAGCUACUAAGGUGCACUAAUAAACAGGAAGUGCUAGGAGUGAGAUACAAGUGUAAUUACUCCUAAUCAGAGCAUAGAAAGUCUAGGUGCAGUCCAAUAGGACAAGUACUAAUUACACAGUACCAAAAGACGUCCUACAAUUAUUUUAUUCUGUCAGAACCGCCGAGAUCCUCAAAGCCACCAACAGCAAGUCUACCUAAAACCUGGAGGAGCGCAAAAAUAAAAUGUGAGUGGGUAAAAACAAAUGUUUUUCAGAACCAUUUCAUCAUUAAAAUGGUCUAACCGCCUGUAAAACAUGAUUUUCCCAGAAUAGAAUAUAAACAUAUAUAUAUAUAUAUAUAUAUAUAUAUUUCAUUCAAAUCAUAUUCACAUAAUCAUAUUCAUAAGUAUGCCAUAAUGCCAAAACAUAAUUCGAAUUUCAUAGAAUAAAUUCAUAAGUUAAUCAUAUGCCAUACAUAAAAUUCAUAAGUCAACAAUUAUCGGCAUCAAAAUAACAUAUUUAGAUACAUAUAUUACACCUAGUCUUGUCGUACAAACCCUUUUAGUGGUUCGACUUAUUGCUCAUGUAUUCAUUUUGCUAGUCACCUACGAGUCGGAACCCAUAUGAUGGUCUGUACACCUUUAGUGGUUCCACUUAAAUUGGAUCUUAUGUUGUGAGCAUAUGGUGCGGGAGGUGACAUUGUAAUACAGGCAUGUGUCAUCUCCGGCUAAAUCACAAUCACCUUAGGUGCAGGUUUAUGGAGCUCAAUAACAUUCUCAAUCUCACAACUUAAUCACAUAUCACAAUUCAUUUAACUCACCUGGGCUUACCUGAGCGUCACAAUCACGCACGCAAAUUAAAUUAUAAUAUGCAUCAUAUACCAGUUUUCAUAUAAUAUAUAUAUUCAUGGCAUUUCAAGGCAUACUUUCAUUUAAACGUAUUUUCUGGGAAAAUAUGAAGUAUAUAAAUAUAUAUUGAAAACCAAAAGCCCACUCACUGGUAUGUUGAAGGGUCGUAGCCUUCGAGUCAUCCUUGACUGUGCUCGUCCUUGGGAUAAGUCUCCCCUAUAUGCGAAACAACUAUAAAAAGGUUAAUUUAAAACAGCUAACCAAUACUAGCUAAUAACUUCUCAUACAAUGCUCAAAUGGGGCGUUUGAAUAUACCAACAUGAUCUAUACAACCUCAUGAACAUCCCUAUAUUUUUAGAAUAAUUUUUGGACGUCCCACGCACCGUCACAUGCUUACAAAGGCACGGCAACACGCGCGGCCACGCACAAGGACCCUAACGGAAUCUCCUAACCCCAUUAGGAAUAUUCCAUUAAAUAGUAACAGAAUCUGUUAAACUAACCAAUGCCGUUAGGAAUAUUCCGUCAUCCCCCAGAACUCCGGCGACCGUCGCCGUUGCCAGAAAACUGAGAAUUUUUCAAACCUUCAUUUCUCGUCCAUUUCUCAAUCAAAUUUCAUGAAACUUAAACCAAUUUGAAGCUUGACAUGAAUAUAAUACAACUAUACCUUUCAAGAGCCCUAAAAUCCACAGAACUCGACGGAAAAUCCCUCGAUAAUCCGGCUAAACCUGCAACUCGUCAAAACUCAACUUUCUGACGUCCAAAUCACUUUGUUUUUCUUCUCCGAGCUUCGUGAGGAUGAUUCAAAGCUUCCUAUGCCCUUAAAAACUCCUAAAAACCUCAUAAUAAUUAGUGCAUGAACAGUACCUAAAACUGGGAUUUCGGUUUCUCGGGUUUUCGAAUGUUUUAAGUCCAAAUAAAGGUAUAAAUCAACUCCUAAACAUACAAAGAGUUUGAAUGUUACCGUUAAAACCUCGAUCCAUGCCUGAAAUGGAAUGCUUGGAGUUCAUUCAUACAAAGUUGAUGGAAACAGGAGAAAAUCGAGAGGGAUGAGAGAGAGAGUGCACGGGAAGGAGAGAGAGAGAGUUGGGGGGUAUGUGUGUAUGGUCCAAAGUUUUUUACUUCUAACAACCACAAAAACAUAACAACUUUUAGUCUUAAUUAGUUCCAAAUAAUAGGGACUUAAGGAAUUAGUUCACUCCCAACUUAAACCACACAAACACACAAAACAUCCAAAGGCAAAAUAGUCAGUUCACACCGUCGAUACUAAAUAUUUCGGGACAGGCUGUGACAGUUAUGAGAAGUGUACGUAAUGGGUACGGGAUAAACAUGGUCAUCCCAUUUUUCUAAGUAUCCCCUAUUAAAACUGAUGGUAACCAAAGCCGGCCCUGAGGGUGUGCAAAAGGUAUCACCGCACAGGGCCCUCGAUUCGGAAGGGCCCCCAAAUUUUCUUUACAUGUAAACAGAUAUAUAUUAUAUAUUAAAAUGUGCAAAAUAAUGAUAUUUAUUGUACCUGGUGGUGUAGGCCUUUAAUCUUCUUGUACAUGGAUUGGGUUUGAGUCCUUGUAGAACUAUUUUGCAAUUUUUAAGUUUUGCAAAUUUAUUAAUUUAAAAAGUUGAUAAGUUUUACACAAAAAACCAUGCAACAUAUUUCGAACUAGACCUUUCAAGAUAGGAAACACUCUUGUCCACUCAAAUAAUACGUUAUAUGUUACAACCUAUCCUAAAUCAAGAUAUAUAUUUUAUCACCAAGCAUGUAAAAUGACAAUAAUGCCCUCGUGAUUUAGUGACGUGGAUGUCCAAUAUAGUUUUAAAUUAUUCCCUCGCUCACGAAAUUAAGUGGUGCUCGACGUCACAAACAUGUCGACAUGAAUUAAUAACGAGUAUGGGUGUAAUUCUAUUUUUCAGGUUGGUUAUUUCUUCUUUGGACCCAUUUUUAGGGCCUUAACUCAAUGGCCCAAUUAAGGGGCCUUAUUACUCCCUUAACCCGUGCUUUUUCCCCCCACAUUCCAAAAAAUUCCUUUUCUCCCUCACACUCUUCCGCACCUCUCCUCCUCUCGGUGAUCUCGUCCCCGGCAUCACACACAUGCAUAUACAUAUUUGCACCUACUGCAACUAUCAAAAUUUCUCCCUUUCUUCCUCACACCCCAUACUCACCCUUUCUCACCCUUUGGAAUUGUGUAGUUUUCGUACGGUAACUUCGUCGGAAUCUUGAACCUUUUGACCAAGGUAAGUUUGGAAUUUCCAACCUCAAAUCCUUCUCACGUUGAACUCCUAGUGAUGUUUAAUAUUAAAUAGAAGGUUUGUGGGUGAUUUAAUACAGAUUUCAUCUCGGGGAAGAAUUUUCCCAGAUUUGUGGAAAGUGAACAGUGGUCAUUUGACCAUUUUCAGACCAGAUUUCCAACCAACUCCGGUUCUCCGUUGGGUUUCUUAAGGGUAUGAUUCUCUUCUCUACAUUUCUAACUUCAAAAUGGCUUUUGAAUCAUCAAGUUUGGUUUAGUAUGGAACUAGAAACUAGUAGGAAAGUUAGGAAAAAAAUUCCAGUUUUCUGGAAUUCUUGGACCCGUGACCAUUUGGCCACUUUUACACCACUUUUCCGGCGAACCCUGUCUAUGUCAAGACCCCAAAUGGGUAUAUAUCUAUUCCCUGAAUUCCUAACUUUACUUAGGCUUUUGAAUCAUGGAUUUUGGUUGAGAAUCGAGCUCAAAAUGAACUCUAGAAGUCUUGCGUUCCAAACUGCAAAAGUGCAGAUUUUUGCAAGGAGGAAGAAGGAAAAAAAAAAAACCUUUAAACCAUUUCAAAUUGGACCUAAGCCAUUUAAUUGGUUUAGGCCUUAUGUUCAAAAUGGAUUAAGUCCAUUUAGUUUUAAGUUGGGUUUUACACUUAAACUAGAUUAAGUCCAAAAACUAUUCUAAAAUAUGAGGAUGUUCGUGGGGUUGAGUAAACCACAAUGGUAUAUUCAAACACCCUAAUUGAGUGACGUAUGAGAAAUUGAUCAUAGGUUUUGUAUAUGUGCUAUCGAAUUAACGUUAAAUUAGUUGUUUCACAUAUAGGUGAGACGUUUCCAGAGGACGAGCAUAGCCAGGCAAGACUUGGGGACUACGACCUAGCUAUAUACUAGUGAAUGGGCUUUUGGUUUUCAGUAUAUAUGCAUACAUAUAUAUACUUGGUAUUUUUCCCAGAAAACUUAAUUAAAUGGUUUUAUAUUUUGAAAUGCCAUGUCAAAUGCUCUCUAUGUUCGAUUAUGCAUUAGUAUGGUUAUAUAUAUUGUUGCUUGACGUUGUGGACGCUCAGGUAAGCUUCUGGUGAGUAUAUUGAUGGUAGUGAUGGUAGUGAGUAUAAUUGUGUUGAGAUGUAUUUAGAGUUUAUUAUCCUGCACCCCGGUGUUAGUGCUCUGCUCAAAGACAAGGCCUAGCCUUCACGUGAUCGUUCACCUCCCGCACCACACGUUCUCCUUGGAUCCAAGGUAGGUGCCAACCUGUCGUACAGACCACAUUAAGUGGUUCCGACUCGUAGGUGACUUGCGAUACUUCGCAUAGCCUUCACAUGAUCGUAGCACUUAAGCAUAUUUAUUUACACCUAAUCUGUUGUACAGACCACAUUAGGUGGUUCCAACUCGUGUGCAGGAUUUGAUUGAUGAGUUAUGGUCCCAGUCGUACAGGUCACUUUAGGUGACUCCGGCUGGCAUACUAUUUCAUAUUGGUUUAUUCUACCCGACUUACUUAUUUAGAUUUGACAUGGUAUAUUUGUGGAAUUGUUAUUUCGAAUAUGGUUUUGAGAUAUAAAUAUGCAUGUUGUUUUCUGGGAAGUAUAUAGGUUUUAUGGCGAGGGGUUAUUUUUUUUGAUAAUUGAAAUGGUUUUAGAAAACUUUGUCUUUGCCCACUCACACUUUCUGUUUUGCGCCCUCCAAGUUUUAAUUGCUAAAAGUUCGUAUCGACGAGGAUUCUUGGCAAAUCUCAUAAUAGGUGGCUACUUUUGAGGGUAUGAUCCUUAUUCACUCUACUGUACUUACUUAUGCUCUAAUGUCACAUGUGAAGUGGGUUCAUUCCUACUCACCAGCGCAUUCUGGUAUUUAGGCUCUCUUAGGUUUAAAUUUAUUCACAUUUUUCCACACCAUCACACUUUAUGGCUUCGUCAUCUUCCAAGUGUCGACUAGCACAACUCGAUUUGGAGUCCUAGUGGACGUUCCGGGUUGGGGUGUCAUCAUAAUUUGGUGCUCUAAUUUGUAGUAUUUAAAUUUUAUAGAUACAGAUUGAAAAAAAAAUAACAAAGAAAAUACAAUAUUAAAAAAGAUGAAAGGCCUCUAUCUAAAUCUUGCACAUGAUCCCUAAAUUCUCAGGGCCGGACCUGAUGGUAACAUCCGCUUAUUUAUUUAUUCCAUGGUUUGUAGUAAACAUACAAUAUGACAUAAAUAAAAAUUAUACGCAUUUCUUUACAAAAUAUUUUUUUUUCUUCAAACAACGAAUUUUGUUAGGUGAGCCACCAACAGAAUUUGAACUCAUAUUAUCAUGUAAGAGCUCAACACCUUUUCAUUACUGUGGUAAAUGGUGACUUGCUACAAAAUAUAUUUCUUAAAUGCAUGAUAUGACAUGAUCCUUGCAAAUUUAUUCCUUUACACCUUCACUCAUGUGGAUGUGUAGAGAAUAAUGUACAUAUCACAAAAUAAAAAUAAAUAAAUAAAUAAAAAAUAAAAAAUAUAUAUAUAUCUCUACUAAUUAAUAAAACACUCAUUGUCAACCAAAAUCCUAUGAUAUUACCAGAUUAACCCUCUAAUUAAAACAUAACAUGAAUAAGAAAUAUGGAAUAGAAAUGUAAUUUUACACAACCAAAUUUUGCUGUUUUUUUUUUCAAAACCUUACCUACAUGUAAUCCUAACAUAUCUCUAAUUAAAAAAUAAAAAAAAUUUCGGCUAUCACAUUCUCUAUCACUCUCUUCCUCUCUCCUUCUACUUCAAAACCAAAAAUAAAAAUAAAAAUAAAAAUUCUCACACACUUUAUGUGUGCCCAUAUGCUAAUAUAUAUUUAUCAAUACUCAAAAUCUUCUCCAAUUGUUGACCAAACGAAAAUAUCUUCAGACUGAUUGAAAUAUUUAAACAAAGUGGUCAUUAAAUAUCUAGAAAAGUUCAUUCGCAUAUUAAUUUAAGAACAAUGAGAUAUUUUUGUAUUUUAAAACUAAAAGGGAGUUAAUUGUCCUUUUCUUUCCGAUUAUUUUUAUUUUUUGUCUAAUUUUCUUUGUUGUAUUCUAAUUGGAAUUGGAAUUAAAAAGUCGUUUGGAGAUAAGAUUCUUUAUUAGACAGCCGAUGCACAUACGACCAAGCCCCAAACCCCAAACCCCAAAGAACCCUCCAACCACUCUCAUAUUUGGCUGGUUGUACUUGGCAUCAAGAAUUUACCAACUUCGCCCGACUGACUAAGUGAAAUUUCAACCAUCCGAUCGCCACCAACCUACAAGAUCCGACAGUUUAUUCAUGUAAUGUACCAUAAUUUGCUGCAUGAUGUAACAUUAGGCAGAUGUUAAUGAGACCAUUACGUUCCUUCAGUGAAAAGGAUUUGUCCAAGGAACUCAAGCUAAGCAAUGAGAAAUACGUGGAUCAAUCAGGUUUACGUAAUGUCCCACGGAGAUUUGGUCAGAAAGGACUUUCAACACAGGCGGAGGCAAGUACAAGGUUCUAGUGGGCUAUAGCAUAGGGAGGGUUUCAAUUCUUUAAGCUUAAAAACACUAGUUAUUUGUGCUAUUUUAUGAUUUUUAAUUAUCGCCCUUGUAGCAAAUGAAAAGACCGAAUCUUAGGGAUGUUUUUAGGGACAAUAUGAGUUAAUAAAAUAUGCUCAUCAUUUUAACCAAUAUUACUAAACUAAAACUUUCAUACCACACAUAAUUCCUUUGAAAGUUUUGAAGGCUAAAAGCCGAUAAAAAUAGACUAUAUUUUUUUUCUUACUUCAAAUUAUUACUUUCAGAUUUACUACUAUAUAACUUUAUGCAAGUAACAAAAAAAUUGAGCAUCUGAUUUCGUAGUAAUAAUUUACACUAAUUUGGAUUAUAAUUGAUAAAACCAGAACCAGAAUCUUUGUGUGGGCUUUCUUUUCUUCAAAACACGUCUCGUAUUGUAACAGAAAACAUAACACGUUCAUUGUCUGCAAGAUAUCCAACCAGACGGUAAAGCAUUUGUCUUAAAUCAAUAAUUGAGAAGCAUCCAAUGUUAUUCAUUUCCACAAAUAAAGCCUUGGAGUUUAGUGGAUGUGUGACCUUUUAAAUUAUAUAACAUUUGUGACAAAUUGCACCAUUCUUAUAACACCAAGUUGUUGAUGCUUGUUAAAUUUAGUUGUGUUCAUUUCUUUUGUGUGUGUCAAAUCUGUUAUUUUAAUAGGUUCUAAACUUCAAACACAAAUUUGACCCGUUAAAAUUGACAAGUUACUCGACCCGCCCAUUUUACCCGUUGAGGACAAUAUUUACUUCAAUAAAUAAUCUAAUGAAAAAAAAACUGCAUACUAUAUUACUAAACAUUAACAUAUGAAUUCAUAAGUUCCCUUUGAUUCAGCAAUACAACUAUAAUCAUUUCAUUAAGCACUACAUCUACAUGCCACAUAAAUUGAGAAAGAAAUGAUAGAGAGUUAGGACUUUAGAUUAACGGGUUAAAAUAAAUUGAGAGAGAAACUGAUAGAGCUAGGACUUUAAUUUAACGGGUUAAAACGGGUUGAAAUGGGUUACUCGUGGGUAGACCUGAAGCAACUUGUUAUUUAACGAGUGCUUAACAGAUUGACACAAUAAAACACAUGAUCUGUUAAGUUACUCGACCCGCCCAUUUUACCCGUUGAGGACAAUAUUUACUUCAAUAAAUAAUCUAAUGAAAAAAAACUGCAUACUAUAUUACUAAACAUUAACAUAUGAAUUCAUAAGUUCCCUUUGAUUCAGCAAUACAACUAUAAUCAUUUCAUUAAGCACUACAUCUACAUGCCACAUAAAUUGAGAAAGAAAUGAUAGAGAGUUAGGACUUUAGAUUAACGGGUUAAAAUAAAUUGAGAGAGAAACUGAUAGAGCUAGGACUUUAAUUUAACGGGUUAAAACGGGUUGAAACGGGUUACUCGUGGGUAGACCUGAAGCAACUUGUUAUUUAACGAGUGCUUAACAGAUUGACACAAUAAAACACAUGAUCUGUUAAGUCUCAACUCGAAACUUUUUUUUUUUUCACGUCACUUCAUGACGAUUUAACGUGUUAUGCAUGAAAUUGCCAAGUCUGCUUAUAAUGAUUGACCAAUUUUUUAUUACUGUUAUAUUAUUUCAUAGUGUUACUAAUUCAUAUAUUACAAUAUCAGCGAACGCCAUAGUUAAAUUUCAUGGUUAAUGUUAACAUAGAUAAAUAAAUUGAUACCGCCAUAUUGUGAUGUCAACAUCAAUUAAAAAGGUUACUCAUUCUUGAUAACACCAAGUUGUGUAAUGGCACUUAACUUAGAAGUUAUUCAUUCUUUUCAACUUAUCCAUCUAUUCUCUUUACUACUAACUAUAAAGACCUUACAAUUAAAUUAUCCCCUUUUCUAUCAAUUGAAAAAAUAACAAAUUCCAACUUGGGAUACAAUUCAGAUGUGGGUUGAGUCAGUUGGUUAAAGUAACGUGCUUCUUCACACAAGUUUGAAUCCCUCGUGUCGAUGAAUUCAAUGUAAUUAUCUUAUUGUUUGUCCAAACAAAAACAAAAAAAUGAAGUGGACACAAAUUUUGAAUUAGAGUUGAGAGAAAAUAGAAUCACCUCUUGGGUAGAAUGAGUUAUGAACAACCAAAUUAACUAGGAAGACUAUAUGAACAUUGAAGCAAACAGUAUGAUCACGCUAAAGGUUCCCAGCAGGAGCUAGCUAGCAGCUGGGUUUAUAAAUCAUAUAACCAACAAAAUUCCUGAUUAAAUUCGCAUAUAUUGAUAUCUUGAAUAAAAAUCUUUAUCGUUCUGCCUUAAAAGAAAAAAGAAUCGCAAAUAUAUAAAUGGCCGGAUGGAUUACAUCUCUCACAACUUAAUUAGGCUAAUUAAUAACAAAGUGAGCCAAAAUCUUAAUAAUAUUACAAACCUCCACUGGAAAAAGGAAAUGGAGCAAUUAAAUGAACCAAAAGAACAAAUAUAUAUAUAUAUAUAUAUAUAUCGUGCCAACCUGAAUCUUUUUACAGAAAUAAGAGAUGAAAUCAAAUGGUGAAUAUAUUUAAGGAAGAAAACCAACGAAAUUAACUGGAGCUGUGGAAUAGUGAGAUGAAUAACUUGUUAGCUGUGGAGAGAAGUUGUGCUGAAGAGCUACCUCGACUGCCUGAGCGAUAACGAGGACGAGCUCGAACGCCAGUUUCAGUAGAUCCAUGCACAUUUCCAGUCUCUGAAUCACCAUUGCUAUGUUGCUGUAUUGCUAGGUAAAGACUUUCUCUUUCUUUAUCUUCUUUUUUGCUCUUUCUGUUCUCCCCUUAUAUCACUUUCCUAUCCAUAUUCUUGACAGACCUACUUGUAUUUAUAUCCUACAAAUAAAUUAAUUAAUUAGGAAGAAUAUAAAAAUACCAUUAAUAGAUAAACGUUCUAUGAUUAACUUUUUCUUUUCUUUUUGAUUAAUAUAUAGAAAAAUGGAGUUUUUGAAAAGACCCUUUUCCGUCAGUAGAAAAUGAGUAAUGUUACACUAACCACGUAUUUAUAUCAUCAUUUGUACUAUAUUUCUAAUAGAAUUAGUGUCACAGCCCAUUCUGAGAUUUUCUCAUUAAGGACGUAAAAGGACGAAAGUACCCUUGACGUUACUAAGGUGUGUGUGUGAUAUGUUUUGAAUAUUUCAUAUUUUCCUAAACUAUUGCAAAUAUUAUUUAAGUUGGAUAUAAAAUUGGUAUGUUGGAUUGUUUGUGUUGUUAGGGAGCUAGGAUGAAAACGGAUGGUGAGGGUUGUGUUGGACCACACAAUCACACACACACACACUCCCUGCUCUCAUUCUCUUCCCCGUGCCUCUCUCUCUCCUCCCUCACGACUCUCUCACUCUCUCUCACCCUCGAAACGUACGGACCAACGUCAAAAACCCCUGAAACUUCAUGGAUCGACGUGGAGAUUAGCAUCAUCGUGUUCGUGAGUGUCCUACGAACUCAAAGAUACCAUUUUCAGGUAAGAAAUCCUUCGUUUUCACGUUGAAAACUCGAGGACCGAAUGUGGCACUAUUCAUGAACUUUGUGUAUGUUGAUUUUUAGGACAAUCCAAGCUUAUAGUGAGCUUAGUGAGGUCCUAAGGAAGCUCGGGGACGUUCAUUUGGAAGUUUUGGACGUCGGGAUCACCACGUUCAAAGUUGGCCGAUUUUCGUGGGAUUUCUCCGGUGAGAUUUCGUGAUUUUUAGAGCCUUAAAGUAGUAUAGCGUGAAACUACAUGUUUAGGGCUUCAUUUUGAUAUAAAAUUCGAAGAAAACGGUUGAGAAACAAAAGAGAACAAGCAAUUACAAAAUUCGCCAGAAUCCGGCCACCGGAAAAACCAGUCCGACGACUGGCUGAGGAAGAAGACGCGCGUGGGGGCGCGUAGGUCCGUGCCACCCACGGCGCGUGGGGGCACGUGACAAGCCCAAAAUUUUUUCUAAAAAUUCCUCGACGUCCGUGACGUCGAGUAGGUCGUUGUGGUAUAUUCAUAUACCCAAAUUGAGCACCGUAUGAGAAGUUAUUUCGAAUUGUUGGUUAUGUGUUUUAAUUAACGUUUUUAUAGUUGUUUCGCAUAUAGGUGACACCUAUCCCGAGGACGAGCGCAUCCAGGGACGUCACGGGGGUUACGACCCAUCAACUUACCAGUGAGUGGGCAGUUUGUUUCGUAUUACCUAUAUACUACUGUUUUUCCCAGAAAAUGCAUUUAUAUGAAAAUAUGUUUUAAAGUGCCAUGCAUGCAAUCGAUGAGAUAUUUGAAUUGAUAAUUGAUGCAUAUAUAUAUGAAUUGGCGCGGUGGACACACAGGUGAGUUUUUACAUUAUUCAUACGAUUUAUUAUGUGAAUUGCAUUGAAAGCUCAUAACCUACACCCUAGGUGUUAGUGCUUAUAUUAUUCACCACACUACACGCUCGCCUUGGAUCCAAGUAGGUGAAUGUCGUACAGAUCAUGUGAGGGUUCCGACAUGCUAGUCAUAUAGAUCGCUAGAUGUGAUUCCAACUAGUGGGUGACCUUAGUUAUGCGCGCCGAUGAUUGAUGAGAGAAGCACUAGAGCGUAUUCUUACACCUUUCAUCGUACAGACUACCUUACGUAGUUCCGAGUGACGUGCAGAGUUGGGCCGUAUAGGUCACUGUGGUGACUCCGGCUGAGUGGGAUAUUGAGCUAUAGAAUCAGCCGUACAGGACCACUGUAGGGUCUCCGGUUGAUUUAUUAUUUCACCUGAUUUAUAUCGAUGCAUUCAUAUUAUAUUUUGGCGUGGCAUGGCAUGGCAUAUUCUUUCUGAAAAGCGUUGAAAGAUUGUGAGCUGAGUUUGAUGAUAUAUGUAUAUAUGUUUUAUAAUAAAUUUCUGGGAAAGUAUACAGGUUUUACGGUGAGGGGUUAGAAACGUUUUAAAUGAAAUGUUUUGGAAAAUCUUUGGUUUUACUGACCCACUCAUCUUUGUUUUGCGCCCCUCCAGGUUAUAGUUAGCAGUUGGUGGCUCACGAGGUCUUUUUCGGCGUUCUGACAAACGUUCUGCAUGUAGGACUCACCUGCGGAUGUUGCACUUUUAAUUAUAGUCCUACUUGACUGCACUUGAUACCUACGCUCUGAAUUCGUGUGUCUUACUUUAUAACUCACUCUUUUAUGCUAGUAGUUGUUUUAAUAACUUAUUACUGCUAGUGGUUGUUUUAAAUUCCUUCAUAUUUCUAUUAUAUCUUGCUUCCGUGUCGCACUUUUGGCUACGUCACGCUCACGUGACGGCCAGCACGCCUUGAUUCUAGGAUCGAGGUGUGUCAAUUAGGGCUCGCCAACGCAUGUGGAUAUAAAGAUAGUACAAAUAAGUGGUACGAGUAGUAUUUUUGUUAGAAAAGAUAUAUAUAAUAUAUAAUAUACAUCAUUGAAUUAUGAGAUCUUAAUGUUUGUGCUAUCUAUUAUAUAUAUAUAGAUCACUAAAUUUGUAAGAUAAUAUUUGUGUUCUCACCAAGGGGAUGAAAUCAUUCCUCUCUUUAAUAUGCAUAAAUCAUAUCUUUAAACGUGUUUAAUUUUUUAAAAGAAAAGGAAUAAAUAAAAGCCUUAAUUUAUAUAAAUUCCUCACGCUCAAACUCCUAUCUAAUUUGUUCGUCGAGAAGGCAAUGAGCGGCACAUUUUAUUACAGGGUUUAUCCAAAAAAAUGGAGGUUCUUUUAGCUGGGAUCGUAUUGGUCGAGAAUUCUUUUUUAAUAUUUUGGCUGAAGAUAUAAACAUUUCAAUUAGAAUUAAAGUCUAUCUUUUUUUUCUUUUUUUUGAACAAACGAUAUUAUCUACAUUAAGUGGGGAGGGGUGGGUUUAGCCUCACAAUAGGUUAGCAAUAAUAUGGUUCAAAUUCGCCUUUAAUGAGAAUUGAACCUAAGAACUCUCACUUACAAGUGAAGAAGAAUAUCACUAAGUCGUAGUACUAAGUGGCAUAAAAACUAUCUCUUAGAUAGGAAGUUUUUUUUUUUUUUUUUUUUUUUUUUUUUUUUUUUUUUUUUUCAUUUUGAAAGAUUAAACAAGAUAUAAUUGCUCCAUGUCAAAGAGGAGGAACAAGCUGAUCCCUCCAAGGGGUAAAAACAAGUAUUAUCCAAAUUUAUAUCACAGAAUCUAUACUAUUAUUUGAUAUGAAUAAUCUACGAGUAAUAGUAUGUAGUCAGAACUUUAUUAUUUUAAGCAAUUGAAUUUUUGAGUAUUUUGUCAUGAAGUUUGCAAUUUUUCUCUCUUUACUUUUGCUUCUUUCUUGCUCUUUCUAUUCUCCCCUUAUACAACUUCCCUAUCCAUAUUCAUCACAUUCCUAUUCUAAAUAUGACUGCAACAAUAUUUAAUUUAUAAUAUUACAUUAUUACUUGACCCGUAUGAUUUGUGAUUAGUUGUAUGUAUUGAGAGUUUAUCAAUUUAGGCAAUUAGAUUUUGAGUACUUUCUUAGAAAAGUUAGUUAGGCUAAAAAAAAGGGUGUCAAAUAGUAGGGAAUGAUGGUAAUGGAGAUGUGGCAGGCUAUGGUGAUUGGACUAGAACUAGGAUGAUUCGUGAUGUCCCGGAGACCCCGAGGGUGAUAAAUGUUAUUCAAGAAAGGAGGAGACAUGCAGGGGUUAGUAGAGAUGGAGGGACUAUGACUCAGAUUAGGAGGGGAAACAACAAUAUAGGAGAGGAAGGCAUGGCGGCGGUUGGAAGUGGAAGAAGGGGGUUUUUAUUGGAAGUGGGGGAGGGUCGUCAAUUGAAGUGAUGCCGGUUUCGGCAAAUAUCCCCUUUCAUGCUUCGGGUGGAGGGUCAGGAGAUCGCAACACUAAGGGAUUGCAGAUGACGGGGAUGAGUAAUGAAGGUGAAUGGGAGCAGAUGGGUGGGAGAAAGGUAGGUAGCAGAAGUGGGGGGUUCGGGACGAAGGUUAUGACGAGGGGCAAUAGUGAGGGGGCUACAUCACAAAACCCUGUGGUGAGAAUAGAGCAGGUGAUGAGCCAGCAUCUAGCUGUGGUGCAGCAACCAAGCAACCUUUCAUUGGGUCAAACGGAGGGUGAUGGUCUUUUCCAAAGGAUGGGCCUAAAGAGGAAUGCGAGUAGCAAUAGAGCCUAAAGGCCGACUAAAAGGACAAAAAGACCGACAGGGGCCCGUGUACAUGCUAGGAGGGGGCAUGUAGAGGAAAUGCUGCUGUGACUAGUGGUUUGAAUAAUGAACUGGUGAAAGAUGCAAGCGCUCUAUUGGAGGACAAUUUGUUAGAGGUCCUAGUUUAGGAAGAAAACAUUUGGCCUUAUCUUAAGGACAUUUUGGACGGAGAGGCAAAAAAGAUAGGACAGAGGUUAGCAAAUAAAUGUUGUGGCAGUGGCGGUGGCGGCUGGCCUGGAACAGCCGCAAAUCAUCCAUGAUACACAUAGUGUGGAACUCAGUGGUCUUGGGUUGGACACGUUCGAGCCUUACAUGGGCUCAUUAGACGAUAUAGACCCUCUGUGGUUUUCUUAUCUUAAACAAAAAUGAAGAACCACAUAAUUAUUAAAGUUCGCAAACAGUUGGGGUUUGUAAAUGGGUAUGACGUGCCUCCGGUUGGAAUAGCGGGAGGGCUGAGUCUGUGGUGGGACGAUAGUAUGAAGGUCAAAGUGGUGUCGUCUACUAAGCAUUUGAUUCAUACAAAGAUGCAGAUCGCAGGUGAUGAGUGGUUUCAUGCCUCGUGGAUUUACGGUACACCCUAUAGAAAUGAGAAAAUUGAAUUUUGGUAAUGGAUCUUGGAGGAGCUGAGUCUGACGGAUGUUCCAUGGAUUUGCGUUGGCGACUUUAAUGAAAUACUAACAGAUGAUAAGAAAUCUUGAGGGAGCCAAAUACACUAUACAGCGACUACAUUUCUGCAAUCUUUUAUGAACAAUAUGGAAGUGGUGGAUCUUGGGUUCUCAGGGCCUAAAUUUACUUGGAGGGGAACUAGAAAUGGAAGUUUGGUGCAAGAAAGGUUGGAUCGUGGGUUGAUUAAUGGAGGAUGGCAGAUUCGAUGGCCAAACUCAGUGAUUAUCCAUGAAAGUGCUAGGGCGUCUGAUCAUUGCCCUUUGAUUCUUAACAUUGACCCUCUAGUUCCAAAAUUAACCACUAUUUCGGUUCGAGGCCUUUUAGUGCAAGGAGGAGGGAUGUAGAGAGACAAUCGAAAGGUGCUGGAAUGUGGGUUGUGUCGAGAGGGGAGUGAGAAAAUGGCAACUGAAGUUGAACUUCACUAGAAAAGGUCUGAUGAAAUGGAGCUAUGCCAAAUUCAAAAACAGAAAGUUUGAGCUUUAAAGGUUGAACUCGCAGCUUGGGCAUCUCCAACGAAAUUGGAUGGAAAAUAGUACUGAAAUGGGAGUGCUCGCGCAAACUAUUAACCUUCUUGAAGCUCAAGAGGAAGCAUAUUGGGCAGCUAGAUUAAGAAUCAGAUGAUUACAGGCCGGUGAUUCGAACAUGGGCUUUUUUCAUCAGUCUACUAUCAUUAGGCACCGUCGGAACAAGUUAAAUCAAAUCCGGAAUAAUGAUGGUUCCUAGAUGAAGGGUCCUACCGGGGUUAGAUUGACAGUGUAAGAUCACUUCAAAAAAUUAUUUACAUCUAAUGGUUUUCGCGAUUAGGGGGAUAUUCUCGGAUGUAUGGAUCCGGUGGUUACUAUUGACAUGAAUGAAGUGAUGUGCAGUCCUAUCUUCGACAUUGAGAUAAAAGAUGCAAUGUUCAAUAUGGAAGGGGCAAAGGCACCUGGUCCAGAUGGGUUCCAAGGCAUAUUCUUCCAAUCGUACUGGGAUAUUAUUGCGGCGGAAGUCCAUGGUAUUGUCGAUGAGUGCCUAAAGGACAAUGGCUGCCCUUCUGUGAUAAAUUUCACCAAUAUUGCGCUGAUCCCCAAGGUCCCCAACCCGAAAAGUGUUAGUCAGUUCAGGCCAAUUAGUCUUUGUAACUAUGCCUAUAAGGUACCAUCUAAGAUUUUGGCAAAUCGAUUGAAACCUAUGUUGGAGAAAAUAAUUUCGCCAUGUCGAAAUGCGUUUAUUCAAGGUCGGCAAAUCUAGGAUAAUAUUAUUUUGGCCCAUAAAAUUUUUCAUUUUCUUAAGUUGAGGAAAACUAAGCAUAAGUUCGAAAUAGGGAUCAAAAUUGAUAUGAACAAGGCUUAUGACCGGGUUGAGUGGGAUUUCCUUGAGGCUGUCAUGGGACAACUUGGGUUCCAACAAAGAUGGAUUGAUAUGGUAAUGCGCUAUGUCAAAACGGUGGAGUUUGCUAUUCUAAUCAAUGGGAGGCCGGGGAAAACUUUUAAGCCAACUAGGGGUCUCAGACAGGGAGAUCCCCUAUCCCCUUAUUUGUUCCUCACUAUAAGUGAAGUUCUCUCUAUUGUGAUUAAUAGGGCGGUUCAACAAGGCUAUUUAGAAGGAAUAAGGAUUUCAGAUUCAGGACUUGUGCUCUCUCAUAUUCUGUUUGCUGAUGAUACCUUGAUGUUCCUUAUGGCUACUAAGCAAAAUUGCACAAACUUGUCUUCCCUUCUUCAGUUGUAUUGUUGUGUUUUUAGUCAACAUGUUAGUCUCUAUAAAUUAGUUGUGUAUUUUGGAGCAAAUAUCUCACCCUAAUUGGCGUUAGAGCUAUGUGAUAUUUUAAAUAUGCCUAAGGUAAAGGAUCCUUGUAAGUAUCUGGGAAUUCCAAUAAUUUGGGAGAGAUCGAAUCAGGAGACUUUACAUAUAUCAAAGAUCGGGUUUUGGCUAAAAUUGAUGGCUGGAAAAGGCGAUUCUUAUCUCAAGCGGGGAAGGAAGUUCUUAUCAAAGCAGUUGUUCAGGCUAUUCAUAUGUAUCCUAUGAGUGUAUUUCGACUGCCGAUUACGUUAUGCAAUGAAAUUGACGUGGCUGUGGCAAGGUUUUGGUGGGCAGGGACUGACAAGGCUCGUGGGAUACACUGGAUUAAUUGGAAGGAUCUGGGUCGAUCCAAAAGGGAAGGAGGUAUGCGAUUUCGAAACUUCAAAGAUUUUAACAUUUACUUGCUCAUAAAACAAUGUUGGCGAUUGAUUCAUGACCACGACUCUAUGGGCGCGUGUUCUUAAGGCAAGGUAUUUCCCAAAUGUUUCUUUCCUUGAAGCAAAGAAAGGCGGUAGAGCCUAUUGGGUGUGGGCGAGUCUUUUAGAAAUGAGGGAUAUCAUUUUACAGGGUGUUAAAUGGCAGGUUUUGGGAGGGCAUGAGGUUAGGUUUUGGAUGGAUAAUUGGGUCCCAGGCAUCCCUAAAGGGCACCCUACCUCUCCCAUUUACACGGAUAUAAACAGAAAGUGCAUGGUUGUUGAGUUUAUUGAUCCAAUAUCAAGGGAGUGGAAUAUUGAUCUCCUGUCUAAUCUUGUUUCUGUGAAUGAGCAGAUGGCCAUCUCACACAUUCAUAUGGGGCCAGCUAGGAGAUCGGAUAAACUUAUUUGGCCGUUUGAAAGGAAUGGCUCAUUUUCGGUAAAGUCUGGUUAUAGGUGGUGUUACAACUGCCACCCUACGGUGAACAAUGAUCAUAUGAAUCCUCGGGUGUGGGUUUGGGUUUGGAGUUGUAAAGCCCUUCCAAAAAUGAGAAACUUUGUAAAGGGCUCUUCGUGAUGCUUGUGCCACCAAACUCAACCUGUAUCGACGUCGGUGUGCUAUUUCCCUACUUUGCCCCAUUUACGCAGAACACAAGGAAACUGUGGAGCAUUUUCUUCUGCUUUCUCGUGGGCAUCUAGGGUGUGGAAAAAUGGUCCUUUAAGCCUCUAGAUUGAUCAAAGCUUUGUCACAACUUUGGGUGAAUUGUUGUACUCAGUUGGAAACCAAAAUAUGGGCAGUAAGGUGGACCUCGAACAUACUAUGUCCUAUCUUGUCUUUUCAUGUUAGUUUAUCUGGAUGGCCAAAUGUGAUGCAAUUUUCAAUGAGUUUUCAGAAUUAUUCGGGCUAUUGUCACUGCCAUGGAUUAUUUUAUGUUGGCCUCUUCGUUUAUUCGACCGUCAGCUACUGACAGAAUCACCCUUGCUCGUGGUGUGUAUCAACCUGUUCGGUGGUCUCCACCCCCUGUUAACUGGAGGAAGAUAAAUGUUGAUACUUGUUGGAAGAGAAACUCUCUAUGCGGUAAUAUUGGGAUUGUGGUCGGAGACAGCUAUUCAGGUUGUAACGUUGUGUGAAGUGUGAGGGUGCAUGCAUCUUUUGUUGAGAUGGCGAAGGCUCUUGCCGUUCUGGAAGAGUGUUUACUGGCAAAAAAUUUACAACUGCAGAAAGUGGUGAUUGAAUCGGAUGUGCAAGUUAUUAUGCUACCCCUUAAUUCUCCUUCUCUGAGUUGUGAUUGGGACCUUCUCCUAAUUCUUAGCUGUGUUCUGGAGAUUGGGAGGAGUUUUCAAUCAUGCUCUUGGUCGUGGGUUCCGUGAGCAGCAAAUAGGGCGGUGGAUUUAGUCGAGAGGAAUAUAUCUCUGGAGAUGUGCGCCUUCGGUUGGGUUGUUAGACCUCCAUCUUCGCUUGUAGGUAUUUUGAACAAAGACGGUAUUCCUUGUCCUCCUUUGUAAGGGUGGGGUUUCUUUUUGCACGGGUAGAUGGGACGACGCUGGUGUCUUGCAGGAUGGCGUCACAUUGUGUCCUAUUUAUCUUCGUCUUUGCUCCCUAGGCUUUCAGGGAAGCUCUCUGUUUAUUGUUUGGCCUGGUGCCAUUUUGUUUCUAUGAAUUGUUCUUUCAACCAAAAAAAAAAAAGACACCAGUAUCUCUCUAUCUCCAACCGAAUGUAUAUGUAUAUAUGUAAUCCCAGUGUCUGAAACCCACAGGAGAUAUCUUGAUUAAUAUCCUGAUUAAGGGAAUUAAAUCUACUCUGAAUCUUAUUAUUCAGAGCUUAGAGGUUCACAAAUUUGAGCCAUAUAUUUGUAUGGAAAAAAUUAAAAUUGUUGGUUUGUGGGAAGUGAGUCAUCAAAAUAAGUUAAUAAGAACUAUCGAAUUCAAUUUAUGUGGCUUAAAUUUGUGGAUCCCUAAGUUACGGACACAAAAUUACAGUGGAUUCAAUUCCUAGAUUAA